rnacentral:lncRNA from 1 species
UUUUUUUUUUUUUUUGGUCUUUUUGGUUAGUGUUGAACUUGUGAAAGAUAUGAAUAAUAUGGAUAUUAAUAUCAAUAAUAUUCUUCAGUAUUUAUUCAUAUUUAUUCCAUAAAAAGUGGUUAAUUUAAAUGUUCUACUACUAUGUUAAGUUUGAAAAAAUUUUAAUAUAUCAAUAUUACUACAAAAUGAUAAUAUUCAUGAAAAAGUGCAAUUCACACACAAAAACACAUGUAACAAGAGAUAAUAAUUAGAUUUUUACAAUGAGUAUACCCCUAAAACUAAACAACUUCACAUAUUUAUUUCAAUUAAAAACAAAAGAUGCAGCAAUCUAGUUUUUAAUGAAUGAAUACUCAUUAAUUGUAGCAAAAUUAAAUGAAUUUACUGAUGUAACAAUCAAGCUGACACUAAACAAAGUUACCCCACAUGGAUAAAAAAAAUAUUCAAAUAUAUUAAAAUAGAUAAAGUUUGUUAGAAGAGAUAGAAAUUAUAAAAAAAAUAAUAAUUUGAUGAGAGGUAGAUACAAAAAAUGCAUAACCCAUAAAUCCUAAAGCAACAACUUUUUUCUUUCAUUUGAAUUACUGAUUUUUAAUCAUAUAAGGUAACUAAGCUUAGUAAAUAUUGCAAAAAUAAAGAAACACACGUUUUCACUCUCAAGUUAUAUCCUUUGCCUUCUCUAUAAUUUCUUCUUUAUAGAACUAUUUCUUCUUCCUCCAUAGGAGGAGGACUUCUAUAAGGUUCUUGUUUGUUUAAAUAAAUACCUCUCUUAAAUUUUCAUAAUGAUAGUUUCCUCUCUCUUAAGAUUCUUGAGUUAGAGUUUUUUCUCUCUUAGAUUCAACUAGUGACAGUUUUCUUCGCUCCUUUGUUUUUCUUGUGAAAGUUUUUUUUUUGUUAGAUUUGAUAUUUUGUAGAUUUGUUUUCUCAAAUCUGAAAAUUCUUAAACCUAUUUUGUCAUAUCUAAACUUUUCUCAUUGGGCCUAAAAUGGAUUCAUAUUAGAUUUGGCUAUUGAAAACAUGCAAAGAUUUAGGUGCAGUGAUUCAUUUAAUGUUGAAAAUUUUUUUAGACAUUGACAAUGCUGUUUUUGUUUAUUUUUCAUAUUUGUUGUAUGUUGUUUUCCAAAUCUGAUUGUAUAUGUUGCAUGUUUUAUGUAUUUUUGCCAUAAGUGCCAGCAAUGAAAUUAUUUUGUUUAUAAAAAAGACUUAGUAAAGAUUCCAAUUGAUGUUUUUGACACAUAAUAAUUCUCUACAAGGUUGGAUAUUUAAUAUUGAAUAAAUUUAUUUCUUUAUCUAAUUUUGCGAGAAUGUUUCUCAAUUUUUAAGGUUAUGUCUCUUCAAAAUGAAUGAAUAAAUUAUACAAAUCUGGCAUGUUUUUUAAAUUUAACUUAUACUAUAUAAUUUUAUUCAAGGAUGUAAACAAAAAUAUGUAAGGCAUUGCUACAUCUAUUUGUUAAGCAAAUAUAAUCUCCUAAAUUAAUGCUUGAGUUUAAAUCUAGUAUUUAUUAAAAGACAUCCAUUUACACCUCAUGUAAAAACAACUUACAUGCUGCAAUAAUCAUUAUUCAUAAAAUAAGAAUUUUCAUAAAUCUACAAUUUAGUAAUCACAUAAGAUAAACAAGAAUCCUACCUAUGGAAUUUUAGUCAAUUUUCUAAAAGAAAAGUUAGUUAAUAAAGUAAGAGAAAAUUUGUUGUUGUGAUUGCUUUUUUCUUGAACUUAAUUCUACAAUUCAGAAUCUAGAAAGUUUCAACCAAAACUCCUAAUAUUCUCACUUUUUACUAGAAAGAACAAAUAAGAUGACCUGAGAAACUAUUUAAUAAGAUGAUGUGAGAAACUAUUUAAUAAGAUAUGCAUUUUAGAUGAGCAUUUUUGGUAAAAACAAAAUCAAAGAUGGAAUUCAAAUUGAAUUCAGGGAUUCAAAAUAUUCUUUUUUUGAUCAUUUAUCUAAAAUUUAGAUAAUAUCAAAUUAUAUAUUACAAAUAAACAUAUACAGUUUGUAUAACUAAAAUUUACGUAAAUAGGUGCAACUUACAAGUAUUGAGUUUAAGGAGUCUUAUGUUAAACUAUAAAUUCUAACUCAUAUUGAUUAAACCAAAUGACGAGCCCAUUUAGAUGGUGAGUUUUUUUUUUUUGAGUAUUUGCAUAAAAUUUUAUUGUUGCUUACCGUAAAAUUUUUAGAAAAACUUUUGUGAAGAAAUUGAAAAACUUUUUUUCUUUUUCUUUUUUUUUCUUUCUUUUAGUUUUUUUGUUUCUUUCCUUUCUUGUUCUUCCUCUCUCCCACCGCUCCUACUCUAACACCACUGGCUGGCACAUUCGCCAAUGCCAGCGAUGCCUUCCCCUUCCUUAUUUUUUUUUUCUCUUUCUCCCUCUCUUUCCUCCUUCCACUUUCCCCUUCUCCCUUCCUCCCUCCCUCUCUCCCCCUCCUCUUUUGUCCUUUUCUCUCCCUUUCUCCUUCUCCUUUCCCCAUCACCUCUUCUCCCACCCUAGGCCCCUUCCCCUCCCCUGCGACCUCUAGUAGUGUCGUGGUAGCAGCGGUGAGACAGUGGCGGCAGUGGUGGGUUGAGGUGGAAGGGUGAUGGUAGAAAUGAGAGAUAAGUGUGUGUUUUUGGGUUUUGGAGUGUGUAUUUUAAAAAUUUUGUGAAAUUUUUAGAAGGUACUAUAGACAAAGUUGAAGAAAAACUUUGUUCAUUAAAAACUCGAGUUGCCAAACAGAUCCAACAUACAACUUUUGCUUUUAGAAAAUAGUAUGCAUAAAUAUUAACUUUACUUAAGUAAUAAAUAUAUAUUGUCGAUCUAGUGGUUAGGGCAGAGCUCUUAAAGUCUGUGACGCCCCUACUUCUCCCUAAGGCGAACCAAAGGGUAUCCGGGACGCCUGCCCAACUCUCGCCAGGACUCAAGGCAAUUUCCAAUCAAACUUAACGUAAUACUAUUCAACAACACCAGAUAAAGUAAGAAAGUGCGAAAAACUUUAAACUUAACCUUACAUAAUAAUUAUCCAAUCCUUGCCUCGGAUUUUCAAAAGUACAUCGAAACCCAAAAUGUACUACAUCCAAAUACAUCAAAUAUCCAAAUCAUACAUUAGGUUUCCAAAGUACAACCAACAAGAGGUCUAGUCCAAAAUACAUUAGAAAGCUAAUACAAAAGUACAUCAAAAGGGAGUUCCUUCGAGUCUCAUCUCCAAAACCAUUCCUGUUAAGGAAAACAAAUCUACAGGGUGAGCAAAACGCUCGUGAGGCAAGAACACACAUGCAAGCACAUUGUUCAAGUAACAAUCCCAAUUUAACAAAUAGAGCAAUAAUAUUGCAAUAAUUAACAAUUCGAGCGGAAAAGUAAACAAAAACAAUUCAAGGAUAUAGUAGCCUCAGAAACUAAGUUCCACUUGCACGAGCAAUAACCUCCACGAAUUGACACUCUGUCAAUCGGGUAGGUUUAGUCUGUAGAACUCCGCUUAACCUGUCCCCUUUCACCUUACAUACCCCUGUAUCGGGCCCGCCUGUCAUUUGUUGGUGGUGAUGCUAUUCGAGUAUGCCAAGCAAGAUCUCUCAUUAGGUCAAACUUAUAUAUCUCAUGGUUCGCCAAGAUUCCGACCAAGCCCAUGCCGGCUCGAGUCCAAGAUCGGCCAAUGAGAUGUGGGCGUUCCCAUGUGCAUUUAUGUGUCGAAGAGAUUCACUCCAACGACGUAUGCAGCUAUAGCAUACCAUAUCAUGUAUCAAGCAUUGAUAUACAAGUAAUCGAUGUAUUCGAGCAAUUGAUAUAUUCAAGCAAUUUGAGCAUGAGUUAAAUCAUUUCAAAUGAGAACGAGUGCGAUAAAUUACACACUCGACUCCAUUUUCCAAAAUCUCAAGUAUCAAUAACAAGUAAUCAUGUAUCAAGUUCACAGGAGUUCAAGUAACACACACUUGACACUCACCAAGUAAAACGAGAAGAAAAGGGCACUCGAAGUUUAAGUGUCCACCGUGAGAUCCUCUUGAAGGUUCUCGUGUGAGUUUGGGCAAAUAAUAGUGCAUUACCAUUCAUAUCCCAAUUAUCGAGGAAUAAUUCGUUCACUAGUAUUAAUUUAGGAAAUUUCGUGAAAAUGAACCUCAAUUACUCGUAAAUCGAGGUUCGAGUGGGGUUUGAUAACGUUCAAAAGUAUUUAAAUCUUUAUCUAGGAAAUCGGGGAUAAAACGUUUAGAUAAUAUCAAAAGAAUAAAAAGUUCUUGAAAAACUCUAUUUCCUUGAAAGUUGAAAAAUUUCAGUUUUGUUAAGAAUCUUUGAAAAAUCGUAACUCACUCGACAUAAGUCAAGAAUUGUAAAAAUUUAUACCGUUGGAAACCUAUUAGAAAGUACUACAAGUUCCUAGAAGACACUUUUCCAUAAAUCGAAGUGGAAAGUGCUCAAAAAUGAGCUUGAAGGUACUGUCUCGGUUCAAAAGGCAGAAUUAAGUUGGAUUUUGGCCAACUUUGAAAAUUCAGAAAAAUUCACACGUUGUGAACCGGCCUCUGAAAUUUGUAACUCAAUUAGAGUUACAAGUGAGGUUUAUAGACGAGUAAGCGAAUCAAGAAUCGGAGUUUCGAGUACCGAGAUACGGUAGCUCAAAGUUGGGGAAAAUUCAAGGCUGGAGAAGAAUUUCCAGAUUUGAACUUCCAACAUUGGAAGUUUAGUUAGGUAUCGAAACGAACUUGGAUUGGUACAAAAAUUGGCAGUAUUUUAUUCUUAUAUGAAUGGUAUCUCUCUAUCAAAUUUCACAGAAAAAUACCUUCGGGAAGGUAGUCAACGAACCAACUAAAGUUUGGAAAAAUUCUUAAGGCAAUCUGCCUUUAAUCCUUUUCUUUCCAAAUCCAAUCGUUUGACUAAGAAAAUCCUCCAAUCAUGGUUCAUAUGUGAAAGGAAAGUCUAAGGAACAUUCAUGAUACAUUUGGUAGGUGUUUAACACCAAGAAUUUCAUUUAGUAAGACUACAACAAGUCUCAUCUCAAAUCUGUCCAAAACUAGGUUUUUCCAAAACAGAGUAGUGUUCUUGUUUUGAUCACAACUCAGUCGACUUAACUCGGAAUUGAGCAUGGUUUAUGGCGUUGAAAAAAUACAUUCAUAGGGCUAAAAAUUCACCGAAGAAAACGUUUUGAAAUUUGGCAAACAACCAGCUCGAAAUUGAGGCUAAAGUUGCUGCCUCUACAAAUCAUUCCAGCAGAACAGAGAAACAGGACUGCUAUCUUAAAACGAAUGGUUCGGCUCCCACACAUGGAACCAGAAUAUGCAUUUUAUACCGUUGGAAAGGUAUGGAUGUCUAGUUUCAAAUACCACCAACGGCACUCGAUUUCAACAUCGGAGGACAAAGUUAUGGUCGAAAUGCUACCGCUGGACAGGGUUAUCCGAAAACAGUUUUCCAGUUUGACUAGUUCACAAAUAAAUUCAUUUGCCCAACCAAACGUUAAUGUUUUCCAAUGAAAAUUUUUACACAUCUAAUAUAACAUAUAAACAUCAGAUUCAAGCUAUUAGAUCAUCAAAAAUUGGCCUUAUCAUGGCCGAACAAAGCAGGGGCAGUUUCAGAAAUUUUUGUCAUGGCCUCAACUUUGAGUUUCCAACAAUAAUACUCCAUAGAUCUAUCAUUUUAACCACUAAACCACCAUGAAAUCCAACAUUAAACCUCUUAUCAGCAACAACCCAAGAGUGGGAGUUCAUAGAGCCCAGUUUUCAAAUUUUCCAACAAUAUCAAGCCAUCCACUUAUAUGUAAGUGCUUAGAGAUGCAUUUCUACUACCAUAAACCAAGUUUAAGGUGUUGGAUUAAGUUAUACCUCCUUAGUGCUUUAGAUCAGAAAAUUUCGGUCAUCAAGAGGCUCCAAGAAACCGUGAAAUGCAGCCCUUUGGUUAGCUAGAUCCAACCUCCAAGUAGUUUGCUAGUUGAUCUACAAGUUUGGUGAAGAUUGGUUGGAGUUUUGUUGUUGAUUUGGUGAAGAAAUUUUUGAAACAAUGGAGUUAGAGAGGGAGAGGGGGUUGGCCGGCAAUAGGAGAGAGAAGAGAGAGUGAGAUUUGAUCAAGGUUAGCUUUCAAGAGAAGAUUAAAAUGAGUGGUGUAAAUUCACUCCAAGGUCAACUCUCAUCAGGGCUCGUUUGGUGCGUUUAGGGCUCCAUUUUCUCUCGCAUUUGGUUCACUAGUGCACUAAAUCUCUAAUGCACUUAUAUUCAUAUAAAUAUUAUUCACUCUUAAUUGUUCCGAAAUAAGGGCCUAAAGUCCCUCAAAUAAAGUCGCGCGUGUGAAAACGCGUACCGUCAAUUUUAACGCUAUAACGCGAAACCUCCGAGAAAUUCUUAUAACGAUAAUACUAAUAACUAUCACUUGAGUAUUUAAACAUUAAAAAUACCUAAUUUAGGUCCAUUGUAUAAGUCUCCAAUAUUUCAAACUUAUUGCACUCUCAAUCGGUUAAAAUUUCCAAACACUAUACACUAUUCUCACUAAACGUGCUUCCGAAAAUUAAAUUUUUAAUCAAAUCACUUUAAAAAUAUAAUGAAGCUAUAAUUCCAUGUAAUUAGGUUCAAUAGGUCUAGAAAAUAAUAUUCGGAAUAAAUGGACAAUUAAAUCAUUAAAUAAGCCCAAAUUAGGGUUUCAAAAUAAAUAAAUUUCUUGUGAAUCCUCACAUGAGUUGAGUAUUAAUUCCUUAAUUAGCCUUUCUUAAUCUACCAUUGAUCAUUCUUAAUUCCGCAAUAUUAAUACACUCCCGAUCCAAGUGUAGUCUCGAAAACGUGCACUCAUUAUUCCGAACUAAAGGAAUUUUCAAAAGUAGAUUUUCCAACAAAACGUUUUAAAACUAUAAAAGAGACGUUGUUCCAUAUAAAUGGAUUUAAAAUGGUCGAAAACAAAUAAUUCGGAGAAAAUGAGUGAAUAAUUAUUUAAAUAACCCAGUAAUAUUCUAUAAAAAUAAGAAAAUUUUCAGGUUCUCACAAAGUCUCCCAUAGUAACCAAGUUUUGGGUUCGAAUAUUGUGUUUGACACUUGGAGAUGGAAAGGUUUUUUAAAAAUAUAUUUAUAGUAUAUAAAUUUUCAAAUACAACUUUUUCUACAUCAAUUUUUUAUUCAUAAUUCAUUAGUAUAAUUAAACAAUUGAUAUAUAUAAAGGUUGUUAUAUUUUUCAGCUUUCAUAUAAAAAAAGCAGUGAAAAUUUGAAAGUAAUCAUUAAAGUAACCGUGAAACUAUCGUAAGAUAUUACAUGGAUGAUAUAUAUUUUCACAUAGAAAUUGUUUUUAUAACUUAAAGCACAAUACAACGUGAAUAAUGAACUUAUAUCCUUAACUUAAGAAGCAAUUAUACUAAAACUAUAUCUUUUAGACUUUUGACUUUUUGAGUCAUAUUAAAAAAAAUGGUUUUGAAAGUUUCACUAUUAAUUAUAUGAGUCAAUCUUAUGAAUGGUUGUACGAUUACUAACCUCCAUUACUAAUAACUAAAUUAUUGUUUAUAAACUACAUCAUGUAGUCUUCUACGAACUUAGUAGACAUUUGGUUAAAGUUUCUCAAUCACAAUUAUUGUGAGUAUGAUUAGCUAGUUAAUGAUAAUGGAUUUUGGUUCUCACAGAGGUUUUGAUAUAUAAAAAUUCAAGAAUGACUAAAGCUUUUCAUUUUUCUAAUUUUUUUUUCUUCCAUUUCUUUUCUUUUCUUUUUCUUUCCUUUUCUUCUUCUUUCCCUACUAAUACUAAUUUUUUGCCACCUUCAACACCAUCGUAACCAGGACUGUUAAUAGGAUUGAGUCAAUUCAAGAUUGCUUGAUUAACUGACAAAUUUUCUGGUCAAAUCUUAGGUUUAAUUACACUAAAUAGAGUUUGAGCCUAAAUAUAAGACCCAAUUUAAUCGUGAGUCGAGCUCAAAUUUCAUCAAGCUAGGCUCUAGUAAAGACAGCUUGACUAAUUUUAUGUAUUGGCAUUUAUACUAUAUCUACAAUAAUGUACAUAAUAUAUAAUUAAUGUAUUAAAUGUAAAAAAUUGAUAACUCAUAUAUGAUUAUACAACAAAAUAUAAAUAUUUAAUAUAAAUUAAUAUAUAAUUAUAUAUAAUUAUAUUUUAAUUAUGAAAUUGGAUUGAGCCCAAACUAGUCCUAAAUCUCAAAUAUAUAUAUAUAUGAGUCAAGUAUGAACUUAAUAUAAUAAGUCUAAAACUCAAAAGAAAAUCUUAUUUCUUUUGUGAGUUGAGUUUCAGCUUACAAAAGCCCUAGUCACAUGGCUUGAUUGACAGCCUUAACUAUAAUCACCUUAAAUGAUGAGUAAUUUUGGCAAACUACCAAUCAUCCUAUCCCAAUUGAGUGCUUAUCUCAUUGUUUUGUCAAAAUUGAUAAAAUCUGAUAAAGAAAGGCCAACAUGACCACCAACUAUAAUGGCACCAGACUUUCCAACUAGAAUAAAGAUGAAACUCCAAAAUUUUCAAAUCUCAGUGGUCUUCUCAUCUUGCAAACUAAAAUCUAUUGACAAUUGACAUCAAGAUCAACUCCAAUUGUAAGCAUCAAGCAUAAAAAAAUACGAUCAAAAGAAGCAUGACAUAUAUUUGAGAUAAAAAAGAAGAUUUUUAUGAAAGAGAACAAUUGUAAGAUCUCAGAACAAAGGACAAGGAAAGACUAUAAAAAGAAAGAUGGAGUAAGAGAAGGAGGGUGUACAAAACUAUCGAUCUCUACCUUUUUUUUGUUUUGCUUUUUUCUUCAUCACUUUUAGGUAAAAACAUUGUGAAAAUGCCCAAUUUGGUAAUUGUUCACAAAAUCCAUAGGUAUAUGAAUGAAAUUGAUAGAAUCAUUAUCAUAGAGGUCUCCUAAAUACUAAAAAUUAAUAUCAUCAAUAUUGAUACCCAGUCCUAUGUGUUAUACUCCUUUACUGAAUAAGUGCUUAUAUUGUCAAUGAUUUUAUUAGUGCUUUUAAAUCAUAUUAAACAAUCGAUUCUAUGUAGUAUAGAAUUAAACAUAGUUUGGGUAGUGACAAUUAAGUUAUUACUUUUACUUUUAUUUUGUUUAUAUUGAUUGAAUCUCUAAUAACUAACUGAAAAAAUUAUAACUAUAUAAAAACCCCAAUGUGUUUUAUAUAAGCAAUAUAUGCGAGUGCUACUUUUAACUAAUUUCAAUAUGAAUAAUGCUCAUAUUAGAGUAAUUUGAUAAUUUUAUAGAAUUUAAAUUAAUCAUGGAACUUAUAGUUUUUGCUAAAGCAUCGAGUAGAAAAUCUUUUCCAUGUUGUUUAUACCAUUGGAUUCUUUACUCAUGAAAUCAUGUUUGCUGUUUGCAUAUUGACUCGAACUUAAGGGAGCUAGAUAUAUUUCAUUUUCUCUUUCUCAACAUUAAGUUAGCACUUUCUUUUUCCAAACAUCAUUAGAUUAUAUAUAAAAAACAAAGAAUACAAGUUAGCAAUCUCUGUUGCUGAAGUGAAGUUAUUGUUUUUUGUAGUAAUUUAGAUAAUUACUCAUUUAUGCAUUAUAUUUGUGCUUUGUUGCAGCUGAAAUUCAUUUGCUGCUUAGAAUAUUUGUUGAAAAGUUCUAUUUGAAAAGUUCUUUCCUUUUAUGCAAGAAGUAACUAGUUUCAUAAUUAUUUCUUUUUACUUGGAGUAAUAGCCAAGAUUAUUUCUAUUUGUAUGGAUUAUGUUUUAAUUUCAAUUAUAUCUUUUUAUUAUUUGAAUAGUGGCCACGUAACAUACACCAUAAAUAUAUGGAUCACACAAGAAGAAACACAAGAGAGUGUUAUUGGUAGGCAAGAUAAAUUAUACAAGAGUUGGACUUGGGAAUUAAAAACGUCCCUUCAAUUUGUCAUGAUAAGGUGUGAAAGUUUGAACAAAUUGUGCAAGUUGUGCAACUUGAACACUUGCAACUCAUAGUCCAUGGAUCUGAUCUGUAGAUCCAUUUGAAUAAAUAUGAUAUUGUAUCUGUUUCAACUUUUGAAAUGUCAUAAUUGUGUGCAAAAUUUGCAAUCAUGUUUUUCCAAAGAUGUAGACACACAGUAUGAAGAACAUCAAUGGAAGAAGGCAUCUUAAAAAAUUGAUUCAUUUAAGGUAUAUCAAUUCUCAUAUGAAACUUGUCUUGUAGCACAAUAAACAAUAAACUUGUUUUUAUAGAAGCUUAUGAGUAUAGGAAACUAAACUACUAAAUCGAGAAACAAAAUAUCAUUUACUCGUAGCAAAAUUUGCAAAAAAUGACUAUCCAUUUUGCUAUUUCACAGCACAAAAAGGAUUCUAGAGUGUUCCAAUCAUCAUUUUCACAGUAUAUUUUUAUGGAUUUUUUAUUUCAUAAUAAAGAAUGAGUUUCUUUCAGUGGACAUAAGUUUAUUAAUUGAGAGCUUGUGGCUUUGGAUUGUUUUCAUUAAAUUGUUGUUUUUUUAUUUUUCAUUUGUUAUUUUCUGCAUCAAGAUCCUAAAAAUUGGUAUCAAAGUUUGGUUGGAUUCUGGUAAAAACUAUUAAGAUCAAAUCGAUUAGUAGAAAUAUCCAAUAAACAAAAUUUAAAGUGUAUGCAAUUUGUACUCUUUGGUAAAAGAAGAGUAAAGGGAAUUUUUAUUCAACAAGGUCUAGGAAAAUGCUUUUGAAAAAAAAUAUUGGAAGCCAACAAGUAUGUCAAAUACUUAUAGUGAAUCUAAUAUAGAUAGUUCAAAGGUCAAGGGAAAGAGUGGACUAAAUAUCGAAUUGGAUGUAAUCCCAUGAAUAUGUUCUCACAAUUUCGAAUGGUGUAUAUGUUUCAUUUUAUGAUGGCUAAACUUUAGACUCCAGUUAUAUUUAUUCUCUAAGUGCUAUUACAUAUGCUCCCAAAAAAUGAAAGAAUCUGAUUUUCAUGCAUAGGUAGACUCUGUGGGUUACAAAUUUUAAUUGGAGGUGAAGUAAUGAAAAUAAACAUCUGUUGAGAUACUUUUGUUAAUGAGAUGAAAAUUUAUUGACUACUUCAAUAGGUUAGAAGUAGAGUUCAAAGAAAUGAAUCCAAAAUUGCAUUCAAAUUGCAAAUAGUGAUGAGAAGGAAAAUUGUGCAUAAGGGGUUGCAGCAUUGAGGUCAUUCUCAUGACUCAACUAAUGGUCGAAUGCCUUAGCUAUAUAUGUUCUCUUACCAAUUGAAUCAAGUGGAGAUGAAAUUGUAUUAAUUCUAGGUAUGUAGUUAGGCACUAGGCAUAUAGAUUUCUUAUUUUAAAAAAUUGCUAAUAUGGAAAAUUGAUAGGAAAUACAUUAAUUAUUUUUCUUUUAGGCAAGCUCUUUCAUUUUGUAUAGGAAGUUAAUAUUUUUGAAUUGUUUCUAAUUACUUGAAGUUGUAGUCUGGAUUACUUUAUAUUUGAAAGUGUUUAAAAAUUAACCUAUAUUAUUUUAUUUUAUUACUUAAAUAGUGAGCAAGUAAUAUAUAUUGUAAAUAUGUGGAUUGGUAUUCUACAAAGUGCAAGAUAAAGGAAAAUAUAAGAAAAUAAUGAUGUGGUUUUAUACAAAGAAAUAUUGAUUUUUUGAUUUGUAUGUAUGCCACUUUUAUAUCUGCUAAGAUGGAAAUUUCAUUAUUUGCUAAUUGAAUAUAUUAUUUUUAAUUUUAUAUUGCAAUUAUUAAGCUAUGUGUAAUUGAUUUUUAUAUUUAGGAUUAAAUUAAUUCCUUGAAAUUGAAUUUUGUUCUAUUUAUUAGACUUCUUUUCAAACACAUACAUUGUAUAUGCUUUAGUGAAUAUGCUAUUCAAUUUUUAUUUCUAGAGUAAAACACAUGAAUCUUAAAUGAUUUACAGUGGAUACUACAAUGUUAUUUCUAUUCUUAAAGUAAUUCUUUUAUUAUGUUUACACUUACAAUUAGUUGUUAUUUUAUCAUUUAUGUACUUUGCUCAUGUUCUUUUAAAUUAUAUUUUAUAUGGUUAUUCAUCAUAGCGAAAAGAGUGUACAUUUUCAAUGCGUGUUACAUAUUUGUUCUACUGAUUUGCUAUGUUUUGCAGUGAUAAGUUUUAAUGUCCUAGUGUUCGACUGUACCAUGAAAACUUUGAGUAGACUAUUAAAGUGUUAUGGCUUGUACUUGAUUCUAAAUUAUAAGAUCAACUUUGAUUAUUAUUAUUAUUGUAGUUGGAGUUAUUAAUUAUAUUGCCACCUAAGUGAAUGUCUAAUUGUCUCUUAAUAUUUUGUCCAUUUGUUCAACUUCUAAAACUUAUAAGAAAAUAAUAUGUAAGUUUUCACUUCUUCUCCUAAUGUUGGUGUAUUCAUGGAUCAACAAUUUUAAUUAUUUGACUUAGUGUAAUAUCAUUUCAACUUUCUCUUAACUUUGUUUCUUAGCCAAUGUAUUGUUAUAAAUAAUUUUUAUUCUUUUUUUGGCAUAUUUUUCUAUUUUAUCUCGAAAAAAGCAUAAAAACAGCAACAAGAAACCCUUCUUAUCCAAUAACAAUAGCAACAAUCUGAAGAAACUUCACAAAUACUUUGAGUAAAAGUAAUUACGAUUCUCCUCAAUAAAUCUGUAAUUUCAACAAAAGUUCAAAGUUUUGUCUCUCCUUCUGCACUUCUACCUUUUUGUUCCAUAUUUUAUGCAUUAGUAGUGAUAAGGUAUUUUACUACACUACAAAUUUUAAAAUCUUAUUACCCUAUUUUCGCAAGUGUACAGUUCAUUUAUUGAGUGUACGGAUAAUAGGUGUCGAUCCCACAAGGACUUAGAAUAUGGAAAUCACUUGAGUAUAAUUACUUACUUUAUUAUCUAGAUAAUCAAAGUUUAAGGAAGUAAAACAAAGAAAGUUAACUUGGUGGUAAAACCGACCAUGAAAGAUGUUAGAUUAGGUGGUACAACCGGCCAUAGAAAAUGUUAGUUUAGGUGAUACAACUAGCCAUAGGACAUAAACAAUAAAUAUAAAACCAGCCAUUAGGUGGUAAAACCAACCAUGUAGGCGAUGUGUUGCAAGAAAAUAAAUAAAAGUAAAGACAAGUUAGAUUAGAAUUGCUUAAAGAUUGAGAGAGAGGAUCCUAGGGAUUAGAAUCCCUUGUUAUGUCAAGAUUAGAAGUUAGUUAAGGUGAUUAUUCUUUUGCUUCCAUAAAUUGUUAAGAAAUAACUUCCAAAUGAAUGUCCUUACUUUUGCUAAUGGACAUUCUUAAGAGAAAUCACCUUAACUAAUUCCUCUAGAAAUUGUUUUUGCCAAUUUCUUUAACUUCUUGAUUUAUCGUUCGCCUAUAUUCAUAGAAAAAAGGUAAGAAACAAGUUGAAUAAGUUCAAUGAAGUUAUUAUAUGAAUCCAACUAACCAUUAUUCACUACUUUCGUGAGACUAAGGCUAAUGUUUAAGAACUUAGAUCUAUUAGAAGGCAAUUUUCAUUACUCAACAAUUAUCAAAUCAUUCAUAGUGGAUGACUAAACAACUAUAAAGCAUAAAUAGAAGUUCUCAAACUAAUAAAUCAUGAAAAAGCAUAAUCAUCCCCUAACUACUUCAAAUCAAAACUAUAACAAGUUCAUCUUCACCCUAGUAUAUGAAAGAGUUUAGUUAGAUGUCAUACUAAUAACAUCUAAACAUGAAACAAACUUGUAACAAAACAUGGCAAAUAAGAACAAAAGACAAAGUUUAGAAAGAAAAAUUCUUAGUCAAUGUCUUGAAGGUUGAAUCCUUGAAUUCCUUCACAAGUUGAUCUCUCAAAUAAGUUUGAUACAAGAGUGUUUUCACCUUUGUCUCAAAGUUUUUAAACUAAGAAAGAAACUAGUGUUUCUUGAAGUUAGAACUAAACUAAUUCUACUCUACUCUAGAAGAUGCUAAAGAUGUUAAAAGAUACUACAAGAUGCUUCAAAUGAAUGAGAUACAAGGGGUAUUUAUAGAUAUUUUUGGAUGAGAAAAUAUGCUCAUCAUGUGAUCAUAAAGUUGUUCUUCACUUUUCCAACUAAAGUUUAGCUGGAUCCACUCGAAUUUUAUCGAAAAAAUUGGUCCACAAAACAAUGUGAAAUGAGUGCAAGUUGCAUAAUCAAGUUGUCGAAGCUUCUUAGGGAUCCAUGAGGGUAGAUCCGCGAUGGCUACCUCGCGGAUUGCCUCGCGGUUCUUUCUUUCACUCAGUUUUUCACUUUUUGCUAAAAAUUCAACUUUGCUCCAUUUUUGGACCAAUUUCAACUAUAAUUUUCUUGAUGAUAAAAGUCGAAUUAGCUCUUACACAAAACAUGAAAGUUGUAACUCUUUGAGUUAGCUUUCAAAUUCAUCAAGAAUCAUCUCAUUUGAAUCUCUGUAUGCUAUUAAAUGAUCAAAAUACCCCUAACUAGUUGAUGCUCUAUUUUAACUUUCAACAGAAAUUUUAUCAAUAGUAUUUUGAUUUUUUGACUAGGAAAAUCAAUGACCUAGAUUUCAAUGUCUAUAAUAAUUGUAGAGCUAUGUCUUAGUUUUAAAAUGACUCAAGAAUCAUCUCAAUCCAAUACUUGUAACUCAAGAUAUGGCCAAAAUGCCAAGGUGUGUCAAAACUGUCCAACUCUUCUUGUUUUGAAUCAAUUCAUAAGAUUACCAAAACCUACAAAAACAACACAAAUUUGCAUAUUAACCCACACUUUUGCAUGUUUUAGUUAAGAAAUACUAUUUGUAUAAAAAGUAACUUAUAGUUAAGAAAUACUAUUUGUUAACUUAAAACACAUCAAAAACUUGCCCUAAAACCUAACCAAACUAUUUCGCAUGUCUUAUCGUCAAGAUAUUUAAACAAAGCCACUCAUAACCUAGAAAAAUAGUAAAUAAGGUGGGACUAUUAGGAUAAUGUUGGCUAACAACACAUAUGAAAAGAGAGAAAUUAAGUCUAAAAGCAGAUAUCAAACCCCAUCCAAAUGAAGAUGAUUUUGCAUUUAAAAUCAAAGGCAACAAACAAAUGGUAAAGUCAGAGAAUCUAGGAUUUGUAAAGUUUUAUGUGCAAGGAUCUGUAAGAUUUUAUGUGCAAGAAGUCAUCACUAGUGUUAUGGAGAUAAUGAUUUUCUAGAAUUUUUAAUUUUUGAUAUAAUUAAAAAAUACUGAACCAGUGACUCAACUAGUUAAACCGGUAAAUCAAAGACCAAUGACUCAGAUGGUUCGGUCAUCCGUUCGAAUUUAAAAACAUUGAUGAAUAGUGAUUGACUAAAUAGUAAUACAAUGAACACUAAUUACGUGAAUAAUAAUGUGAUCAAUAGUCUCGAGGAACAAAAGUAGAUUUCAGAAUUAACUCUAUUCUUGUCUCUUUCCCAUAAUUGCUUGAUCUGAUACCAUGAUAAUGUGUUUGGCCAAAACAAAUCUGAUCACCUUUUUGUAUUGUGUGUGUGUGUCAAACGAUUAUAUAUAUAUAUAUAUAUAUAUAUAUAUAUAUAUAUAUAUAUAUAGAUAGCAAUACCCUUAUUCUCUUAAUAAUGUUAACCAAUUUCACUAAAACAAUUUGAACUGCAAAUUCACAUACUACCUAAUCAUCAUCCUUUUAUGAGUAUAGUCCAAAAAAGGGAUGCAAAGAAAUAAGUUUUACCUUAUUAAAUGUUCAAUUUCUCAUCUUGUUGGGAUUAAUUGGUGACUCUAGAAUCAUAAAAAUCUUUGUAAUUCAUUGAUUUUUGGCCCUAAUGGAAUAACUGACAAGAAAAUUAGUGACUAAAAUAUUCUAGAAUUGUUACUUUUCAAGCAAAAAAGAAUGUGGCACAGAAGGAUCCUCCACCAAUCGCCAGUGGGAAGAGUGGAGGAUCCUUCUCUGCCACAUUCUUUUUUGCAUUAAAAGUAACAAUUCUAAAAUGUUUUAGUCAAAAAUUUUCUUGCUAGUAACAAUUCUAAAAUGGAGGAUCCUGCUAUACCACAUUCUUUUUUUGUAUGAAAAGUAACAAUUCUAAAACGUUUUAGUCACUAAUUUUCUUGCCAGUCAUUCCAUUAGGGCCAAAAACCAAUAAAUUAAAAAGGUAUUUAUGAUUCUAGAGUGACCAAUUAAUCCCAGAAAGAAGAGAAAUUGAGCAUUUAACAAGGUAAAACUUAUUUCUCUGCACCUCUUCUUUGGACUAUACUCAUAAAAGGAUGAUGAUUAGGUAGUAUGUGGAUUUGCAGCUCAAAUUGUUAUACUAGAAUUGGUUAGCAUUGUUAAGAGAAUAAGGGUAUUGUUAUAUAUAUAAUCGUUUGUCACACACACACAACACAAAAGGUCAUCAUAUUUUUUUGGCCAAACACAUUAUCAUGGUAUCAGAUCAAGCAAUUAUGGGAGAGAGAAUAAAGUUAAUUAUGAAAUCCACUUCUAUUUCUCGAGACUAUUCAUCACAUUACUAUUCAUGUAAUUAGUGUACAUUGUAUAACUAUUUAAGCAAUCACUCAUCAUCAAUGUUUUUAAAUUCGAACGGAUGACCGACCCAUCUGAACCCAUUGAUCUUUGAAUUUUACCGGUUUAAUUAGUCGAGUCACUAGUUCAAUAUUUUUUAAUUAUAUUAAAAAUUAAAAACUCUAAAAAAUCAUUAUCUCCGUAGCACUAGUGAUGAUGACUCCCUGCACAUAAAACCUUACAGAUCCUUGCACAUAAAACUUUACGAAUCCCAUAUUCUUUGACUUUACCAUUUGUUUGCUGCCUUGGAUUUUAACCUCAAAAUCAUCUUCAUUUGGAUAGGAUUUGAUGUCUGCUACUGGACUUAAUUUCUAUCUUUUUAUCUAUGUUGUCAACCAAUAUUAUCCUAACAAUCCCACCUUAUUUACUAUUUUUCUAGAUUAUAAAUGGCUUUGUUUAAACAUCUUGACGAUAAGGCAUGCGAAGUGGAGAUUCUAAAUGAAAAUUGUGAGGUUGUCAAAUUGUUGGAGGUAGAAAACCUAUCUAAAGUGGCAAAGUUAGGGUCCAAAGCUCUUUUGAGAGCUGAUAUAGCUGCUUUGUUUGUUUGCCUAAACAUCUCCAGAGGAUAGGCAUCGCCCCCUUGAUUUGCUAAAAGAACGUGGAUUUUACCUAAUCAUUAAUGAUUGGACAAAUUUGGAUGAAGUUAAAUGGAAGAGAUAUCAUUUCUAUCAAUUUCCAGUACUUGUUUGCUACAAGAAAAGCCUUGGGUGAAACUUAUUUCAUCGUAUAUUUGAUUGUGGGAUUCUUUUUGUGUUUAAUCCUUAUUUUUUUUUCUUAAUGCAUAUUUAGGUUGAUGUUUAGUGUCAACGCCUAUUUUGAAAAUGAUAGCCCUGGAACUGCUAAAUGGUAAAAGAAUUCAAGAAAAGACAAAAUGGAAAUCCUGAAAAAAGCAUUUCUCAAUCAGACCCUUCAAUGGAUAAAAUAAAGGCUAAUCAAGUAGCAUUUUCAGUUCUCUUGAUAGUAUUCUUAAAUAGAAAUGCUUAGCUAUUUUUCGGUGAUUAAUAUUUUUAUUGUUGAUUUCUUUGUCUAAAACAAGAGAGAGAACUCCUAGUUUCUAUAAUCAACAACCGAAAAUAAAAGAUCUUAAUAAAACUUAUUUUUUUCUUGGGAUAACAUGUAAUAACAUCCCAUAUUACAAAUAGUAUUAAAAAAUUCUAGUUCUUUUUUAAAUAAAGGUAAAUAUGGGCAAGAGAAUGUAUAUAUUACUUGUAUGUCUUCAUUCGUUAUCCAAUCUACAAGAUUAUAGGUUAAUACUCUCAUCAGAUCUGCCAUGAAAAUAGGAGGAAAAAAGUGUAAGUUUUUUGUUUUUUACCCAAAUCCCUUGAUACAACUAGGUAGCUAUUACUUUUCUUUUUUUUAAUAAAAAAAUAUAGUUUAAACAAUAAAAGAUUUGAGAAGUCCCUUCAAAUCCUCAGAAUAGAUAGAACUAAUUAUUUAAGAGUAAAUAUUAUACAAAUAAAAAUUGUUGCUAAAGAGUGCCCUCCUUUGCCAAAAGGUUUGCACACCAAUUUCUUUCUCGAUAUACAUAUUGUAUUUUGAUUUGGUGCAACUCUGCUGUUAUCUCCCCUUGCUAGUAUAUUGACUACUAUUUACUCCGCAAGAAAGUUGCCUAUUGGUGGAGCGGUAAACGUAUCAUAAGUAAAGUAGCAAUAGUUACCAUAGAAACAUGACAACAACUUUUCUCUCCAAAUGGUAAUGUGAUUGGUAUGGGAGGGAAAUAGUAGGCUUGUAUGUACCACAAGUAAAGUAAAAGUUACCACUAGAAACAUGAUAGUUAACUUUUCUCUAAACUAAAAUUGAUUUUGAGGCUUAAGAAAUUGCGCAAUGUGCAAGGGACAACAACGCUAGAAUGGAUUUUAUGACCUGCAACAACAACAAAAAAUGGCUGGAAUGGUGUUUAUGACUAAAAAAUUGAAGGAUUAUCAUUGGUAGCAAUCAAUAAUUGGGUAAAUAAGUUUCAAUUUUUUUUAUUUUGUUCUUUCAAAAUCAAUUUUUGCAUAUCGUCUAAACUUUGGUAUUGAAUUUCAAUAGAACUUUUUUUUGGCAUAUUUUUCUAUUAAUUGUUUAUGGUAUGGAUGUUACUCUCUCUCUCUCUCUCUCUAUUUUUUAUACUAGAUGAUACAAGGUAACUAUAGGACAUACUUUGUUGUUAAAGACUUAAUUUUAGUAUAACAAGAAUAUCUAUAAUACUUCAUCUUCUGUGAUAUUCGAGAAAAUUAUUGCAUUUUUUUCAGCCUAGUUUCAACUAAAUUGUUGACUUUUUAAUCUAGUUAAACUGUUUGACUUGAGAAACUAUCAUGAUUUUUGUUGAAAAACUCAUAAACUUUACACGAUUCAUGGCAGAUGCUUUCCUUUUGCUCUUAUGACUUCUUGUAAGACGUUUCUAUUGUGGAGUCACUUUGCAUGAUCUAUGGCAAACAUAGUGCUGACCACUUAUGUUGAAUAUGUGGGAUAAGUUAAAUAUAAUUUUAUUUAAGUGUUAAUUUGUUCCAAAAGAUUUUGAUCUUUUAUCUAAAUAUGAAAUACGAAGGUUUCUGUCAUUAAUUGAAUUUCUCUUCAUAGUUUCAAGCGUGGUUCAAAUAAACUCUUGCAAGUGGAAAAAAUAAAAAGAUGUUUUAAUAGAGUAUUAGGUAUCGCAAUUGGUGCUUGUGUAAAAGUUUCAGAUAUUGAUGAUUGGAGGAUUUAGCAUUACACUAUUAGAAUCGAACAAUAGAGCACUAAAUUACCAUUGUAUAGAUAAACUAGUGACAAGUGCCAUUCUAGCCUCCAUAAAUUCAAUGCGCCGAUUUGAAAAAAGACUGCAAUAUCUUUAAAUUUAAAUGAUAUCAAAGCCACUAAUAAUAGAUAAAGGUCAUUGGGUCAAAGGUUUGUCUGAGAUCAACCUUAAAACUCUGCCACAGGAAUUCAUUCAGCGACCUGAAGAAUGCGUUCAAUACUGACAAUAUUUUAAAAUAUUACAUACCCGUGAUUGAUAUAUCAAAUUUGAAUGACCCUAACAUUGAGCAACAUGGUAUAUGAUGUAGUGAGAAGCGGGGAUUGAUCCAAAUUAUUAAUCAUGCGGAUUUCUAUUAUGAUACUUUCAAAUUAAGGAUUGUAGCUCGGUGAAUUCUUUGAAUUGCCACCAAUUUAAAGAUUGAAAUAUACCAAAAACAAUUCUUCAACCAAAAUGUUUCUCUUCAAACAAGCUUUCUCCUAGAAUUUGAAAAGAUUGAUAAGUAGCAUGACAAACUUAUGUUUGCCGUAUGCUAUUUCGCGAUGAAGAUGGCCAGGAGCUUUGGCCUUCCAAUUUGUAAGAAAGAAAUGUUGGCUUGGAAUAUAUAAAAUUGUGUGAGAAUACUUGCCCAAAAAGCUACUAAAAAUUCUCCUGAAGUGGUUCUAUGUGAAAGAGUUAAAAAAAAAACACUCAAUGCUUAUGCUGUACAAAAGGAGUCAAUUUAAAUUAUUAUCCAAAAUGUCUCCAACCUAAGCUUGCUAUUGACAUAGGCCAUCAUUCUGACUCAUCAACCAUCACUAUCCUUUCUCAAGGUAUGCGUCAACUAUUUAGAUUCGAAAAUCAAAAAGUGAUCCGUGGAUACAUGUCACUCCAAUAAAUGGAGUUUGGAUUGAUAAAUAUUGUUGAUACUCUAGAAAUCAUGCAGCAAAUGAUGCUAUAAGAGUAUCGAGCAUUGUGUGACUGCUUAGAAAAAAUCACAAUAAAAUUUCAAUGUCAUUUUUGUAGGCCCAAGACCUUUGUCCAAUCAUUGGACCUUUUGAAAAAGUUUAUGAGAACACUGCUGGAGAAGAACCACUCUAUAAAAAGGUGUCGCCUAUUUAGAGUAUGUGUUGCCGCUACUCGAAGUAUGCCAACACAUUUGUACUCAAAAAACACAUCAUGGAAAAGACAAGAUUCAAUUUGCCUUGAUAUCUAAUUCUGUCCUUUAAUGUUAUAUAUUUUUAUAGGAUGUUUGAAUCCCAUACUAUAGAACUGAUCAUGUAAUUUACAUUCCAAAAAAAAAAAAAUGGAACAAAGACUAAUGUCGUUUAUAUGUUAAUAAAUUUGUUGGAUUAGGUAAUGUUUAUUGGGCUUAAUGGCCUUUAUAUAUUUAAAUGAAUAUCAACCCAAUAUAAGUAUGUCUAAUAUAGUAGUAAUAAAAAUUUUAAAAAUGUGACAGUACAUCUAUAAAUGAACCAUGUAUGUUUUUCAAUGUUUGUAGUAUAAUAAAAAUAUGGCUUAAUAUCAAUUGCCUAAUUUACAUCCAACUAAAUUUGAUAUAAAAUAUCGAAUCUAAAAGGGAACAAAAUUCAAUAAUUUUUUAAUACAAAAUACAAAUCAAAAUCUGUCAAAGCUUUCUUAAGUAAAUUCACCAAAAACAUCAAAAUUCGGCUUAUCGAAUUACUAAUUUACUGACAUAUUCUCACCCUCAACUACAAAGAUGCAUAUAUCUAUAUCCACCUAAUUAAAUUUGAUGAGAAAAUAUGUGUAAGUCCUUCGGUAAAUUUCAUCCAUGAACUUUAUAUUCUACAGAACCUUUUUAAUUUACACUACGAAAAAAAUCUAAAAUCUCCAACUUUGAUAGCUCUAGUUGUAUGCAACACUAUAUCAUUUGAUAAAUCAUAAAUUUCUUUGUAAUUCUCACUCCAUUUUCUUUAAUUCUUUUUUGUUCUCUUUAUUAUUCUUCCCCUUCUAUUUUUUCUUAAUUUUUCCUACCACCAAUUUAUCUUUAUUUUGCUUCGUGCAUAAGCAAUAAGUUUUAAACUACGAUCAAAAUAAGCAAUUGUUAGAUAAUAUUAACUUGAUAGUGGUUACUAUUGCAAUUUGAUUUAUGAUGUUUAGAAAAGAUAUACUAUCUCAAUAUUACCAUUAUUCUUGAUAAAAUUUAAUAAUUCAAUCAAAUUUAUUAUACAAAAAUAUUGAAAUCUCUUAUAAUACAACACAAGAUUAUAAUUUUUACACUACGUAACUAUUAAAAUCAUUCAUUUUAAUAUCAUAAAAAUUAUGUGCACAAAUUCUAGCUAAUUUCAAAGUAGUACUCCCUCCAUUUCAUUGAAGUUAUGUGCACCAAUUCAUUUUUGGUUGAUUGUCAUAUAAUAAAAUGAAAAUAUUUUCAUCCAAUUUCAAUAUUUAGCCUUCUCAAAUGUGGGUCAUGUAAGUUUCACACAUUAAUCAAAAGAAAUUGGAAAUAACUACAAUAUGGUGCCUAAAAAACACUAGUAGAAACUAUAAAAUAAACGGGCUCCACAAUGAUUGAUUUUCAAGAUAUCUUUGUCAGCCUAUGUUACACAUAUAAGUGUAAAAGAUGGAAAGCAAAACACAAUUUACUCAAUUGAAUGCACUGUUGGUAAAAAUUAUAAUUUUCUAAAGUACAAUUAACUUAUUAGGAGAUAGUAUUAAAUUUGGCAUUAUGUGAGUAUAUUUUUUUUAGAUAAAAUUUAUGUUGAAACCAAAAAACAACUUUCAUAUUUUCGUGGACUAUAUGAAAAAUGCAAAUCUUACAUAGGUUUAUUAAUCACUAUACAACAAUACAAAAAUAUCUGUUCAAUAAUCCAAUUCAGUCACAAAUUUUGCUAGUUAGAAGUCUAGCAAAAUCAAGUUCAUGUUUGAUUCUUGCCAUGUUCCAACUUAAAUGCAUCUAUUUAAGUGAACUUGAAAUUGGGAGAGGGAAUAUAAGUAAGAAGUUGGGUUCGAUCCCUCCUGCUUACACUAUAUAUAUAUAUAUAUAAAGUGAACCUGCAACAAUUUUAAAAUAAGAUAAUUUGGUAUUAUUUGAGCAUUAUAGGGAUAAUUGCCUUAUUUGAAUUUUUUAUAUUUCUAAUAUAAAUGUAAUAGCAAAAGAGUUCAUCGAUCUAUAAUGAAAUUGUAGUGACUUCUUAAAAGGCAUAAGAUAGGCAAUUGUUCCUUACUAAAAAUUAGUGGAUCCAUAGAACAAUAUUGAGAAGUUAAAUAAAAGCAACACAUAGUUGGGUUUCAUUUGCAUAGUUUUAACUAUUAUACAUCAACACUCUCCUAUAUUUCUCAAAUGAGAAGGAAAUUUAUCUAGUAUUUCCUAAUGCUGGACCAUAUCUAUACUUACAAUCAUACAUUUGGUCUGCAUAGAAGACAUACGUCACACAACCAGCAUCUCUUACAAAAGUUGGCAUAUUUUACCACUUAAUAAUUAAUUAAAGACACAUGCAUUGCACCCUUUAUUUUUGUGAGGCAUUACACCUAGGGUGGGCAAAAAAAUCCGAAAACCUGAUAGACCGAUCCGACCCGUACCGAAAAUUAGGAUAUCCGAUCUGAUUUUUAUCAGUGGAGCAAAUAGGGUCGGGUACCAUAAUAUUGGGAUACGGAUACAGAUCAUAAAAAUAAAAACCCGCCAGUACCCGACCCGGGGUAUAUUAUAUAAAUAUUAAAAAAUAUAGGGGCCAAUUUAUAAUAUUUUUAAGUUAUUAACCAUAACCUGAAAUCCAUCGGCAUCAAUCAUUCAAUUGGAACUCUUCAGGGCCGACACUCUCAUUUCACACUUUCACCCCAACGGCAACUCUUUUCUGACUUUCUCCUUCUCUUCAAUUUUGUUUCAAGUUGAAUUCAAAAGAAAGUUGCAAAAGAUUCUCAAAACUCAAACCUCAAGCCUCAAGCAGAAGAUUCAAUAGAGACCUUCGAUUUCUCAAGCCUCAAACUAUCAAACAGAAGCUGUACCUUCACAAAAGGUAAUUUGGACAAGUAUUUGUUAGCAUUUUGCAUAAAGCUUUUUGUGCCAUACAGUAAUUUUGCCAUAUAGUAAUUUUUGCCAUAAAUUAAAAGGUUUUUUUUUCGAGAACGCCGACCUUCAAUAGCUUGAGUUCUUUUGGUUUUGAUGCUUUUGAGAACGCCGACCUUCAUCUUGUUUUUUCUUUUUUUUUUAAAUUGGUUUUUUCUUUUGGAGGGAGAUACAGAGGCAGCACCACCAGUCCGGCCACUGAGUUGAUGUCAUAAAAUAUUGUCAAUUAUUAUUAUUAUUAUUCCAGUGUGGGCUUAUUUUGUGAAAUCUUGGAAAUAAAAAUUUUGCCCCAGUAUGAGCCCAUUUGAUUGCAAACAAUUGGUUUGGAUGCCUCUCCAUUUAUUUGAACAAAGAGAAAUCGCACUUUUCCAAAAUUUAGAAAGUAAUCAGAUAUACGACGUGAAGAAAUUUGAAUGUUGAGUUCAUGCAGAAAUUUCAUGAUGAAUUCCUCAAAAUAAUGCCAAAUUACAAGAUAUUUCUUCCUUACCUUAGCAUCGAAGCUUUGGGUAAUGGGCGUUAUUUCUGAUUUGGAAAUGGGAGGUCAAGAUUGGUCUUAUUCUUUGUGCCCAAAUGGUGUGUAAUCCCUUCAAUACCAUAUCUUAGUGAAAGCAAAGAGUUUGUCACCCUUAUUUCUUAAGAAAACCUAGUCAACGUAUAAGCUUCAUGGGCUUGCAAAAUUUUGGGUAGAAAUGAUAGCUAAACAUGUGAAAUCUGGUUAUACCCUUAUGAUCAUGAGUGAUCGAUGGAUUUUUAUGAGCAUAAUCCUCACUUUGGAUUGUCAUGAAGGAAUAAGUCAACGAUGGACUUUAUUAGCUUGUAAUUUGGCUUGAAAACGACAGCUAAAGAAAUAAUUUCCAAAGGAUAUUGCACCGAAGAUCGCAUUUUUCAACACUGCCCUCAUCUGGACUCCAGAUUCUUGGACUUUGUUUAACUUUUUAUCAUCACCCAACAGGGUCUUUCAACAUCAAAUCUUUUUGCAUCUUUCUUUUGCAUUCAUUUCGCUCGCUUUUCUUUCCUUUUUCCCUCUUUUCCAAAAAGACCCUCGCGGGAUUUCACAUGAAGAGCAGCGUCAACCUCACACCCAAUCAAUUCAGAAAUACAGCUAAAACUUCCGGCAUCAGAAAUUUGCUUGACAGGGCCAUUGCAAAGAACAGAAGUCAGGACUUUCGGCUUUGUAAUGGGGUCAGGUGGGGUGCUUAGAAAAGUUAAGGCUUGAAAACGGAUUUCAAAACUGGUUUGAAGAAUCUGAGAUCGCAUUGUUGCGCCAACCCUAUUUUAGGGUAAAAUCAGAAUUUGCCUCAGUUUUUGCUCAAUUGAGGCUUUUUCUCUUUCAUUUUCUUUCUUUUUUGAUUUUUCGGCCUUCGGCCAUUUUUGAACUUUCACAAAAUUUGCCCCAGUUUAAUUUUGAACUGAGGUUCUCUUUUCUCUUUUGUCUUUUUUUACUUCUUGAAAUUUUCUUUUCCAACUCAAACUUGCCCCUAGUGUGGGGUUUGCGAUUCUCAGGGGUUACCAAAUGAAGUAUUUUAUUCUGAAGGCUCAAAAGGGAUAACUAGGGAUAGAAUGUUUGAUUGAAAAAGAAGAUGGCCUGACUUGUAUUCCGUUCCUUACAAUAACUCUGAAAGGAAACUUUCAUUAAUAGGAAAUUUCUGGCAUGUAUCUGAAUUAACUGCUUGAGGAAGACCCUUGUUCAUCCAUGCUUGUGAAACAUAGGCGAUCCACGCGGACAAAACUCUUUUUUUCCUUCAAAAUUGGAACCCAAGUGGAAUCAAAUUUCCCCAAUUUGCGGUUCCCUUCCUAUUUUAGCAUUUUUGCUUUUCCCCUUUUCUUUUCCCUUUUUCAAAAUUCCUCAAUCUCCUUCCCCAAUGUGGGGUGCGAUCAUAUGUGCACUCGAAAAGAACCAUCAAUUUUUAGCUCAAAUGAGGAUGCAAGGGAUGAUCAGUGUUUAGGUUAUAGAAAUGAUGGCCAAAGUAUCAUUCUUACGCUUCAUGACAAUCAAAGUAAUGCAAUGCUCAUUGAGAACCCAUUCCCUUUUGAAAGUUUUCCAAUGUAGGGUAGAGAUCAUUAAGGCCUUUAUUUGAAACGAAAUUAUCCUUCCAAAGGCUCAAAUGGGAGAGCAAAUGAUAAAAUCUGUAUAGGUAGAGAAAAGAAUGCUCGAAGUGUCAUUCCAAAUUUUCAAAACAAACAAGAAUAAUGCACAUUUUUGCUUUCACUUAGAUGUGAAUUGAAUCUGGUUAAACCAAUGGGCAUUUUCAAGCAAAGAAGGCCCCGAUUUAUCAAUCAAUGUGACAGAUUUUAUUCUGGGAUUAAGUGAAGGAGAAAAGGUAUCUCAUCGGGCUUUUGGAGUGGCCAUUCAUUAUUUUUGAGCACUUUUAUUGUACAGCUCGGAUCACCAACCUGGUAUGCAUGAAGAUUUUAGAGAGUAUACACUUGUGAAUCCUCAGACUGAGGUUGGAAAAAAUCUCAAUUUGGUUUUAUUUCUCAAAAUUCAUCAUGAACUCUCCAAUGAGUAAGAAUAAAGAAUGAAAUGUACAUGAAUAUAAAAAACAAUAAUUGUCCAAAAAUUUUUGUUGCUGAAAAAAUUUGAAACAAAAUUUCUCGUUCAAUUAUGAUACAAAUGAGAAGAAAAAACUUCUAAAGAGCCCCACAUAUAUACUCUUUUUGUCUCCCUUCCUUUUAGAGCAAAAAUGUAUUAACACAUCAAAUAAACAGAAUUUUCCUUUGAAAAACAAUUAUAAAGCCUCUCAGAGAUUUUGGCCUAGAGCCUUCAGAUGGAUCUUUCAUGUCCCCGUGGCAAGAUCUACCCAAGAAUCAAAUAAUACUUGUAACCUUCAAACUUUAUUGGACCAAAAUUAUCAUCAGAUAUAGAAGAAUAUUUCCGUCUUAUUGAAAUAUUUUUAUGAAUGCAGGGGAGGGGAAAACAAAAGAAAAUACCCCGAGUUAGUAGGCAAAACUGCAAAAUCGGUAUGCAUGUCCUAUGGGGGAACCCUUUUCAUGCCAAGGGUAGGCCUAGAAUGAGAAUGCAAUCCUCCAGAGCAGGCACUAUACAAUACCUGAUGAAUCCGAUCACUUGAUUGAGUGAAAAAUGAUUUGAAAAAUUUGGCCCAUUGGAAUGAGAAGAGACGUUUGUCAAAAUGAGAUUGACCACUUUUGAUCGAUACAAGAACUAGCAAAAACGCACGGGUUUGACCUUGACGAGCUUCCUAUCGAAGGAAUUCGUUUUGACAACUUUUCUCAGUGAAGCACGGGCAAAACUCCAACUGAUCAAAUGGCUGGAUGCAAUGGAUGCUUUUCUCAAAAUCGACUAGGUUUUCCAUUUUGAAAUUUGACAUUGAAACCCUAAUUGGUCAAAUGAAAUUGACAAUUUAUGAAAAAUCGACCGGAUUACCCUAAAAAGGGAAACAGGUCAAAUGAAUUGAAUGAAAUUUAAUUUUUCCAAAAUUAAUCAGAUCACCCUAAAAAGGGUAAAUUGAUCAAAUAAAUUGCACGAAACUUGAUUUAUUCAAAAUCGGCUCGGUUGCCCUAAAAAUGGGUAAAUUAGCCAAAUGAAUGAUUUAUUCAAAAAUCGGCCGAAUGACCCUAAAAAGGGUAAAUCGGCCAAAUGAAUGAUUUAUUCAAAAAUCGGCCGACUGACCCUAAAAAGGGUAAAUCGGCCAAAUGAAUGAUUUAUUCAAAAUCGACCAGGUGACCCUAAAAAGGGUAAAUUGGUCAAAUGAAUUGACGAUUUAUUCAAAAUCGACCAGGUGACCCUAAAAAGGGUAAAUUGGUCAAAUGAAUUGACGAUUUAUUCAAAAUCGACCAGGUGACCCUAAAAAGGGUAAAUUAGUCAAAUGAAUGAAAUCGGUGAUCUUAUUCAAAAAUCGACUAGAUUGCCCUAAAAUGGAUAAACUAGUCAAAUGAAUUCAAAAUCGACUAGGUUGCCUUAAAAAUGAACAAAUUGAUAAAAUGGACUGGAUGAAAUUGAGGAAUCAAAUGAUCCAAUGGACUGAAUGGCUUGAUGCAUUAGUCAAUGAGCCUUCUAAAAUCAAAUUUUGGCCUCAGUUUAUUUAUCGUCUCAAUAGGAAAAAUCAUUUGUGAAUUUCUUCAAAUUAAUGUCCUUUUACGCAAGGGAUUUUUACCAACUUGACAAAAUGGCCAAAAAGUGAUUAUUAGACGCUCAUAUUCUAAAGAUCACUCUAUGAAAAUGAUCGGAUCCUACCUUACCUUGUGCACUACCCCUUUGGAUGGUACAAAAAUGUAAACGUGCAAGUCUCACUGGAUUAAGUAUCCGAAACACAAGGUGGCUUAUUCCUAACACGGGAUUCCCUAUGUGGCAUUCCCUUUCUAUGGUUUAUGCAUGAUGCCAGUUAUUAAAGCGAGGUAAAUAUGUGACAAAUAUGGCCUAAGGGACAUAAAUAAUGCAUCGGGGAGAAAAGGUCUAAAAUGAAAUGUAUUUAUUGAAAAUUAAGUGUAAUGACUGAAAUUUAAACAUGCGAGUUAUCUAGUAGGUAAGUCGCUAAAAGAGUGCCAAAGGGGCCUCUUAUUGCUAAGGCACAUGAAUGCAGACCAAGAAAACAAUGAAAUGGUUAGUGCAAUUGAUAGUACACAUAACACAUUGGGAGCAAUUAAGAAAAGAAAUAUAAUAAAGCAAGUAAAAGGGGUGGAACCCCUUCCCUCGUGCCUAAUUGUGCUUAACAAGGGUGAGGCUGACUCUACCCUAGGAAAAUUCUAUAAUGGAUGCAUGAGGCUGGGGCUCACUAAUGCAACUAGACUCGAUAAGUCUCGGCUCCCAAGCCUUCAGACCUAAAGGCGAAGGGUCAUCACUCCCAGGGCCUUUGAUCGGUGGCUCGAGUGAUCCCUUAGGUAGCGCUAUGGGCGCAGAGCACACCAGCCGCCUACCCAAGGCAAUCGAUCCUAAUCCUACAGGGCGGUGUGGGAUGGCGCCCACGAAAAAUAAAAAUAAAAUGGGAUAAAGCAAGUAAACGUGCACGUAUGAAGUGUUCCCCUAUUUUGAGGGAAGGGGUGAGAACCACGCGAGGCUCUAAAGGUGACACACCCCCCCAAAUGCAAUGCAAGCGCGAGAUAAACAAGUAAACAUACAUCCAAUCAACCAAUCACACGUACGUGAGUGAGGGAAUAGUUGGAUACGCGCGCGAGGCAAAAGGCCUUAAAAUAGAAAAUGCAACCCUAAUAACCAAAUGCAAUGCAUAAAAAGGGUAGAAAAAGGAAACGAAUGGCUAAGUCAAAUGCUUGGACCCACUUAGGAAGUCCCCAGUGGAGUCGCCAACUGUCGCGCCCCACUUUUCGAAUGAAUGGUGAAUGUGUGUGAUGUGUAAUGUGUGAACGUGUGCAAAAUGAAAAGUAAAAGGCCAUGGGACUUAGAAUGCGAUGAUUUGGCCAAGUGAAGUUCAAAAGGGUUUUUUGUAUCAAAAAUGGAGUCGCCACUUGGUAUAGAGUUAGGGUGUACCAAGUCACCCAAAAAUGAUUUUUGUUUUUGAAUAAAAAGUAAAUAAACCCUUUUUGAGAACUUUUGGGUCUACGUAACCAAAAGAGGGAUCGGGGGUCACAUUUGACGAAGGGGAAGGCAAGGAUAAAAAUCCAAGGCACCCCUUCGACCUAGCCAAGGCUAGUUGCAUGACUUAAACCAAUUUUUCCUAAUUUUUCUACGCGUAUUGGAUAUGUCUGCAAAAACCUAGACCUAGGGGGAUUGGGGGAAAUUUCUCUUCAAAGGUUGAGUGGUGCCAAUCACAUUAAUUGUGAAGCCCAAUAAUGAUCCUUUUGGAGAGGUCACACCUAAACCUAAAUGACGUGAAAAAUGAGUGGAAUGCAUGCCAUGUGAAAGUGUGAGUUUGUGUGAAGUGAGAAAAAUGAUAAAAGUAAUAAGAUAAGAGUGAAGGUGUGCAAAUGUAGAUGAAAGUACUCGUGUGCGAGUGAAGAUAAAAAUGUUCGUGUGCAAGUGAAGAUAAACGGGUUCGUGUGCAAGUGGAGAUAAAAAAGUGUUCGUGUGCAAGUGAAGGUGAUAAAAAGGUGCAUGUGUGUAAAUGAGACAAAAGUGAAAGUGUAAUGAUAGAGUGGAUUGAGAAUGCAUGAGCCUAGGGAAUUCAUGCAUAUUGGGUACGGGGAGACCUAAAUCGUGACUUGAUUUUCCCUUUGAUUAGAAGGCGAAACUAGCGUGCUAAGGCUAUCGAGUAGCCACACUCGCUCGUUUCCCUUAUCGGAAGGGGACACUCAAGCAAAAUGAACCCUAUAGCUAGUAUGGGAUGCAAAACCUAAAAUGAGGGAAAAAGGGGGGUCGAGGAUCAUGCCAAAUGAUAAAACUGAGGAAAAUGCGUGAUAUGUAAUGAACAGGCAAAUAAUGCAUUAAUGAAGAAAACAAAGGAAAAAUCCUAUUGGGUCUAGCGUUGGACUAGCCCUUUCUAUGAAUUCCUAAUGAAAUAAUGAGCCACAGCUAGCGUUAGGCUAGUGUGGUGACGUACAUUCAUCCAUUCCAUUCAUUCAUGGUUAUGAAAGCAAGUAGACAUGCCAAAACGCUCGUAAACACGUAGCACGUAGCACUUAGCAUGCUCGACUAGAUGCAAGAGCCUACUAAAGCAAUUUAACAUGUAACAACAAAAGCAAGCAACCAAGGGGAAGGGGAAAUGGACCAGAUGCUCUCCGAGCCCUAUCUAUUACAAGCCAAGAGGUGUACACAUACCCCAUAAAACAUAAAGGGGAAGGGUGAAUGGACCAGAUGCUCUCCGAGCCCUAUCUAUUACAAGCCAAGAGGUGUACACAUACCCCAUGAAAGCAUAAAGGGGAAGGGGAAAUGGACCAGAUGCUCUCCGAACCCUAUCUAUUACAAGCCAAGAGGUGUACACAUACCCCAUGAAAGCAUAAAGGGGAAGGGGAAAUGGACCAGAUGCUCUCCGAGCCCUAUCUAUUACAAGCCAAGAGGUGUACACAUACCCCAUAAAACUUAAAUAAAAGUAAAAACAAGCAAAUGCAGGCAAGGAGGUAAGGAAAGCGGAGUAGGCAUGCAUAUUCACAUAACACGUAGGAGCACGUAAGGCUAAAUGUAGUGCAAAUGAGGGAUAGAGUGUACCUCCCUUGAAUUGACGCCCCAAUGAAGUGGAAUUAUUCAAUUACCCUCCAAAAUAAUAAAAAGGUCAAGGCACCACUUUAUUUAAGAAAAAUUAAAAGAAAUGGGCAAAACAAGGCUCACCUAGUCAUAAGGUCCCUAAAGUCAUAACUUAAGUGCAAUUUAAACUAGGCAUGGUAAUUAAUUAAAACAAACAAACAAUGAAGUGGCACAAUUUAAAAUUAACAAGGACCAAAAUGAUGAAAUUCUCUAAUUGAUUGGGUCAUAGUGAAAUAAGGAGAGACUUGGGGGGUUAAAGUCCAAUUUUAGAAUUUAUUUCAUGCAUGCAUACGUAAAGAACUUAAAAUUCUGCAACUAAAAGGAAUGAAUUCUGCUGACUUUUUGUCCCAAGCUUGCGGCAAUGUCCAGAUGCAAUUCUAUCCGUUUACCAUGGAAACAAAAUUAUCAACUAAACCCACAACUUCAUGGUGGGAUUGAAACAAACAAAAUUGGAGCUGACCAGCAAAAGAAAAACUAACAGCAAAAGAAAGAAAAAGAAAAAAUGCAGCAAAACCUUCGACAAUCAAGAACAGGCGCACACUACUGCCUUUUCCUUUCAAGUAAAGAUUCCAGAUUUAAUCCAGAACUAUUCAUCUAGACUUCAACUUAAAUUGAGCAACGAAACUACAUGAUGAUCACAAUCCAAUGGCCAGAAAUUUGGAAAGAUCUUAUGCAAAAAUACUGGAAAAAUAUGCAAAAAUCUGAAGAACAAAACUGCUGCAACUUUCUUUGUUCAUUCAAGACAAAUUUCAUGCAAACAGGUUCACUGAAUACCAGGAUUUUAACUCUCAGCUAUCAACUAAAACAAUAGCUAGACUUUGUUGCAGGUCCAAAGCAAAGAAUCUAAGCAAACCGUCAGGGAUUAAAAGGAACUAAUCAACAAAAGAAUGGAAAAAGUGCAGCAGAAAUUUUUCUUUGCAACUUGCUGUGCUUCAUUACCGAAACAUUACCAGCCAAACCUCAACUUUUGAAUCAAAUGAUCAUAAGACAUUCCCCAAAUCAUCAACCAAGCCAAAUAAGACACUCAUUGCAAGAUCAAAUAAGAAAAUUUAGGUUGAUGACUGCUAAACACAAAGGGGCGGCAGAAAAUUUAUAACAGCCCAAACAAAAAUGCAGCAAAACUCUUCUCCAUUCUCUGUGAUCUUACAACUUCAUUAGCCAUUCAGUGAGCUUACAUUAGAUUCCAGAAUCAUCAUAAAACGUUAGCUUAGACAUGCAAACCAAGAACUCUAACAUCCAGAUUACAUCAAUAAGGACCAAAGAUAUAGCCUUUCCAACAAGAUUAUCAAGCAUCUGCUUGGCUCUUCAACUCACGGACAAGAUGGGCAAGCCUUUUGAACCGAAUAAAUGAGAGGAGGGAAUGGGAAACAAAAAGGGACCGGUCAUGAACAAUUAAGUGACGUUCAUUUCUAGCUAAAAUGCAAAUUUUUAGAUGUCUUAAAAGAACACAAACAGCAUGCGAUUGAUGCAAGACCCAUAACAGAGCAAGAACUCAGAUUUCAUAUGAAAUGACAAUAGACAAACAAAAGGGUGAAGGUUACCUAUUCACUGCCGUUGGAGUUGAAGCUUCAUCCUGGGUUCGACGACAAUAGGGAAACAGCUUCUGAUGAGGAAAUCUACUGGGGAUGUUCAGCCUUCUCCUUGUUUUCUUUUGAAUCGAACAGUUCCUCCUUUUCUCCCGUCCUUGCUUGAUUUUCUUCAGCCUUCAAUGCUUUCGUAAGCCACAAAGUCUAACCAGCCGCCCCUUCGUCAUUUGAUUUCUUCCUUUGUUUCCCUCCUGUCACUCCACUCUCGGACUUCCCUCUGUUUUCCUUUCUUUUCUGGUUCCUCUCCGUCAGAACCCCCUCUUGCCCGAAGCCUUUCUCUGUUUUUUGUUGUCACCCUCUCAAUCUUUCUCUCCUCCUCCCUUGCGGCUGUUACCCUCUUUUCCCUUUAUACCUGGACUUUCCAACCCUAAAACAACUCAGCAUAUUUCCAUAUUUGCAGCCAAAGGAGCCGUCUCAACCUUUUUUUGCAAGCUGCAACAAAACGCAGCUUCAUGCCGCGUUUCUGUGUUUUUUUUUUUUUUUAAAACUAUUAAUACAAAAAUUAAUAAAAUAUAAAUAAUAAUAAUAACAAAAUAACAGAAUUGAACACAAUUUAAAAUAAAUAAAAAAGUGGCCAUUUUCAAUUUUUCACAUUUUUCUUUUCCAUUGUUUUUUCUUUUCUUUUCCCUAAAUAAACCAAACAAAAAUAAAAGAUAAAUUAAGUAGAAAUGACUAAAAUAGAUAAACAAAAACAAAAUUGCUAUUUUUCCCUUUUCCUUUUUUUCCUUUUUCAUUCAUUUUUCCUUUUUCUUUUUUUCCCUUUUUUUUCUUUUCAAGAAAUUCUAUGCUAAAAACUUAAAAAUAAAAAUAAAACUAUAAACUAAAAACUAAAAAUCGAAUAAAACUAACACGACAAAUAAAAAAACUAAAAAUAAACAGUAAAUGAAAUUACACCAAAAAUUUGGUGUCUACAGUUUGCCCCUCUUUGUCUGAGUUUUGAAAAAACUUGAGACAAAGAAGUAGACACCAAAUACUUACCUGCAUUAUUCGGCUGCAAAAUGAUUCCAACGAACAAGAAUUCUAAAAACGGGACUGACCCGAACAUGAAUGUAAAAAUGGGAUAGACCCGAACAGAAAUUUAAAUUUGGGAUAGACCCACGGGAUAGACCCGGACAGAAAUGUAAAAUUAGAUGAAUUGAAGUGAGAUGGAGUGUUGGUGGGAUGAAAACACGCACAUUAGUGAGAUAGGCUCGAUGCUAACAGCGGUAGGAUGAAAACGCGCACGUUAGUGAGAUAGACUCGAUGCUAACGGCGGUAGAAUGAAAACGCACACGUUAGUGAGAUAGACUCGAUGCUAACGGUGGCAGAAUAAAAACACACACGUUAGUGAGAUAGACUUGAUGCUAACGGUGGUGGAAUGAAACGCACACGCUAGUGAGAUAGACUCGAUGCUAACGGUGGUUGGAUGAAAACGCACACGUUAGUGAGAUAGACUCGAUGCUAACGGUGGUUGGAUGGAAGCGCACACGUUAGUGAGAUAGACUCGAUGCUAACGGUGGUGAAAGAAACGCACGCGUUAGUGAGAUAGACUCGAUGCUAACGGUGGAAUAGAAACGCACACGUUAGUGAGAUAGACUCGAUGCUAACGGUGGUGAAAGAAACGCACGCGUUAGUGAGAUAGACUCGAUGCUAACGGUGGUAGGGUGAAAGCGCACACGUUAGUGAGAUAGACUCGAUGCUAACGGUGGAAUAGAAACGCACACGUUAGUGAGAUAGACUCGAUGCUAACGGUGGUGAAAUAGAAACGCACACGUUAGUGAGAUAGACUCGAUGCUAACGGUGGUGAAAGAAACGCACGCGUUAGUGAGAUAGACUCGAUGCUAACGGUGGUUGAAUGAAAACCAAUCCCAACAUGACUUUUGUGAAGUUGGCGGCACAAAAUCCAGGCCCAACGUGAUCUUGUGAUAGUUGGCGGCACAAAAUCCAGGCCCAACGUGAUCUUUGAUAGUUGGCGGCACGAAGUCCAGGCCCAACGUGAUAUUGUGAAUGGUCAGUGGGAUAAGACCCAAUCCUGCCAUCCAAUUGGUCAAGAAAUUGAAUUUGAUUUGUCAAAAUACAAGAAAUUAAAUUUGACUUUCCAAGAGACAAGAAUUUGAACUUGAUUUUUGAUUUUUGACUUUUGAAUUUUUCUGAUUUUUCGAGAGAAUCUUUUGCCGCAGUGUAGGGCCCUUUUCCCUUCUUUCUUCUCUUUCUUCGGCAUCGGCCUUCCACAUCACCGGAUGCUCCUUCGUCAAUUUCAACUAUGAAUACCUGCACAGGGGCUUACAUGCAUUCGAAUUUUCAUGAAAAGGACAACAUGAUUGAUUUGAAAGUCUUGCUUGAGUCUUUGACGAAAUCCUCAAAUGGACUAUAAAAAUUUGCCCCAGUGUGGGCUUAUUUUGUGAAAUCUUGGAAAUAAAAAUUUUGCCCCAGUAUGAGCCCAUUUGAUUGCAAACAAUUGGUUUGGAUGCCUCUCCAUUUAUUUGAACAAAGAGAAAUCGCACUUUUCCAAAAUUUAGAAAGUAAUCAGAUAUACGACGUGAAGAAAUUUGAAUGUUGAGUUCAUGCAGAAAUUUCAUGAUGAAUUCCUCAAAAUAAUGCCAAAUUACAAGAUAUUUCUUCCUUACCUUAGCAUCGAAGCUUUGGGUAAUGGGCGUUAUUUCUGAUUUGGAAAUGGGAGGUCAAGAUUGGUCUUAUUCUUUGUGCCCAAAUGGUGUGUAAUCCCUUCAAUACCAUAUCUUAGUGAAAGCAAAGAGUUUGUCACCCUUAUUUCUUAAGAAAACCUAGUCAACGUAUAAGCUUCAUGGGCUUGCAAAAUUUUGGGUAGAAAUGAUAGCUAAACAUGUGAAAUCUGGUUAUACCCUUAUGAUCAUGAGUGAUCGAUGGAUUUUUAUGAGCAUAAUCCUCACUUUGGAUUGUCAUGAAGGAAUAAGUCAACGAUGGACUUUAUUAGCUUGUAAUUUGGCUUGAAAACGACAGCUAAAGAAAUAAUUUCCAAAGGAUAUUGCACCGAAGAUCGCAUUUUUCAACACUGCCCUCAUCUGGACUCCAGAUUCUUGGACUUUGUUUAACUUUUUAUCAUCACCCAACAGGGUCUUUCAACAUCAAAUCUUUUUGCAUCUUUCUUUUGCAUUCAUUUCGCUCGCUUUUCUUUCCUUUUUCCCUCUUUUCCAAAAAGACCCUCGCGGGAUUUCACAUGAAGAGCAGCGUCAACCUCACACCCAAUCAAUUCAGAAAUACAGCUAAAACUUCCGGCAUCAGAAAUUUGCUUGACAGGGCCAUUGCAAAGAACAGAAGUCAGGACUUUCGGCUUUGUAAUGGGGUCAGGUGGGGUGCUUAGAAAAGUUAAGGCUUGAAAACGGAUUUCAAAACUGGUUUGAAGAAUCUGAGAUCGCAUUGUUGCGCCAACCCUAUUUUAGGGUAAAAUCAGAAUUUGCCUCAGUUUUUGCUCAAUUGAGGCUUUUUCUCUUUCAUUUUCUUUCUUUUUUGAUUUUUCGGCCUUCGGCCAUUUUUGAACUUUCACAAAAUUUGCCCCAGUUUAAUUUUGAACUGAGGUUCUCUUUUCUCUUUUGUCUUUUUUUACUUCUUGAAAUUUUCUUUUCCAACUCAAACUUGCCCCUAGUGUGGGGUUUGCGAUUCUCAGGGGUUACCAAAUGAAGUAUUUUAUUCUGAAGGCUCAAAAGGGAUAACUAGGGAUAGAAUGUUUGAUUGAAAAAGAAGAUGGCCUGACUUGUAUUCCGUUCCUUACAAUAACUCUGAAAGGAAACUUUCAUUAAUAGGAAAUUUCUGGCAUGUAUCUGAAUUAACUGCUUGAGGAAGACCCUUGUUCAUCCAUGCUUGUGAAACAUAGGCGAUCCACGCGGACAAAACUCUUUUUUUCCUUCAAAAUUGGAACCCAAGUGGAAUCAAAUUUCCCCAAUUUGCGGUUCCCUUCCUAUUUUAGCAUUUUUGCUUUUCCCCUUUUCUUUUCCCUUUUUCAAAAUUCCUCAAUCUCCUUCCCCAAUGUGGGGUGCGAUCAUAUGUGCACUCGAAAAGAACCAUCAAUUUUUAGCUCAAAUGAGGAUGCAAGGGAUGAUCAGUGUUUAGGUUAUAGAAAUGAUGGCCAAAGUAUCAUUCUUACGCUUCAUGACAAUCAAAGUAAUGCAAUGCUCAUUGAGAACCCAUUCCCUUUUGAAAGUUUUCCAAUGUAGGGUAGAGAUCAUUAAGGCCUUUAUUUGAAACGAAAUUAUCCUUCCAAAGGCUCAAAUGGGAGAGCAAAUGAUAAAAUCUGUAUAGGUAGAGAAAAGAAUGCUCGAAGUGUCAUUCCAAAUUUUCAAAACAAACAAGAAUAAUGCACAUUUUUGCUUUCACUUAGAUGUGAAUUGAAUCUGGUUAAACCAAUGGGCAUUUUCAAGCAAAGAAGGCCCCGAUUUAUCAAUCAAUGUGACAGAUUUUAUUCUGGGAUUAAGUGAAGGAGAAAAGGUAUCUCAUCGGGCUUUUGGAGUGGCCAUUCAUUAUUUUUGAGCACUUUUAUUGUACAGCUCGGAUCACCAACCUGGUAUGCAUGAAGAUUUUAGAGAGUAUACACUUGUGAAUCCUCAGACUGAGGUUGGAAAAAAUCUCAAUUUGGUUUUAUUUCUCAAAAUUCAUCAUGAACUCUCCAAUGAGUAAGAAUAAAGAAUGAAAUGUACAUGAAUAUAAAAAACAAUAAUUGUCCAAAAAUUUUUGUUGCUGAAAAAAUUUGAAACAAAAUUUCUCGUUCAAUUAUGAUACAAAUGAGAAGAAAAAACUUCUAAAGAGCCCCACAUAUAUACUCUUUUUGUCUCCCUUCCUUUUAGAGCAAAAAUGUAUUAACACAUCAAAUAAACAGAAUUUUCCUUUGAAAAACAAUUAUAAAGCCUCUCAGAGAUUUUGGCCUAGAGCCUUCAGAUGGAUCUUUCAUGUCCCCGUGGCAAGAUCUACCCAAGAAUCAAAUAAUACUUGUAACCUUCAAACUUUAUUGGACCAAAAUUAUCAUCAGAUAUAGAAGAAUAUUUCCGUCUUAUUGAAAUAUUUUUAUGAAUGCAGGGGAGGGGAAAACAAAAGAAAAUACCCCGAGUUAGUAGGCAAAACUGCAAAAUCGGUAUGCAUGUCCUAUGGGGGAACCCUUUUCAUGCCAAGGGUAGGCCUAGAAUGAGAAUGCAAUCCUCCAGAGCAGGCACUAUACAAUACCUGAUGAAUCCGAUCACUUGAUUGAGUGAAAAAUGAUUUGAAAAAUUUGGCCCAUUGGAAUGAGAAGAGACGUUUGUCAAAAUGAGAUUGACCACUUUUGAUCGAUACAAGAACUAGCAAAAACGCACGGGUUUGACCUUGACGAGCUUCCUAUCGAAGGAAUUCGUUUUGACAACUUUUCUCAGUGAAGCACGGGCAAAACUCCAACUGAUCAAAUGGCUGGAUGCAAUGGAUGCUUUUCUCAAAAUCGACUAGGUUUUCCAUUUUGAAAUUUGACAUUGAAACCCUAAUUGGUCAAAUGAAAUUGACAAUUUAUGAAAAAUCGACCGGAUUACCCUAAAAAGGGAAACAGGUCAAAUGAAUUGAAUGAAAUUUAAUUUUUCCAAAAUUAAUCAGAUCACCCUAAAAAGGGUAAAUUGAUCAAAUAAAUUGCACGAAACUUGAUUUAUUCAAAAUCGGCUCGGUUGCCCUAAAAAUGGGUAAAUUAGCCAAAUGAAUGAUUUAUUCAAAAAUCGGCCGAAUGACCCUAAAAAGGGUAAAUCGGCCAAAUGAAUGAUUUAUUCAAAAAUCGGCCGACUGACCCUAAAAAGGGUAAAUCGGCCAAAUGAAUGAUUUAUUCAAAAUCGACCAGGUGACCCUAAAAAGGGUAAAUUGGUCAAAUGAAUUGACGAUUUAUUCAAAAUCGACCAGGUGACCCUAAAAAGGGUAAAUUGGUCAAAUGAAUUGACGAUUUAUUCAAAAUCGACCAGGUGACCCUAAAAAGGGUAAAUUAGUCAAAUGAAUGAAAUCGGUGAUCUUAUUCAAAAAUCGACUAGAUUGCCCUAAAAUGGAUAAACUAGUCAAAUGAAUUCAAAAUCGACUAGGUUGCCUUAAAAAUGAACAAAUUGAUAAAAUGGACUGGAUGAAAUUGAGGAAUCAAAUGAUCCAAUGGACUGAAUGGCUUGAUGCAUUAGUCAAUGAGCCUUCUAAAAUCAAAUUUUGGCCUCAGUUUAUUUAUCGUCUCAAUAGGAAAAAUCAUUUGUGAAUUUCUUCAAAUUAAUGUCCUUUUACGCAAGGGAUUUUUACCAACUUGACAAAAUGGCCAAAAAGUGAUUAUUAGACGCUCAUAUUCUAAAGAUCACUCUAUGAAAAUGAUCGGAUCCUACCUUACCUUGUGCACUACCCCUUUGGAUGGUACAAAAAUGUAAACGUGCAAGUCUCACUGGAUUAAGUAUCCGAAACACAAGGUGGCUUAUUCCUAACACGGGAUUCCCUAUGUGGCAUUCCCUUUCUAUGGUUUAUGCAUGAUGCCAGUUAUUAAAGCGAGGUAAAUAUGUGACAAAUAUGGCCUAAGGGACAUAAAUAAUGCAUCGGGGAGAAAAGGUCUAAAAUGAAAUGUAUUUAUUGAAAAUUAAGUGUAAUGACUGAAAUUUAAACAUGCGAGUUAUCUAGUAGGUAAGUCGCUAAAAGAGUGCCAAAGGGGCCUCUUAUUGCUAAGGCACAUGAAUGCAGACCAAGAAAACAAUGAAAUGGUUAGUGCAAUUGAUAGUACACAUAACACAUUGGGAGCAAUUAAGAAAAGAAAUAUAAUAAAGCAAGUAAAAGGGGUGGAACCCCUUCCCUCGUGCCUAAUUGUGCUUAACAAGGGUGAGGCUGACUCUACCCUAGGAAAAUUCUAUAAUGGAUGCAUGAGGCUGGGGCUCACUAAUGCAACUAGACUCGAUAAGUCUCGGCUCCCAAGCCUUCAGACCUAAAGGCGAAGGGUCAUCACUCCCAGGGCCUUUGAUCGGUGGCUCGAGUGAUCCCUUAGGUAGCGCUAUGGGCGCAGAGCACACCAGCCGCCUACCCAAGGCAAUCGAUCCUAAUCCUACAAGGCGGUGUGGGAUGGCGCCCACGAAAAAUAAAAAUAAAAUGGGAUAAAGCAAGUAAACGUGCACGUAUGAAGUGUUCCCCUAUUUUGAGGGAAGGGGUGAGAACCACGCGAGGCUCUAAAGGUGACACACCCCCCCCAAAUGCAAUGCAAGCGCGAGAUAAACAAGUAAACAUACAUCCAAUCAACCAAUCACACGUACGUGAGUGAGGGAAUAGUUGGAUACGCGCGCGAGGCAAAAGGCCUAAAAAUGGAAAAUGCAACCCUAAUAUCCAAAUGCAAUGCAUAAAAAGGGUAGAAAAAGGAAACGAAUGGCUAAGUCAAAUGCUUGGACCCACUUAGGAAGUCCCCAGUGGAGUCGCCAACUGUCGCGCCCCACUUUUUGAAUGAAUGGUGAAUGUGUGUGAUGUGUAAUGUGUGAACGUGUGCAAAAUGAAAAGUAAAAGGCCAUGGGACUUAGAAUGCGACGAUUUGGCCAAGUGAAGUUCAAAAGGGUUUUUUGUAUCAAAAAUGGAGUCGCCACUUGGUAUAGAGUUAGGGUGUACCAAGUCACCCAAAAAUGAUUUUUGUUUUUGAAUAAAAAAGUAAAUAAACCCUUUUUGAGAACUUUUGGGUCUACGUAACCAAAAGAGGGAUCGGGGGUCACAUUUGACGAAGGGGAAGGCAAGGAUAAAAAUCCAAGGCACCCCUUCGACCUAGCCAAGGCUAGUUGCGUGACUUAAACCAAUUUUUCCUAAUUUUUCUACCCAAGGUAUGUAUCGCGUAUUGGAUAUGUCUAUAUGAAUGCAAAAACCUAGACCUAGGGGGAUUGGGGGAAAUUUCUCUUCAAAGGUUGAGUGGUGCCAAUCACAUUAAUUGUGAAGCCCAAUAAUGAUCCUUUUGGAGAGGUCACACCUAAACCUAAAUGACGUGAAAAAUGAGUGGAAUGCAUGCCAUGUGAAAGUGUGAGUUUGUGUGAAGUGAGAAAAAUGAUAAAAGUAAUAAGAUAAGAGUGAAGGUGUGCAAAUGUAGAUGAAAGUACUCGUGUGCGAGUGAAGAUAAAAAUGUUCGUGUGCAAGUGAAGAUAAACGGGUUCGUGUGCAAGUGGAGAUAAAAAAGUGUUCGUGUGCAAGUGAAGGUGAUAAAAAGGUGCAUGUGUGUAAAUGAGACAAAAGUGAAAGUGUAAUGAUAGAGUGGAUUGAGAAUGCAUGAGCCUAGGGAAUUCAUGCAUAUUGGGUACGGGGAGACCUAAAUCGUGACUUGAUUUUCCCUUUGAUUAGAAGGCGAAACUAGCGUGCUAAGGCUAUCGAGUAGCCACACUCGCUCGUUUCCCUUAUCGGAAGGGGACACUCAAGCAAAAUGAACCCUAUAGCUAGUAUGGGAUGCAAAACCUAAAAUGAGGGAAAAAGGGGGGUCGAGGAUCAUGCCAAAUGAUAAAACUGAGGAAAAUGCGUGAUAUGUAGUGAACAGGCAAAUAAUGCAUUAAUGAAGAAAACAAAGGAAAAAUCCUAUUGGGUCUAGCGUUGGACUAGCCCUUUCUAUGAAUUCCUAAUGAAAUAAUGAGCCACAGCUAGCGUUAGGCUAGUGUGGUGACGUACAUUCAUCCAUUCCAUUCAUUCAUGGUUAUGAAAGCAAGUAGACAUGCCAAAACGCUCGUAAACACGUAGCACGUAGCACUUAGCAUGCUCGACUAGAUGCAAGAGCCUACUAAAGCAAUUUAACAUGUAACAACAAAAGCAAGCAACCAAGGGGAAGGGGAAAUGGACCAGAUGCUCUCCGAGCCCUAUCUAUUACAAGCCAAGAGGUGUACACAUACCCCAUAAAACAUAAAGGGGAAGGGUGAAUGGACCAGAUGCUCUCCGAGCCCUAUCUAUUACAAGCCAAGAGGUGUACACAUACCCCAUGAAAGCAUAAAGGGGAAGGGGAAAUGGACCAGAUGCUCUCCGAACCCUAUCUAUUACAAGCCAAGAGGUGUACACAUACCCCAUGAAAGCAUAAAGGGGAAGGGGAAAUGGACCAGAUGCUCUCCGAGCCCUAUCUAUUACAAGCCAAGAGGUGUACACAUACCCCAUAAAACUUAAAUAAAAGUAAAAACAAGCAAAUGCAGGCAAGGAGGUAAGGAAAGCGGAGUAGGCAUGCAUAUUCACAUAACACGUAGGAGCACGUAAGGCUAAAUGUAGUGCAAAUGAGGGAUAGAGUGUACCUCCCUUGAAUUGACGCCCCAAUGAAGUGGAAUUAUUCAAUUACCCUCCAAAAUAAUAAAAAGGUCAAGGCACCACUUUAUUUAAGAAAAAUUAAAAGAAAUGGGCAAAACAAGGCUCACCUAGUCAUAAGGUCCCUAAAGUCAUAACUUAAGUGCAAUUUAAACUAGGCAUGGUAAUUAAUUAAAACAAACAAACAAUGAAGUGGCACAAUUUAAAAUUAACAAGGACCAAAAUGAUGAAAUUCUCUAAUUGAUUGGGUCAUAGUGAAAUAAGGAGAGACUUGGGGGGUUAAAGUCCAAUUUUAGAAUUUAUUUCAUGCAUGCAUACGUAAAGAACUUAAAAUUCUGCAACUAAAAGGAAUGAAUUCUGCUGACUUUUUGUCCCAAGCUUGCGGCAAUGUCCAGAUGCAAUUCUAUCCGUUUACCAUGGAAACAAAAUUAUCAACUAAACCCACAACUUCAUGGUGGGAUUGAAACAAACAAAAUUGGAGCUGACCAGCAAAAGAAAAACUAACAGCAAAAGAAAGAAAAAGAAAAAAUGCAGCAAAACCUUCGACAAUCAAGAACAGGCGCACACUACUGCCUUUUCCUUUCAAGUAAAGAUUCCAGAUUUAAUCCAGAACUAUUCAUCUAGACUUCAACUUAAAUUGAGCAACGAAACUACAUGAUGAUCACAAUCCAAUGGCCAGAAAUUUGGAAAGAUCUUAUGCAAAAAUACUGGAAAAAUAUGCAAAAAUCUGAAGAACAAAACUGCUGCAACUUUCUUUGUUCAUUCAAGACAAAUUUCAUGCAAACAGGUUCACUGAAUACCAGGAUUUUAACUCUCAGCUAUCAACUAAAACAAUAGCUAGACUUUGUUGCAGGUCCAAAGCAAAGAAUCUAAGCAAACCGUCAGGGAUUAAAAGGAACUAAUCAACAAAAGAAUGGAAAAAGUGCAGCAGAAAUUUUUCUUUGCAACUUGCUGUGCUUCAUUACCGAAACAUUACCAGCCAAACCUCAACUUUUGAAUCAAAUGAUCAUAAGACAUUCCCCAAAUCAUCAACCAAGCCAAAUAAGACACUCAUUGCAAGAUCAAAUAAGAAAAUUCAGGUUGAUGACUGCUAAACACAAAGGGGCGGCAGAAAAUUUAUAACAGCCCAAACAAAAAUGCAGCAAAACUCUUCUCCAUUCUCUGUGAUCUUACAACUUCAUUAGCCAUUCAGUGAGCUUACAUUAGAUUCCAGAAUCAUCAUAAAACGUUAGCUUAGACAUGCAAACCAAGAACUCUAACAUCCAGAUUACAUCAAUAAGGACCAAAGAUAUAGCCUUUCCAACAAGAUUAUCAAGCAUCUGCUUGGCUCUUCAACUCACGGACAAGAUGGGCAAGCCUUUUGAACCGAAUAAAUGAGAGGAGGGAAUGGGAAACAAAAAGGGACCGGUCAUGAACAAUUAAGUGACGUUCAUUUCUAGCUAAAAUGCAAAUUUUUAGAUGUCUUAAAAGAACACAAACAGCAUGCGAUUGAUGCAAGACCCAUAACAGAGCAAGAACUCAGAUUUCAUAUGAAAUGACAAUAGACAAACAAAAGGGUGAAGGUUACCUAUUCACUGCCGUUGGAGUUGAAGCUUCAUCCUGGGUUCGACGACAAUAGGGAAACAGCUUCUGAUGAGGAAAUCUACUGGGGAUGUUCAGCCUUCUCCUUGUUUUCUUUUGAAUCGAACAGUUCCUCCUUUUCUCCCGUCCUUGCUUGAUUUUCUUCAGCCUUCAAUGCUUUCGUAAGCCACAAAGUCUAACCAGCCGCCCCUUCGUCAUUUGAUUUCUUCCUUUGUUUCCCUCCUGUCACUCCACUCUCGGACUUCCCUCUGUUUUCCUUUCUUUUCUGGUUCCUCUCCGUCAGAACCCCCUCUUGCCCGAAGCCUUUCUCUGUUUUUUGUUGUCACCCUCUCAAUCUUUCUCUCCUCCUCCCUUGCGGCUGUUACCCUCUUUUCCCUUUAUACCUGGACUUUCCAACCCUAAAACAACUCAGCAUAUUUCCAUAUUUGCAGCCAAAGGAGCCGUCUCAACCUUUUUUUGCAAGCUGCAACAAAACGCAGCUUCAUGCCGCGUUUCUGUGUUUUUUUUUUUUUUUAAAACUAUUAAUACAAAAAUUAAUAAAAUAUAAAUAAUAAUAAUAACAAAAUAACAGAAUUGAACACAAUUUAAAAUAAAUAAAAAAGUGGCCAUUUUCAAUUUUUCACAUUUUUCUUUUCCAUUGUUUUUUCUUUUCUUUUCCCUAAAUAAACCAAACAAAAAUAAAAGAUAAAUUAAGUAGAAAUGACUAAAAUAGAUAAACAAAAACAAAAUUGCUAUUUUUCCCUUUUCCUUUUUUUCCUUUUUCAUUCAUUUUUCCUUUUUCUUUUUUUUCCCUUUUUUUUCUUUUCAAGAAAUUCUAUGCUAAAAACUUAAAAAUAAAAAUAAAACUAUAAACUAAAAACUAAAAAUCGAAUAAAACUAACACGACAAAUAAAAAAACUAAAAAUAAACAGUAAAUGAAAUUACACCAAAAAUUUGGUGUCUACACACAAUUCCAAACAAAAGAGUACAACUUUCACGAAAUUGUCACAGUCACUAGCAUGAAUAUCCUAAUCAAAACCCCCAAUAAAGUUGUACUUCUUUUACAUAUCAGCUCUGUUUGGAUUCAGACUUUUUUGAAAAAUAAUUUUUUCAUCUAUAAUGCUUCAGUAAUACACAAACAAAAACAACUCCAAAAACACCAUACCCAUACAAUAUAUCAAAAAAAACUCUAAAUAUACAAAAAAAUAUACAACUACCCAUCACUCUCCACCACCACGGCCACCACCUUACCGCCACUACCCUCACACCUACGACUCUCUCUCCUCUCUCUAUCCGCCCAUCUUUCCUCCCUCUCUCUCCUUCUCCUUCCUCCUUUCUUCUUUCCUUUUCCCAGCCCCCCAAUUUUCUUUCCCUCGACUGACCGCAACCUUCCUAGUCACAAUCAAAUCUGAUCGCGAUCAGAAGCCGCGACCAAGACGGUCGUGGUUGUGGCUAAAGUCGCAGCCACCACCCACGAGGGGGGAGAGGGGUUUGGGAUUGGGGGGAAGGAGGGAAGGGAGGAGAAGGAAGAAGGGAGAGGAAAUAGAGGGGAGGAGGAGGAGGGGGAGGAAAUAGAAGGGAGGAGGAAAACGGAAGGGAUAGUGGUGGGUUAUGUAAAAUUAAAAAAAAAAUAUCCCAAAAAAAUUGUAAAUUAUAAAAAUACUCAAAAAAAUAUUUUAAAAAUACCUCUAAAAACAAUCCAAAAAACAUCUACAGUAAAAGUUUUUCAUAUACACAGUUACAGUAAAAUUUUUUAAAAACACCUCCAAAAACAACUAAUUCAAACAGGGCCAUCAAUACUCAAGAAUUAUUCCAGCCAUAGAAUACAUCUAAACAAAAGACAACCAAAGUACUACCAACAAAAUAAAAUUCAAAGCCAAUCAUAUAUUCAUAAGUUCUUUAAUCUGAUUUUUCAUCAUUGUUGUUCCUUGAUAUUCUAACCCAUCUAUCAAUCUUGAAAGGAGAUUCUUUAUCCAAGUACUCAUAGUUGGUGUUGAUUCUUAUUUUGUUUAUAUCAAAUAGUUUUCUCUUUGAAUAGAGAGACUAUUUGUGGGACACUGCAGUUGAUUUGUCAGCAUCAUUACUAGGCCUAACUCUCCUCACUUGUACACAUCAUCUAAUUGUUACAUUAACUAUUUACUAUAGUAAAACUAAAGACAAACUUAAAAUAAAUUGAACACCUACUGGUGUUCUAGUCUUCCUAAUCUUCUGUUUUUUCUUAGUGUUGAUAGCAUCAACAUUAUGAGUUGGUUUUUUCUAGAAAUCCGAUGGUCUCGCAGUAUGUGCAUUAAUUUUAGCUCCAUUUUGCUGAGAAUUGGUACCCUUUACAUGUGUGUAAUGGUCUUCAUGAACUUCCUGAUGAGCAUGAGGUUGAGUUGGUGAUGAACUUGAUAUAUUUUUGCUAUCUUUAGUAGACUUUCUAGCACGUUUAGGAGCUGAAGCAGGUUGAUUGCAAUUUUCACCUCUAUUUUCUAGUACACUUUUGCAGGUAGUAGCAUUGUGACUUACCUAGCCAUAUUUUUUACGGUGCAUGAUCACAUGCUUUUUUAAUUUUUGCACAUUAUUCCUUCCAACAAGCACACCACUUCCAUUUUCAAAACUAUCUUUCCUUCUUGAUUUUUUUGGCCUACCACGUUAAACACAUGCAAAUGGAGAAUCCAAUAUGGAACUAUCACAUUACGGCUAUAGAAACUUGCUACGAAUUGGAUAUAGAAUAUUUUUAUAUAUUUGAAAUAAUAGAUCUCUACUAUAAGACUGAUCUACGUAGUUAUUCGAGUCCCUACCAAUUUUGAGGAUGGUAGAACUUGCAUGGCAGUAGGGAAGCCCACUAAUUUGCCACAAUCCACUUGUACAUGUUCUGUCUCCUAAGUAUACAACAAAUUAUUCCUCUUGGAUCCCCUAACUUGAUAUCCCCUUUACCAUUUGAUAUUGAUUUCCAUUUUCUAGAAAGCUUUUCUCUUUGUUCAAUCAAAGUCUUUAUUGCUGGUCCCAUAGGACCACUACAUUUUGUCAUCGAUUCAACCCUAAUUUCUAUUUUCUCUUUAUGAACUAUCUAAUCCACUCAACCGUCCCAAUGACAAGCAAUUCUCUAAUAUUUAAUAUAUGGGAGUUAAAUAUCUCAAAUAAAUUAUUGACUAGCAUGUCAGACUUCACAUAAAAUGAAAAAAAAACUUUACACUAGUAAUGAGGUGUGCAAGUUUUUUGACCCAUGCAUUAGCUUGCUAGUCAUAUUCUCUCAACUCUUCCAAUGUUACCUCAUUGCACCCCACGAUUGUUGCUGAUGCAAUGCUCCAAAAUCUCUCUUUAUGUACUUCACUAAGGUGCUUUUUUUUAAAGUUUUGUAAAUGUGUUGCACACAAUAUCUGUGCUCAAAUUCUGGCAAUAGGUUAAGUAAUGCAUUGUCAAGACUUUACGAGUAUUGUUAAAUAUUAGUCACCUAGAAAAAUAUGACUGAAACAUACAUACAAUAGUAGCAAAGUACAACAAUGCCAACCUUCUGUUGUUCUGAAAUGAAACUGUAUUCACUACUUCUAUAAGGUAGUUUUAGAUCAUCAAUCAAUAAAGUAAAAAACUAAUGUCAUUGCUCUCGAGCCUUCUUUUCAACUAUUACCCAACCAUUAUCCGGAUCUACACCAAUAGCAUUCAACAGCUGACCAAGAUAUGGCCUCUUAGUGUGAUAGCCAUCUAGAGUAAUAAGUGGCCUACAUCCCUCUAUAAAUUCUCUUUUUAAUGGUUCCAAACAAUAAUAGUAUCUCAUAAACUUGGGGUUACUUUGGGAAUCAGGUUGUGAAAAAUAUUUAAUGUCUAUGUUAGUGUUGGGUAUAUUUUUCUAUGUUUACAGACUCGAAUCGGGAGUCAACUCGGCCGAAUUUAGGGGUCAGGGAUCAAUGGGUUCGACCGGAAUCGAUAGGAGGUCGAACCGGAUGACAUCAUAAAUCGUCAUAUAUAUAUAUAUAUAUAUAUCUUUAUUUCCCUACAAAUCAAAUUUACAAAAUAUAAAUAUAGAAUCGAAUCAUCCAAAUUUAUAUCCAAUUCACCAAACAAUUCACUAAAUUCAUCCAAACUCACAAAAUUUACAAAAUAGAAAUCCCAUACAUGUUUAAUCCUUGACAAAUAGCAAUCCAAAUAAGACAACAAGUUCAUGUUCAAUUUUUGAUAAAUAUCAAUUCAAACAAAGCAACAUGUUUAAUUUUUAAAGUAAAGAAUUAUCUAAGCCAUUCUUCAUCUUCAUCUUCAUCAUACUUAUUUCCAAUUUCAUAACUUUCCAAGUCGAUAUCAUCAAGAUCAUCCUCAUCAUCAAGUUGCACAAUAUUUGUGUCUUUCUUACCUACAAAUCAUUUAAAUACUCAUAACUAAAAAUAUUCAAAAAUAGACAAGAACUAAAAAGAAACUUAGAUAAAGUUAGCAAAUAUAAUCUUACGUGAUUGAGAGAGUCCAUUUUCACCAGUUUUGAGAAAUUCUUCUUCAAUCAUUUCUUUUAACUCAUCAUAAUCAAACUCUCCUUCUUGUUCCUCAUCAACUAUCCAAAAUUCAACUUUAUCAAUAGAUUCAUAAUCCACCGGAUCAUAAGAUUUAUUUUUUAAUGAAAGCUUACAAUGAAAAAAAGAUGAAAAAUUAGAAGUAAGAAAUUUUUAAAAAUUAAUAAAUUUACAAAAGAAAAUAAGCAUGUGUAAUGGUAAUUUCAUACAUAUUCUUCAAACAUAAAUUAUAAUGAAUGUUAACAAGAUCAUUCAACCUUUGAUGCUCAAGUCUAUUCCUUUUUUUGAUAUGGAUGUGUUCAAAUACACUUCAAUCAAUUGCGUUCACAUCCCGAGGAAGAAGAAGUUUGACUCAAGAGUUUAAUUGCCAACUUCUAUAAAUGUGGAGCAUUAAUACCAAAUAAUCUCCACCACUCAUCUAUAUUAGUAAAACACAAUUAGUACUCUUUUUUUUAAAAAAAACAACAAAGUAAUUUUUAUCAAUUAAUGUAAUAAAUGUGAAAUUAAAAGUAGGCACACUUGGAUGGGCAGUCUUGUAAGUAUUUUGGGCAAAUUGAAAUCCUAAACUUUGAUUCUUUGACCUAUACAUUGAUAUUUCAUCCAUCAUGUAUUGAAGUCCAUCCAUUUUCAACUUUUGCAUGACUUCUAAAACACUUUUCAUAAUUUCAGGCAUAUAACAAGGAUUGUCCCUAUCAUAUUGGAAGGUCGGAUUCAACCAAAAAGGAGCUGCAUGAAGAUUUUUUUUCAACAUAUUAUCCCAUCUCCUAUCUAUUAUAUCAAUGUAUGGGUCAUAGAACUUUUUUUUUGUUCUUGAACAACUCUUUAAUGCCAUUAACAACUCUCCACAUGCUUUCAUAUACAUAAUCCAAUAAAGGUUUUUCAUCAGAAUCACAAAUACGCAACAAGCGCAUAAUUGGACCCAUAAUUCUCACAAUAAUCAAACAAUUAUUUCAAAACUUGCCAUCAAGAACAAUUUAUUUGAUUUCUUUACCUAUUUCAUUUUUUAGCUCUCUCUUGUAUACAAAAGAAGUCACUAAUGUGAGAACCCAAAAUUCUCUUUUACUGGUCUAUCUAUUUAUUUAUUCAUUUGUUCCAAUUAAAUUAUUUCAUUCAUUUUAAUUGCAUAUGCAUUGUACAUUGUCUCAUUUUAGUUCACCUUCCUUAUUGACCGAAAAAUGCAAGAGAAAUUUCAGCUUUUCAAGGCCACUAGUUGGCCGAAUAUCGAGGCUAAAAAUUUCAGUUUUUAAGCCAUUAUUUUGGUUGAAAAUGAUAGCUAAAAUUUUAGGUUUUAAAGCCUCUUGUUGGCCGAGACUUUGAGGACAAAAUUUCAGGUUUUAGAGAUUCAUUUUAACUCCAACCAUAAACUAAAAUUUCUGGUUUUAAAAGCCCCAAUUUAGCUCCAACUUGGAGCUCAAAAAUUCUGAUUUUGAGGCCAUACUCAUGGCCGAAAGUUGAGCAAAAAAUUUUAGUUUUUGGAGCCUCUUCUUGAGCUAAAAUCUUGCUAAAACGAUGGCCUUAGAUGCACCUUCAUCGGAAGCAAUUAAGCUGGCUUUAAACAAAAGGAAAAGAGAAAGGUUUCACAAGUAGGUUUGCUGGAAUUUUCGUAUUUCAGGUUUCAAAAACCAGCUUUUGAAACACUAUUGUAUCUUGGUGUAGAAAAAUCCAAAUUGAAUUCCGUUUAUUGCGUUUGAAACUAGACUUGAAGUUCUUUCAGUGGUAUAAAUUUCAGGGGCUAGUUCGAUUCUUAUGAAUUUUGAUAAAUUUUCAAAAUUCACUGAAAUUCAAAACUGUUUUGCCCUAUUUUUAUUGAAGUAGCAAUUUGGAACUAAAAUUUGACUGGUUUCUGAUUUGAAUCUGGUAGAAGUGUCUUCUAGAGAGUUUUAGUUCAUUGAAUUUAUUUUGCAAUGGUACAAGAUUUACGAUUUUUCAACUUAUGAAACUCAAGUUAUGAUUUUUUAAAGAACAUUACAAAAACUGAAAUUCUCCUUAUAAAGUGACAAAAGCUCAAAAGUGGCUUGGAAACAUUUUCUGAGUUUCAAACCUAACCUUUUUGAUUAUUUGCACCCCAUUUCAUAUUUGAAAAAUGGAUUUCGCUGAGCACUUGAGAUUUCUCUUAACUUGGAUCGGAAAACUUGAUUGUUUGGAAGUUGGCCAAGCUUCAAACGAAACUAGUUGGUUUCCUUUGGUUCUGAAAUAAGAUUUUUCACUUCCUAGUCUUAUGCCAUCAGUUUCCGUGAAAAUAAACCAUAAAUUGAGCGUUUUAGUUAGAGUAAUUCUUGAGCAAUUUUACUAAUUUCAUAUUUGAAACUUAGAGCUUUUAGCUCCAAUAUUUACUAUGAAAUAAGUGACGCUUUUGAUGGAUUUUGAUUUCGUAAGUUUAGAAAACUUAAACGCUCACUUAUAUUUUAAAACUUGGGCAUAGGAUUAAAACUUUUAAGAUAUGAAAAUAUUUUUUUCUUUCUCGAUUUUCGUGCCAAAAAUUAAGCGUUAUACUUCUCUUUUGAAAUCAAAAGUCCUUACUACUACUUGACUCGAAAAUGAAACUUUUGAGUCCUUUUUGAAUAUUAUUUCAGUGAUUAAUUGAGAAAAUUUCUCUUUUAAUUUGACUUGAGUUUGAGGCUCUUGAGUAUGGGUAGUAAGGGGAUGUUUUUUUUAGCUUUGGUCAAAUAUCUAAGUAAUCGUGAUAGUGCAUGUUUCAAGUGAUCACGUGGACACCGAGAAGUUCGUUUGACCUUUUACUUUUACUCUCGCUUUGCUCUUGACUUUGGUGAGUGUCAAGUGCAUGUUUCAUGUUGCUUUGAGUGAAAUGAUACUUGUAUAAGUGUUAUGUGAUUCUUGUGACUUGUAAACUUGCCGAAACGAGGGUGUGCUUUAUCGCUCUCGUCCUCUCCUUCUCGAAUCCUCGCUAGUUGUUAUAUGAAUUUGUGUGACUUGCACUUGUACUCGAAUAUACUUUUAACUCAGGAGCACUGAACGGUGGCAUGUACCAUACCCUAUUCGGGUGAGAGGUACCUCUCAUCCCAAUUCAGUGCUAUGAUCGAUUCUAAAUCGAUUGAAGCGUUGUUUCAUGGACCAAUUAUACUUGUAGGGACGCCCCAACCCAUUGGCUAAUCUCGUAACUCGAGUUGGCAAGGGUUUGGUCGAGAAACUUGGUAAAUCAUGAAAAAUUUUAUAACUUGAUCUUUUGAGAUCUUACUUGGCAUACUCGAAUAGUAUUCCCACCUCGUGCUUGUUUGGCUCCGGAUCCGAGAGGGCGAUAUGGUGAAUGGAGCAAGUAAGUGAAACUCUACGGACAUGUUGCUACUUGAGUUGACGGAGGGUCAACCAAAGAUGGCUUGAACCGGCCGUGACGUGGGAAUAACUCUUGAGAGUUCCUGUAUCCUUUCUACUGUGUUUUACUUCUUACUUGCUCACUUAUAUGAAAUUCAAGUUAAGUCGCUUUUGAAUAUGCUAUUUGAUUUGGUUCGUGCUACUUGCUUGCUUGCUUGAUUUUCUUGAUCUCACUAAGCGUUGGCUCACCCUAAGUUGUUAUUCCUUAACAAGUUUUGGAAGUGGAAGUUGGGAAACUCUAGACUAGCGAUUUUUUUAUUAAAGUUAGUAAAUCUUUUGUAUGAUAUUUGAGACAAUUGAAGUGUAAACUUUGUUAUAUUUGAGAUUUUGGAUUGUAAUAAUAGAUGGUAGCCUUAGAAGAAUUUGGCUUGUAUAUUUGAAGUAUUCCUUUAAUCCUAAGUCUAUGGUUGACUUGUAGAUCUCUAUUAAGUUAGAAUGAAUGCGUGAGUCCUGACGAGAGUUGGACAAACGUCCCGUUGAUACCUUAGGGCUCGUUCUAAGGAGAGGUGGGAGCGUCACAACUAAAGUCUCGAAAUGUUGUUUCAAAUCAUGAAGAUUCUUUAAAGCAACAAAAUUAGUAUCAAAUCAAGUUUCAGUAGGAUGAAGAAUCUCUCUCCAAUCAAGCCUUUUUCUUAACCAAUUAAGAAUCUACUUCCGAUUAUGAACAUACACAGUAACUCUUGAAGUAAGAGUAAUUAUAUCUUUCACAUGAGUCAUUUCUCCAAUAUUUUUCAUAAUUAAAUUCAAACAAUGUGAUGCACAAGGAGACCAAUUAAUUGUAGGAUAUUUUUCUGAAAGUAAUCAGCCAUCAGCUUUAUAAUUACUUGCAUUAUCUGUGACCAUGUGAACAACAUUACUAGGUCCAACAAUCUCAACAAUUUCAGAAAAUAGAUUACACAAAUAUUCAGCAUUAGACUCAAAAUCUGAAGUAUCAAUAGAUUUGAUCAAUGAGAUCCCACUAGGACAAUAGGCCAGAAAAUUGAUCAAACUUCUUUGCCUAUUAUCCUUCCAUCCGUCACCCAUAAUUGUGCAACCAAAUUCAACCCAUUUACUAUGCAAAUUCUCAACAAUUAAUUCAACUUGUUUCUUUGCAUUUUUCAACAAAUUUACUCUUAAAGCAUGAUAGCUAGAUCCUUGAUAACCAUGACCCAUACUUGCUAUUUUUCCAAUUACUUGUUAAUAAUAAGGAGAAUUACAAGCAUUCAUUGGAAUAUAUGCAUCAUAAAACCAUAAAACUAUAGCCAUGUCCGUAUCAUGCCGUCUCUCUUUCCUUUGCAUACAAGACUUGAUGCUCGGUUGAGAAUGAUCAAAAGAUUUACCUAUCAUAUAAGAUUCAUUGCCAUGUUGUGCCUUUCUUUUUCCCUUAUUCUCACCCGCAUUAGUUUGAGUUGUCUUUGUUUUUGGAUGAGGAAUUUCUUAAACAUCAUCACCUUCAAAUCCCGCUACACUUCGGCCAAAUUGAUUCCCAAUUUCAAAUAUCCCUUUUUUCUCUUUUGCUUUUUGAACAUUUUCGUUCAAUUAAUCUUCCAUCAACAAACGAACAUCAUUCGACACAUUUUUGCAUAGAGCAACAUUACUCUUGAAUUUUGCUAAAUGAUGUUUCAUUCAAUUAAUACCUCCCUCUCUAAAUGUAUUAUUGCACCAUUGACAUAUAAAAAUUUUUCUGCCUUAUGAAUCUUGUCCUUCUACAACAUGUCUCCAAGCUAUAUCGGUUUUUUGCCUAUAAUUUUCGGAACUUGGCUUUGAUGCUGACUCAUUUGCUGGUGUGGAUUGUGAAUCAGUACCUUCCAUUAUCCUGUAUUAGAAAGAAUUGGAGAAAAUAUUAAGUAAAUUAAAAAAACCUCAAUUCAAAGCCAUUGGGCUGCCUUUUCUUUCUUUCUCUUAUUAUGCCUUUACAUUUAGGAGUCUGGCUCCAUCUUUUAUCAACCAAUUAUAAAUAUAAUACAAGUAAUUAUCAACCAAUUUUCAUGCACGCCUUUUGCGAGUACAAAAUUUAUGUAUUGUAUACAUAUGUGAAGCGGACUAUAAUUAAUUACUCCUAGAGAACAGCUGUAGGCAAUGCAUUUUUGCUGCUUCUUGCCCAAUUAGGCCAUUAUAGACUUAUAGUCAACUAACUCAAGUCAAGCGUGAAUUUAUUGAAACAAUUCAAGCUAGGAUAUGAUAUAAAAGGUUAUAACCUACACUUUUCUUUCUUUAAGACAGCUUUAACAGAAUAUAUGAUACUUCAUAAACACAGUGCUAUUUUUGCACAUGAAUUAUUAGGAAUACAAAGUACCAGAGUCACAACAUAGAUAGAACAUUCCACAUCUAAAUCAUUAAUUAACAAGCUUAAUUGUCGAACACCAAAAGAAGAGAGAUUUAGUAAAUAUUUUUUUAAAGAAAAAUCAUAAUAAAAUUAUUAGCUUGACCUAAAGAGACUAGAAGUUAUGAAAUUUGCCUCGGAUGUUCAAUUUGCGUUCUGGCAUAGCAAACUUAAAUGGGUCUUUACCUAUUAAUCGACUCAAACACAAACAACCCCACCUCAUUAAAUAAUUAGAAACAUAGUAAUUAAUUUUCUAUCACCUCUAAGGCUCUAACGAUAAUCCGUUUACCAAUUGACAAACAUUCACACUUUCCUAAUAACAGAAAAGCAACUAAAGCAAACCUCAGAAACUUGGAAAAACUCUAUUGUGAUUGAAGUAAGCUGCUAAUUGUCUCCACCAACUCCUACUGCUUACUCUCUAGCAACCCAUUUUCACUCUCUGGUAGUGGAGGCUUGGAGUCGGCGUCCAAAAAUUACACCAGAGAAGUAGGGCAAUCAGAGAUGGUGAAAUUUGGUAGAGGUGCAAAGCCUGUUGGUAGCGGCGCUGCAGCGGCAAUGGACUUGUACAGGAGCUAGGGUUACGCAAAAGAAAAAGGAAGACGAAAGACGGGAAGAGAAUUAGAGAAAGAGAUUGAUUGGUUGAGUUUGCUAUUUUUUCAGAUUUUUUUACCUCUGUUUUGCUUAUUUAGUCGGUCAAAUGGAAGACAAAGUGUCAAAGUUAAGACUUAAAGUUUAAAAAAAUUAGGCAAAAAGUGAAAAAUUGGGUUUAAUACAUUAUACUGGUUCAUUGGUCAGACCCGGUUUGAUCGGGUUUUAUCGGUUUAUUACUCACCGAAUUUUUAUUGUGGACUGGACAGACUACCUGGCCAGUUCUCGGUUCGACCGGCUGGUUCGGUCCGAGUCUAAAAACACAGAUGUUUUCUAUAGUUCUGUUGCAUACCUCUAAACAUUAGCAUACUAUUUAACAGUUGACCCUUUGAUAUCAACCCUAACCAUAGCCAGUGUUUCGUACUAUUUUUUGCUUGUAAUCUCAGAAGUGUAUUGUUUAUCAAUACUCUGUAGCAAUUAUCUAACAGGCAUGUUCAUGUUAGAUCUAACUGACUCUUCAUACUUUUCAGUAACCUAAUUGGAUGUCGUAUUUUUGUUUCUCCAUGCUUGGCUACAAUUGGUCUAGACAUCAUGAAAUCUCUUCACAACAACGUCUUCUAUACCUAAAAGAAGAACUUGGGAAGCAUAAAUAGACCACUUGCAUAGAUCUACACAUUUAGCUCUCACUCUUUUUUUGUCACUGGUAUACAUGUAUAUAGGUCUUUCACUCAUCAUUGCAUAAUUUCUGAGAGCAUCCCUGAACUAUAUUUUUGUUCCAAAUUUUUGCCCAACAUGAAAAUUGUGAUUACUUCUAUCCUUGGCAGUAUUGAAGCUGGUGUAUCUCGCUGGAACAUCUUCGUCUUCUGAAUUUAGAUCACUAUUUAGGUCCACUUCAACCUGAUCAUCCAAGAGUGGGUUGUUUUGGAUGUCAUUUUGAGUUGCUACACCUUCAUUCAAUGCACCUUGAAUUGCUGCACUUUCAUUUUGCUAUCUCUUCUUUUUCUAUUAUUGGAGCUACCAUUAUCCCCCAUCUUUCUCUGGUUACAUAUUGGUACAUCAGGCUGUUUAUCAGAAUUUGCAUUCUAACUUAGUGGACUCGGGUUAUUAUCAACUUGGCUCUGCAUUUUUGGCUCAAACUCAUGUUCAUGCAUGUAGUCAUCUCUGCAAUUGUUAUUGUACUCUUCGAAACCCUUUCCAUCAUCAUAGGCUAAAUCGUCAACAUGUUAGUCACCUCUCCUAAUAGCUUAGUCACUUCCCCUAAUAACUUGGUCAUCUCUAUUAGGCUCAUUACCAAUACUAGUACCUGCCUUACUAUUCUCGUUAGGUUGGUCAGCUUCCCUAGUAACUUGGUUAUCUCAAUUAAAUUCAUUACCAGCACCAAUACUUGUCUUACUAUUCUUGUUAGUUCGGUCAUCUCUCCUAGAAGGUUCUUAGUGUGAAAAUCUUGUUCACCAGCAUGGUCAUGCUUCCAUUGUAAAGCAGCAAAUGAUCCACCAGCUUUAGCUCCUUUUUUGCAGUCAUUAGGGGCUGUUAUCUGUUGUGUAAGUACUUCACCAUCUUCCAGUAUCUCCUCUAUUACAACUGAACUCUUUGUCUUUGAGGAUUCCUCCAGUUGAUUUUUCUUCUGCAACUCAUAUAUUUCUUCAAGUGUGAUAUGAUGAUAGUAGGCUUCAACAAUUUGUACUCAUAAACCCAACCACAGAAUUUUCUAAUAUCUUCAUUGGUUUGAAGUUCCAUUAGUCCAUGGUUCAAAUAACCUCUAGAGUCAACGUAAUAAUAUAAAAUGGUAUCAUUGUGCCCAUACUCUUCAACCAUUUCAUCCCACAUAACUCUUGUAUUUGUCUCCCUCAAUUUUACCCGCAUGGUGAAGUUUAAUGAAAUUGUAGAUGUAUCAGGAACUGCAGCAACAAAAAAGACAAUAAAAUUCUUGUUAAUCACCAUUUUCUAUUGUCAUACAAUUUGUUCUUCUAAUAAUAAUAGAUAAAUAACAACUAUUCAUUAACUCCAAUUAGACAAAUGCCAAAAAAGUUCAUAAUCUUUUGAGUAAUUAUCAAAGAGAGGGUUCUUGCAGGACUAUUUACAACCCAUUAAUAUGACAAAAGGGAAAUAUUCUUAUUCUUAAGUCCUUUUCUAACCAACUAGACCACAUCUAUAAACCCUAAACCCAACAAACACAUUGGCUAAAUACUUAAUUAUGCUCAUAAUACAUACAAUAUGAUGAAUCAAACAUUAACCAAAUCUACAAAGGUAGGUUUGUAUGAUUUCUUACGAUAUAGUGUGUAUGGAUCGAUGGACUGAUCCCUUUACCUUUUUACCCACUUCAUCGCUAUCGAUCACUUGUGCUUCACUGCUAAUCUUCAUCUUCAAUCAUUACUUUGAAUCUCCUUACUCAUUAGUUUGAUAUUGGUGGAUGAACGAAGCAAGUUUUCUCAUCGGUCGUUUGAUUUCUUGAAAAAUUUGCCAACAUUCUAAACCUUAAUCACCAUACUCUUGUACCUUCAAUACCACACAAAAAGCUGUAUAGAUUAAAUAGCCCCUAAAAAAGUGACUUUCUGUCUCUCCUAAUGGCAUAAAUGCAUAGAAUGACCUAAAUGUUAUAGAUUUGCUAUUUUGAUGACAUUUUUGUCUAAUAAAAUUGUUUAGUGAUCAAAAGCGGCACAUUUCAAUAGGUUAGUGAUAUUUCGUACAAUUUGCUCUUCUUUGAAUGCUGACUGUUGUACUAAAUCUUUGAUGCUAGAUAUCAUAGUUUGAUCCUUGUCCUGUGAUAUAGAGGUUAUAAAACCAAUAGUCUAAUAGUUAAAUCCAAAAUCCCAUUUCUCGUCUUGCUAUUUUACGAAUCCAUUUCUCCCAUUGGAAGCGUUACAUAGUAGCAAUAGUUAUUUCAAAAAAACAUAACUAAUCAAAUCUGUCCUUUCUCUAAACUUUCAUCUUCUAAAUCAUCUAUAUUCAUCCUUGUAUACUCUUGUAAAUCAUCAUUUCUGCCAUAAGGGUUUGUAAUACAUAGAAUGUUGUAGAUUUUCUAUUUUGAUGACAUUUUUAUCUAAUAAAAUUGUUUGGUGAUCAAAAGCAGUACAUUUCAAUAGGUCAGUGAUAUUUCGCGCAAUUUGCUCUUCUUUGAAUACUGACUGUUGUACUAAAUCUUUGAUGUUGGAUAUCAUAGUUUGAUCCUUGUAUUGUGAUAAAGAGGGUUAUAACACCAAGAGUCCAAUAGUUAAAUCCAAAAUCCCAUUUCUCAUCUUGCUAGUUUUACGAAUCCAUUUCUCCCAUUACAAGUGUUACACAGUAGCAAUAGUUAUUUCAAGAAAGCAUAACUAAUCAAAUAUGUUUUUUCUCUAAACUUUCAUCUUCUAAAUCAUCUAUAUUCAUCCUUGUAUACUUUUUAAAAUUAUUAUUUCUACCAUAGGGGUUUGUAACAAUUUUUAAGAAAACAAAAUUUAGCAUCUCUCCUAUUAUAGCCCUUUUAUUUCAAUUAUUUUGUUAUUAAUAAUGGUAAAUGAUAAGUUGGUAACCCAACAAACACACAAAUUGGUUCAUGAUAGACAAACUUUCAUAGAUGUUGACAGCCUUAAGUGCCAUAACACAAACAAUAAACAUUCUUGAAUGGAUCCCAAACAAGAAGAUGUGGUGACGACUAUAAGAAGAAACACACGGUCCCUUCACUUGCUACUACAUAUCAUUGAGAAUUUGACAUUUAUAGAGAUCUCAAGGGUGAAAAGAGGAUCUUUUUUUCUUUUUUCUUUUAAUUUUUGGAAAAUGAAUGCUUGCUUUUCAUAAACUUCGGACUUGACCAAAUAACAUCAUUCAAGAAAAAAUUUCAUGUUUUGAUGCAAUAUAUUGAAUGUAUUAGCUCUUAUUAGGGCUGAAAUUGGAAACCUAACCUUUCAAUACUGAAAUCAAGCAUGAAUUCGUAAAAGCUUUUUGACUAAUUGGUUGGUCAACAAACCAAAAUGAUGCUUAUCAUUUACUCAACCCAAUAAUAAAUAGAAAAUGAAUUUUUAUGCUUAGACCUUUUCAUAUAUACAAAUAGAGUAAAUUCGUAUAUUCAUUGACAAUGUAUACAUUAUCACAGUUAGAUGCAUGAUAUAUGAGCAAUAUUUUAAAUUCAAAUUUAAAAUCAGAUGAGUUGUCAUGCAUCUAAUAGUGAUGGUACAUAUACUAUCAGUGUAUAAAAAAUUAAGGGUUAUUAUCACUUUACCCCUUUAAACUAUAUCACUACUAUCAGUUUACUCCCUAACGUUAUCUUUUAGUCACUUUAUCCCCAUAAGUAAUUCAAUUCAACAUGUUAAGAAAUUUUGGACAAAAAUACCUUUUUAUUUUAUAGCAUUACUACAUUAUUAUUAUCACUUUAUUCGUUUAGAUUAUAGUGAUACAAUCACUUUAGUUCCUAACAUUAUUUUUUAGGCAUUUCACCUCAUCGUUAAUCUAACUAGCAUGGUCAAAAAAUUUUAAAUAUAUUUAUCCUUUUUUAUAUAUAAUUAAAAAUAAAAAGUUGGAAUGAUUAUUCUUCCUUUUUUUUACUUUAAGAGAUCGAAAAACAUAAAAGUAAAAGGGUUUUCUCAAAUUUCUUUUUUUCACAUUUAUUAAUACUAGGAAAAGAAAAAGAGAUAGGAAAGAAGGAGACAAAAAAAUUAGAUUUUACAAAAAAGAAAAUAAAAAAAGUCUAACAUUAUCGUAUUACUUUCAGAUUGUCCAGCCUAGAAUUAGAAUUAGGUGGUAAAAAAAAAGUGAAAUAAUUUUAAAAUAAUAAAAGUAUUUAAUUAUUUCUUAUUUGUAAUUUUUAAAAAAGGAAUUCUUUCUCUCCCUCUCCCUCUCCUCCUCACUCUCUCCAUCUUUCUAUUUUUUUUUCAAUAUUAAUAAGAUUGCCAAGAAGAAAGAAAUUAAUAUUUUAAUUUUUUUUUCUUGAUAAUAAAAAAGAGAAGGGUCACUCUAAAUUUUUUAUUAUUUUUAUUAUGUAAAGAGGAGGUAUUUUCUUCUAAAGUUUUUUAACUUGCUAAGUUGGUUUAAUGGUAGGAUAAAUUGUCUAAAAAAUAACUCUAUGGGGUAAAUUGAUAAUGAGACUAAAUUUUAUGGGGAUAAAGUGAUAAUAAUUUUAAGGGUUAAACAUGUCUUUUCUCUUUAAUUAACAAACUCUGUUAAGUUUGACCGUUAGUCUUGGAGGUAAAGUGACUAAAGAUAACGUUACGGGGGAAAUUGAUGGCAACACCAAACGUUAAGGGGGUAAAGUGAUAAUAACCCAAAAAUUAAUCCAUAUAAAUUUAGGGAGUUGCUAAACUGUGACUUCAUAUACAAAUUUAACAACCUCAAUUGAAUUGAAAAAAAGAAUAGAGUAUAUAUUAAAAAUUGAACAAUGCCUUCACCCAAAAAUCAUCAAGGACGAGUACAGUCAUUUCGUUGCUUCUCAGUCUGCUGCUUUUGUUUCUCCACAAGCUUAUCUAGCAUGGCUUGGAUGGCAUCAAGAUCACCGAUUAGUAACUGGAUUAUAAUUUUUAGAUUUUUGUUCGAAUCGGGCCUCCUUGAACUCUUUCCAGGCAUUCUCUGUAAGAACAUCAUGCUAGAGAAUGCCCCUGGAAUCCAGCCGCCCGAAUGAUAUCUCAGUAGAGACUCAGCACCUCACGACGGGUGCUGGUGAGUCAUUGACGAGUCAAGAACUCAUUUUCGUCAUUGUCCAAGCUCUUUUCUUUUUCGGCACGUGUCUAUCCAAUAGCUUCUCCACCGUGUCUGGUCCAUGAUACAGGAAACGGAGAUGGUUGGCGAGCUAGUGACUUGGGAAAUGGAUCAGAAGGGCUCAUUAAGCUUGAACCUGGCUUGACAUUUUUGGGAAUUUUCUACAAGCGCAAUCUCAGUCUUUUGAUUCAAUUACAUAGGAGAGCCAUCAAGUUUUUACAAUCAUGUGCCUUCUAAGUGCUUUGAUAUAUAUAUAGUAUCUGAAUAUUCUUACAUUAAAUUACUAAGAGUUUUUUAUUAUUUGGAUAGUAUAGAAGUAAUAUAAAAAUUUAAACUGAUAUAUUUUGAGGUUGAUUAGAUUUAUUGAGAGUUUGAAUAGUUCGUUUGUGUUUUAGCUUUGAUUAUAUGAUUCAAGUUGAGAUGACCUUUUUAUCAAUCUAAAUGCAAUUCAGGUUUGAAAAUGUCUAAGCCUAAAGAUUCGUCUUUUUUUUUUAAAAUUUUAAUGACCUUGUUGCUUAGAUCAUUUUAAAAAGUCUACCACAUCUAAAGUUUAUCAAUAAAAAAUUUGGAUUAAUCUUUCCUAUACUGACAGUUUAUAUACACUAUCAGCAUUGAAUGAAUGACAACUAUGCAAAAUUUGAAUUUGAAAUUCAACUUUUGUAUAUAUAUCAUGGAUCAAACGGUGAUAAUAUAUAUAAUGUCAAUGUAUAUAAAAUUUACUCUAAAAUUUUAAUGAAGUUGGUGGUUACAAUAUUUGUGAGUGGUUAUGGGUGAAAGUUAGUUGUGGUUAUAUUGGUUGGCAAUAUAGGCAACAUAUGAUCAGAUGUCAAUAUGAAGGUCUAAUUAAGUGAUUGUGAGUGAUUAUGGGUGAAAAUUAGUUGUGGUUAUAUUUGUUGGUAAUAUAGGCAACAUGUGAUUAGAUAUCAAAGUUAUAAUUAAGAGAUUGUGACUUGUGAGGAUAAAAUUGAAGAUUUAAAAAGAGACAAAAAAAAAAAGUUAAACAAUACCUUGUUCAUUAGGGCUUUAGAGUACAUGUACAUAUCCUAGGCCUAAGUCUUCACAAACCAAUAUUUUCGUCUCAAUUUGUCUCUAUUCAAAUAACAUCCUAAGUUUUUCGUGCUCUCUCCAUGUUACAAUUUCAAAUACAGCAAACGGUAAAAUAAGCCAAUCUAUACUCCAUUUCCUUCUUUGUGAGGAGAAAGGGAAGAGAGGAACUCAAAAAAUAUAGACUCACAUAAUAUCUUUAAAAAUUAAUAAUCAUAUUACAAUUCAUAAAGCAAAUCUGUCCAAAUAAAACAUGAAUACUUUCUCAACAUAUAUAAUAGUACAACUAAGAAUCUAAAAAUUAUUGAAUAUUUUCCAACCAAAAAUUUACCUAAGGAUCAAAUUUGACAUUAUGUUGCAAGUAGAGAAGCUUCCUACAAAUCUUCAUCCCUGGAAGUCUGCAACAAAUAAAGUUCAAAACAUAUAUAAGAUUUCUUCAUGAUCUUAAGAUAGAAAAGAUCUAGGGUAUAAAGAAAUUGAAAUGGAGUGAAAUAAAGAAAAUUGAAAGAUACCACUUAGGUGAGAAACAAAGAGAGAGACAAAUUAUGAGAUGGAGAGAGAAAAAGAAGUAGAUGCUUCCCUUGGGCCUUGAUUAGUGGGAAAAUGCAGACUUCUUGUUUCUUGAAAAAUUAUACUAGUUGACGUGGGCAUGAAGCAAACCGCGAGGUUGCCCUGUUUGGUGAUGAAAUAUGUUUUCUAAACUACGAACGUGUCUGUCUACUGGUUUAUACAGAAUCUUAUGGAGAUACACCAUUAGUUUGUAUUUUUGUAAAAACAAGCAGUCAGCAACUGCAUAUUGGAGCACAAUGAUUGAAAGCAAAGGCAAAAAUCCUGCACAAUAAAUUUGCACAUUGUUUUAGAGUGAGCGUAGCAAGUUUGAAAUAAAAGUUGUGAAAGUCGUUUCGACCCUGUGAACUCGAGCAAUUUUGAUCAAGCUAAUCAAAAAUAUUUUUACGCUAGUAUUAAACGAUAAAAUUCAGUAUUUAGUAUUUUGCCCUAAAUUUUGCCAACCCUACAAGAUUCCUUUAGCUUAAACUAGCCUUAAUGGUUAUGGAAAAUAAUUUUUUUUUCUAGCUUUAAAAAAAAACCUAAGUCUUGUUUCAAUUCCUUUUCUUUCUUAAGAUUUGUCCUUGGCUAGCUGUCUAUAGGAAAAGUUACAAAAUGCGAGUCUUUACUAACUUUAGCUAAAAGCGUAGAAAGCUUGCUCGGCAAGAAACAUUAUUUCACGUAAAUUAGUUCUAGUAACACUUUUACAAGAAAAGUAAUACUAAGGAAAGUUUACAAAGUAUUUUACUAGUUUUAAUACUACAUGGUUUGUCGACUUGUUUCAAGAAAAUAAAUCAGUCAUACAUGCGAAUAAAUUCCCUACGUGACCCUAGAGCUGGUAUAGCCAACUUAUAGUUUUAAAAUUUGGUAUUUUAGGGUUUAGCGAGGACGCGGAUUUUGAUUCCCAGCUUGACCUUUGAGCUUCACUCCUAGGUGAGUGUCCCUGCUUGUUCUAUGCCUAUUUGGUUAAAGUGCUUUCUUGACUCGAUAUGUGGUAAUUGCCAAAAAUGAUUUCUGAUCCAUCGAAGUGAGCAGUGUGUACUUUAUCACACUAGCCGUUCGAGUGGUGACUUGUGUGAAGUGUUUUCGUGAAUAUCUUAAGUGUUGUGACGUCGUUGGGUGAAUCCCUCGACUAAUUAUCCAAAGGGUAUAUUCGAAUAUUACUGCUUUCUUAUUUCGUGACGUCGUUGGGUGAAACCCUCGACUAAUUAUCCAAAGGGUAUAUUCGAAUAUUACUGCUUUCUUAUUUCGUGACGUCGUUGGGUGAAUCACUCGAUUAGUUUAUCCAGGGGGUAUACUCGAGUACUACCGCUCUCAUUUAUUUUGUCGUGCGGGCCCAGAGUUGGGGUAUGAUCGGUGGCCGGAGUUAAGUAAAAUAAGGAGUUCUACAUGGAUCGUAAGUAGUGAGAGUUGACGGAGGGUCAACUACGGUAAAUUUUGAUCAAGCGCGAAAAAUGGCUCCUGAGAGCCCCCGUAUCCUACCUUGUACUGUUAUGCGCUUUCCUAGUUGUUUACUUCAGUUGAAAUCAAUACGUGUUAGUUGUUUUAUUUAAUUGCAUGUUUUGGGGCACCACUGAGUUUUAACUCACCCCACGUUUAUUUGUUUUUCUUGACAGGUUCUGGCAAUUGAAAGCCUUGAAACUUAUCUAUGUUUUUUUUUUUAUGUAUAUGAAUAUUAUGGCUUCUCUUUCGGGUUGUAUUGUGCUUUAAUUUAAACCACGUACUUUUGGCAUUGGAUUGCCACUUGAAGUUGGAAAAUGUGUAAACCCUAAUUCGAAUGUUUGGCUUGUAUGUUUGUAAUUGUGGUGUAUGAAAUUGUAUAUCCGGAAUUGUACGACCUUAUUCCUUGGCUGUAACGCGUGAGAUGCUUAGGAGCCGUCGACUGGCUAUUCUAAAUUACUGUUAUCUUUGAAGUUAACGUGGGCUUAGUAAUUGGCCAUUUUGGGAGAAUCGUCUUUGAAAUAGAUGAGGUUAAUCUUCGGAAGGAUUUGGGUUAGUGUGCUUGCGUGAGUCCUGGCGAGAGAUGGGCAGACGGCCCGCUAACCCUCUGGUUCGCCUUAGGGGGAAGUGGGGUCGCCACAGGUGGUAUCAGAGCCUAGGUUAGAAAAGUUAUUUGAAAGAUAUAUUAGAUGUGCUAGAAACCCUAAUCCUUUCUAGAAGUAAGAAAUGAGACCUUUAGAUAUACCUUAAGUGAUAUCUGAACCAGUUAGCUAUUUAAGUUCUAACCUUUAAGUUUUAACUAUCUUGCAGGUAUGGAAAACGGUAAUGGACAUGCUAAUGGUAAUGGAGCGUCCAAUGGACACGUGGAGCCACUUAGAUCUAUUUCAUAUAGGCCUCGAGGUGGAGGAGAUCGAGUUCGAUACUCACCUGCUGAUAGGCACCCUAGAUGCCAGUGUAGAGCCACGUACGCGUAUCCCAACGAUUUGGUGUUGUCCUCAGAUGAUGAGCGCCGCCAUUUGUGGGAUGCUAACCACACCUUGACCCAGGAGGUUGAGGAGCUGAAUAUCAUGGUGGAUACCCAGUUUGACCGUAUAGCCGAUUUGGAGAUCAGGCUAGCUGCUGAGCAUAAUAGGUUGGAGACUGCUCGUUUGGAGAUUGAGCGACAGAGGUCUAGGGUGACUCGACUAGCUGAGGGGAUCCGUGAUAGGAGUGCCGGCAUCAGGGCUGAUGCCGCGAUGAUGAUGGACGAGGCCACUGGUAUCCUUCAGGGUGCCGAGCAGGCGGGUGUUGCAGAGGAUCCGGAGGAGGACCCCGAGGAGGAUCCGGAGGAGGACCCCGAGGAGGAUCCAAAGGAGGAUGUUGCUCCUGGCAGCCCUGCUGAGGGUUAGACUAGGGUUGCUCCGCCUGUAAAUAGGUAUCUAGGGUUAGUUAGGGUGACACUAGUUUAGGUCAUAGCAUUUUGUCUAACUAGAUGACCUACUUUUGAGGCACCACAUCCCUAAUUUUUUGUUUAAGGGAUUAUUUGUAUGUAUUUUGUUAAAACUCAUGUGCCUUACUUGUGAAAAGUGUUCUAACCCGUUAUUGUAUGACUCUCGCGUGGAAUAUAUGUUAAGCAUUUUAUUCUUCUUUUCCUCAAAUUUUGAUGUUGAUUUUAUGUACAAAGAGAAAACUAAUAACAAAUAAUAUUCUCGCCUAAUAGUCUUAUUUUUCAAUAAUAGGCAUAAUUAAGUUAUGGAUCUCCAAGUUAGGGGUAGAGGACGUGGGAUACCAACUAGACAACACCCCGAGAGUGGUAGUGACAUGGGACCUGAGGUCAAUCUAGGCCAAGGGCAAGGGGGCGUGGCCGAAGACCAAGUGGCCACUGCAAUCAAUCGUAUCACUGAUGUCUUAGAGCGCUUGAUUGAACAUCAAGCCUCUGGACCAGUGCAUCACCAAGGAGGUCCAGCCGAUUCUGAUGAUCGGGCACUGGAGAGGUUUCUGAAGUUCGGACCUCCCAAAUUUUAUGGAGGACCUGAACCGGAAGUAGCUGAAAGUUGGUGGGAGAGAAUCUCCGACAUCUUCGUAGCUUUAAACUAUACGGAAGAGCGACAGGUGACUUUCGCCGCAUUCCAAUUUAAGGGAGCUGCUCGCUCCUGGUGGAAUUUGGUUAGGGUUAACUGGGAUAGGAACCAUACUCUUAGGACUUGGGCAAACUUCACGAGGGAGUUUAAUGCUAAGUUCCUCCCACCUCUCAUCCAAGAGAAGAGGGAGGAUGAUUUCAUCAAAUGCAAGCAAGGGACGAUGAGUGUCGCCGAGUAUGAGACUCAAUUCACGAAAUUGUCCCGUUAUGCUCCUGAAUUGAUAGCCACAGAGCAAAGACGUGUCAGGAGGUUUGUGCAGGGACUGAACGUGGAAAUACAAGAAGGAUUAGCCGCUGUUCGAAUAGACACUUUUGCCGACGCUGUUGAGAGAGCCCAACGGGUUGAAGUAGCCAGAGCCCAAGUAAAAUCUUUUCAGGUCAAGAAAAGAUUUGCUCAUAGUAGUAGUCGGGAGUCGACUUAUGGAAAUGCUCCACCGGCCAAAGUAGGUCGAGGAACGAGUGGAGUGAUUAGUUCUGGAGCACCGCGAGGCGCUCUAGCAAGAGGAGCUCGGAAUAGAAAUGCAGGGGGUGGAAAGAAUGGGACUAGAGGAGGACCAAAUGGAAGAGGCCAACCUAAGAAUGCCUCGCAAGAAGGUCGUGCGAUAACUCCACAGACAACUUGUGGGUACUGCAAGAGACCCGGUCAUACUGUGGAUGGUUGCUGGAGGAAGCAAGGAAAGUGCCUGAAGUGUCGAAAUAGCGAGCACCAAAUUUCUGGUUGCCCAAAAAUACAAGACAAUGGAACCCUGAAUGCUGGACCAGUCAACUCUGGAGGGAAUAGGCCGACAGUUCCUGCCAGGGUAUACGCUAUAGAUGACCAGCCUGUACCUGACUCCUCGGAAGUCGUGGAAGGUACUCUUCCCAUCUUUCAUCGAUUAGUCAAAGUAUUAAUUGACCCUGGUGCAACUCAUUCAUUCGUGAAUCCAACUUUUAUGUCUGGAAUUGAUGUGAAACCUGUUAGAUUACCCUUUGAUCUUGAAGUUAGGACACCAAUGGAUAAUAAGAAUGUAAUCACUAGUUUAGCUUAUAAGAAUUGCGAAUUCUGGAUCGGAAAGCGAAAAAUGCUAGUGGAUUUAAUCAGUUUGGACAUAAAAGAUUAUGAUGUUAUCAUAGGAAUGGAUUUCCUAGGCCACCAUCAUGCUAAGCUUGAUUGCCAAGCGAAAGUGGUAGAAUUUUGUAUACCUGGAGAAGCAACCCUGAGGUUAGAUGUUAAAGGUAGGUUAACAUCGUCUGCUAUAGUCUCAAGAAUACGGGCGAGGAAAAUGUUGUCUAAGGGAGCGCAAGGUUUCUUAGCCUUUUUGAUUAAUGCUCCCAGUGAUCAAGUGAAGUUAGAAUAUGUACCAGUGGUACGAGAAUUUUCGGAUGUUUUUUCCGAAGAACUAAAGAAUUUACCGCCAGAGAGAGAAGUGGAAUUCAAGAUUGACUUGGUGCCGGGAACGGCUCCGAUUUCUAAAACUCCGUACCGAAUGGCUCCUGCCGAGCUAAAGGAGUUAAAAAUUCAAUUGCAGGACCUGUUGGAGAAAGGUUUUGUGAAUGAGAGUGAUUCACCCUGAGGAGCACCCGUUUUAUUUGUCAAGAAAAAGGACGGAAGCUUGAGGUUAUAUAUCAAUUACCGAGGGUUAAAUGAGGUUACAAUUAAGAAUAAAUACCCUCUGUCAUUGAUUGAUAGUUUGUUUGACCAACUGCAAGGAUCGGUAGUUUUCUCUAAGUUGGACUUGAGGCAAGGGUAUUAUCAGUUGAAGAUUAAGAAGGAGAAUAUACCCAAGACUGCUUUUAGUACAAGAUAUGGACAUUUUGAGUUCGCAGUCAUACCUUUUGGGUUAACUAAUGCACCAGCUGCUUUCAUGGACCUAAUGCAGAGAGUCUUUAAGAAGUACCUGGAUCAGUUUGUAGUAGUGUUCAUCGAUGAUAUUCUGAUAUACUCUAAGACUCGAGAGGAACACGUUAAGCACUUGGAGAUAGUUUUGCAGAUAUUAAGAGAGCAUAGGUUAUAUGCCAAGUUCAGUAAGUGCGAGUUUUGGUUGGAGGAAAUUUCAUUUCUAGGGCAUAAAGUCUCUAAAGAGGGAAUUGCCGUGGAUCCGGCAAAAGUUGAGGCCGUUAUGAAUUGGAAGCAGCCAGAAACUCCAACCGAAGUUAGAAGUUUCUUGGGAUUAGCAGGCUAUUAUAGGCGAUUCAUCAAGGAUUUCUCGAAGAUUGCUGGACCAAUGACCGAGCUAACCAAGAAAGGGAAUAAGUUCAUUUGAACUCCGAAGUGUGAGUCAAAUUUUCGGGAGUUAAAGAAGCGAUUAACAUCCGCUCCUGUUUUGGUAUUACCUGAUGGAGGAGAAGGUUAUGCCGUAUACUCUGAUGCUUCCAGAGAAGGUUUAGGAUGUGUUUUGAUGCAAAAAAGCCAGGUAGUUGCCUAUGCUUCUAGAAGAUUGAAGCCUCAUGAACAAAAUUACCCAACGCAUGACCUAGAAUUGGCUGCGGUGAUUUUUGCCUUAAAGAAAUGGAGACAUUACUUGUACGGCGUGACUUUUGAAGUUUUUACGGACCACAAGAGUCUCAAGUACUUGUUCUCCCAAAAGGAACUAAAUUUGAGACAGAGGCGAUGGGUAGAAUUUUUGGAAGAUUACGAUUGUUCGAUUAACUACCACCCAGGAAAAACCAAUGUGGUAGCAGACGCUCUAAGUAGAAAGGUCCAAGUAGCAGGGUUAAUGGUUAAAGAAUGGGACAUGCUAGAAGAAGUUAGUAGUUGGAACCCUCGCUUGGAGAAAUUGAAGAUAAUAUUUGGGAACUUGUCAUUGAAAUCACCAUUACUAGAGCGUGUUAAGGAGGCCCAGAAGACGGAUCCUACAAUUCAGAAGAAUGUGGAGAAGGUGCAAAAAGGGGAAACCCUAGAUUUUAAAUUAGGGACUGAAGGAGUAUUGAGGUUUCGGGAUCGAAUUGUGGUUCCGGCAGAUGAAAAAUUAAGGAAGGAAAUUUUAGAGGUAUCACAUCGUUCGAGGUAUACGAUACACCCAGGGGUGACUAAGAUGUAUCACGAUGUGAAGGGGUUAUAUUGGUGGGAAGGUUUGAAAAAGGACGUGGCAGAGUUUGUACAGAAAUGUUUGAUCUGCCAACAAGUAAAAACUGAACAUCAGAAACCCUCGGGUUUGUUGCAACCAUUAGAAAUUCCUGAAUGGAAAUGGGAUCAUAUAACAAUGAAUUUUGUAACGGGAUUGCCUAAAAGUCAAAAAGGAUUUGAUGCGAUUUGGGUGAUAGUUGACCGACUUACUAAGUCCGCACAUUUCCUACCUGUGAGCAUGAGUUUCUCUUUGGAGAAAUUGGCCAAGUUGUACACAGAAGAGAUAGUAAGAUUACAUGGUAUUCCUGUAAGUAUCGUAUCUGAUCGAGAUCCAAGGUUUGUUUCUCGUUUCUGGCAGAAAUUUCAAGAUUCAUUGGGGACCAAAUUGAAAUUUAGCACUGCGUAUCAUCCCCAAACCGACGGGCAAUCGGAAAGAACAAUUCAAACUUUGGAGGAUCUACUGAGGUCGUGUAUAUUGGAUUUUGGAGGUAAAUGGAGUCAAUAUAUGACCUUAGUAGAAUUCGCAUAUAAUAACAGCUAUCAGGUUUCGAUUCAAAUGACACCUUAUGAAGUUUUGUACGGGAGAAGGUGUCGAUCUCCGAUUCAUUGGGAUGAAGUGGGAGAGAAGAAAAUUGUAGAUCCAACGGCUAUACCUUGGAUAGAAGAGGCCCAUGAGAAAGUAAAGCUAAUUAGAGAAAGGCUCCAAAUUGCCCAGAGUAGACAAAAGAGCUACGCCGACACAAGGAGGAAAGAUUUGGAAUUUGAAGUAGGAGACAAAGUUUCCCUAAGAAUUAAACCCUUGAAGAGCGGAGUAGUGUCCAAGAAGGGUAAGAAACUAAAACCAAGGUAUAUUGGACCUUUUGAAAUCUUGAAGCGGAUCGGGAAUGUAGCAUAUCAGUUGAAACUGCCUGUAAGCAUGGCCAAGGUUCACAAUGUAUUUCAUGUCUCCAUACUUAGGAAAUAUUACCCCGACUCAAGCCAUGUGUUGCAAUUGGAAGGAAUUGAAUUGGAUGAGUCAUUAACGUACGAGGAAGGACCAGUCAAGAUCCUAGAAAGAGAAGUAAAGGAACUCAGAAAUAAGAAAAUUCCUCUGGUGAAGAUUUUAUGGAAGAAUCAUGGACUCGAGGAAGCCACUUGGGAGUUAGAAGAAGAAAUGCAGAAAAAGUACCCCGAUUUAUUUUCUUAGAAAGUGUGAAUUUUGAGGACAAAAUUCAUUGUAAGGAGGGGAGGAUGUGAGAACCCUGAAAAUGUAUAUAUAAAUAUCAGUGCAUAUUUCAUGUUGCAUUUGUAAUUCCUUAAUAAAUUUUAGCAUUAAAUCUAAUUGUUUUUAAAUAAGUGCGUAGAAAUAAAUUUUGUGUGCAAAAUAAAAUAAUUGUGCUAAACUAUUAAAUUUCUUAGUUUUGUUACAUUAAAGUCAUAUUUCGAAGGUAAAUUAUUUCAUUGAUUUAACAAUUAAUUUUUUUGAAUGCUGAUAGCUAAACUUUAACCGUUAAUAAUGAUAAAGGUUAUUUGGAACCCUAGUAUUAAAAUGCAAUCGAUAAAGUUUAGACAAAAUCGAUACAAGUAUAUUAAAUACACCUAAGAUAUAAAAAUUUCGAUAACCAAACUUUAGCGAAAUUAGUGCAUUAUUAGGCAUUUAAAUUUCAUUUGGGAUAAAACUUUGGAGUUAGACUAGAAUUUAGAACGUACGUGGAUAUUAGGUGAAGAUGUGAAAUGACUAAACUACCCUCCACUACCCCACAAAACUACCAUGCAACCCAAAACCAUUUUCGGACAACAUCAUAGCCAACCUCUUCAAUCGGCCAAUGCAAAUUUUCUCCAAUCCAACACUCAAACCUCACAAACACUCAACCGAGCACCACCUCUUUUCCCUUAUAUCACCACUACCUCGCACCACCAUUCCACCUCCUCUGCACCAAUUCACCUCAGACCACAACCACAAACACUCCCUCUCCAGACUCCACCUCGUGAUCAUCGACGAGAGAGAGAGAGAGUGUGUGAGCUGCAUUCGUGCAUUCGAGAGGAAAGAAAAGAAACCGCGAGCUGUAUUCUUUUUCUGCCCUACCCGUGAGCUGGAGAGAAGAAAGGGGAGCAGCACUGUGUGAGCUUCAUCCCUUGUUGCACCCUUUACCCUCAACCAACUGCAAUCAUCUUCACCGCAACACCAUUCCAGCUGCAACCCGAAAACCAGGACCAAACAGCGUGCGCGAGCCGAGAGAAAAAGUUCACGGCUUUCUUGUGCGUGAGCUGAGUUCCUAGCUGAGGUAAAUUAGAAACUUAGAUUAGCUAUUUACUGAUAGAAUAAGCCGUAUCAGAGCUUGCAUGUUGAUCUUAAUCAUUCGGAUGAUGAUUUAGGAGAGAAAAAUCUGAUGUGCGCUGAAAAUGGAAUUUUGCCGAGAGUGAUUAAGAAAUGUAGGUUUCAAUUUAUUUUAUUUUGGUAAUCUGAACCUGAAAUUGUAAUUAGCUAAGUGAAAACAUGAUGAUUAAGGACAUGCAUGCCAUGUUUAUGUGUUCGGAUGAUGAGAUAAAAAGCAAGAGAAAAAAAAAAAGAAAAAGAAAUCUGAUUUUGGAAGAAUAAAAGCUGCGGCGAGAUUGAUUUGGAAUUUCAGCUUUAAUUCGGUUUAAUAGGAGUAAUCUGAACUUAUAGCUAUGAUUAGCUAGUUAAUAACCAAGUGUUCAAGCUUAGCAUGCAACUAAACACCUCGGCUACAGAAGAAAAAAAAAUGAAACAGAAAAAUGUCGCAUGCAACCUCAUCCGAGAUAGCUGGAAAUUUCUGGAAAUUUUAGAUGAUUUUGUGUUGCUGAUCGAGGUUAAUUCCUGAACUAGAUAUGUUAAUUAACUAGUUAAGUGAUUGCAUGUUGGAUUUGAGUAUCUAAAACCAUGUUCAACCGAGGAAAAAUGGGAUUUAUGAACACCUAAGUGCUGGAAACAUUUUGUGAAAGCCGUGAGGCUUGAACUGGAAAAUGCUAGUUUGAACCUGGAAAAUUUUGGGGUUUGCAGCUGUUGUUUAAAGUUAAUUUUGAAUUGGAAAUGUUAAUUAGCUAGAUAAGUUUUUGCAUGACUAAUUUGAGUACUUAAAACACUGUUUUAGUCGAUGAAAAUUUUGAUCUAAGAUUAAUGAGGUGCUGGAAAAUGUGGUGAAAUCCGAGAAGGGUGAGCUGGAAAUUUUAAUUGGUUUCGGGAGUUUUCCUUGGAGUAUAAUGGUUUUGAAAUGCAUGAAAAAUGUGUAUCUUAAGUUGUGUAAGUUGUUUAGCUAUGACACGUUUAAUAUUUUGGAGGAUUUAGUAAAGAAUGUUGAAGUGUAGACCUGGAAGAUUUUCAAGCGAGCUGAUAGAGGUAGUAAAGGAAUUUUCCAGACUUCUUUUGGCGAAUUUUAGUUCUAAAAAUGCUGUUUCGAGCUGUAAAAUAUCUUAUGUUCAUUGAUUUCACUUUAAGCUAUAUUAAGAGGGUCUUGCAUGUGCAUUUCGGAGUGACAAUUUGAUUUUAUUAUGACUGUAAUGUUGCGAUAAAAUUAUCGGUAUUGGAAUGGAUAAUUUUGGCCAUUUGAAUGAUUUUAUAUAAGUGUUAAAGUUGAUGAAAUUAAACUGCUGGAAUUGCUUGGAGGCCUUAUGUUUAUUUUGAUUAAGUUGAGAUGUGAUAUGAGCUUGCCAAAACCAAGAGCUAAUGAUUGACGAAACCUUGGUCACUUGUUUUACUUUUCUAGCAGAAAUGCAUCUGUUGAAAUCUAGGGCUAAUGAUUGAAGAAGCCCUAGUGAUUUGCUAUUUGAAAUGUGAUUUUACCAUGUCGACAAAUUUGAGCUAUAAUGUGAUUUCGAAAUGGAAUCGAAAUUGUGAAAGUCGUUUCGACCCUGUGAACUCGAGCAAUUUUGAUCAAGCUAAUCAAAAAUAUUUUUACGCUAGUAUUAAAAGAUAAAAUUCAGUAUUUAGUAUUUUGCCCUAAAUUUUGCCAACCCGACAAGAUUCCUUUAGCUUAAACUAGCCUUAAUGGUUAUGGAAAAUAAUUUUUUUUUCUAGCUUUAAAAAAAAAACCUAUGUCUUGUUUCAAUUCCUUUUCUUUCUUAAGAUUUGUCCUUGGCUAGCUAUCUAUAGGAAAAGUUACAAAAUGCGAGUCUUUACUAACUUUAGCUAAAAGUGUAGAAAGCUUGCUCGGCAAGAAACAUUAUUUCACGUAAAUUAGUUCUAGUAACACUUUUACAAGAAAAGUAAUACUAAGGAAAGUUUACAAAGUAUUUUACUAGUUUUAAUACUACAUGGUUUGUCGACUUGUUUCAAGAAAAUAAAUCAGUCAUACAUGCGAAUAAAUUCCCUACGUGACCCUAGAGCUGGUAUAGCCAACUUAUAGUUUUAAAAUUUGGUAUUUUAGGGUUUAGCGAGGACGCGGAUUUUGAUUCCCAGCUUGACCUUUGAGCUUCACUCCUAGGUGAGUGUCCCAGCUUGUUCUAUGCCUAUUUGGUUAAAGUGCUUUCUUGACUCGAUAUGUGGUAAUUGCCAAAAAUGAUUUCUGAUCCAUCGAAAUGAGCAGUGUGUACUUUAUCACACUAGCCGUUCGAGUGGUGACUUGUGUGAAGUGUUUUCGUGAAUAUCUUAAGUGUUGUGACGUCGUUGGGUGAAUCCCUCGACUAAUUAUCCAAAGGGUAUAUUCGAAUAUUAGUGCUUUCUUAUUUCGUGACGUCGUUGGGUGACACCUUCGACUAAUUAUCGAAAGGGUAUAUUCGAAUAUUACUGCUUUCUUAUUUCGUGACGUCGUUGGGUGAAUCCCUCGAUUAGUUUAUCCAGGGGGUAUACUCGAGUACUACCGCUCUCAUUUAUUUUGUCGUGCGGGCCCGGAGCUGGGGUAUGAUCGGUGGCCGGAGUUAAGUAAAAUAAGGAGUUCUACAUGGACCGUAAGUAGUGAGAGUUGACGGAGGGUCAACUACAGUAAAUUUUGAUCAAGCGCGGAAAAUGGCUCCUGAGAGCCCCCGUAUCCUACCUUGUACUGUUAUGCGCUUUCCUAAUUGUUUACUUCAGUUGAAAUUAAUACGUGUUAGUUGUUUUAUUUAAUUGCAUGUUUUGGGGCACCACUGAGUUUUAGCUCACCCCACGUUUAUUUGUUUUUCUUGACAGGUUCUGGCAAUUGAAAGCCUUGAAACUUAUCUAUGUUUUUUUUUUUUUUAUGUAGAUGAAUAUUAUGGCUUCUCUUUUGGGUUGUAUUGUGCUUUAAUUUAAACCACGUACUUUUGGCAUUGGAUUGCCACUUGAAGUUGGAAAAUGUGUAAACCCUAAUUCGAAUGUUUGGCUUGUAUGUUUGUAAUUGUGGUGUAUGAAAUUGUAUAUCCGGAAUUGUACGACUUUAUUCCUUGGCUGUAACGCGUGAGAUGCUUAGGAGCCGUCGAUUGGCUAUUCUAAAUUACUGUUAUCUUUGAAAUUAACGUGGGCUUAGUAAUUGGCCAUUUUGGGAGAAUCGUCUUUGAAAUAGACGAGGUUAAUCUUCGGAAGGAUUUGGGUUAGUGUGCUUGCGUGAGUCCUGGCGACAGUUGGGCAGACGGCCCGCCAACCCUCUGGUUCGCCUUAGGGAGAAGUGGGGUCGCCACAGAAGUGUUUAAAACUCAAGGCUUUUGACAAAUACAUGAUAAUGGUAUUUACUAUAUCAGAGAUUAUUGCGAAACUUCAACUAUGACAGUUUAGCUCAGAUACAUACCAGAUUUAACAAAAAUUAUAAUAACUAAGAUUUCCAAGAGAGGAUCAAAUUUAACAGUAAUUAUGAGAACUAAGAACACUAAAUAAGCACCGUUAAUUUCAAAAGCUGCAAUCAUAGCUAACAAUAAACAUAGGUAUAGUUACAUUGAUAGAUAAAGGGUUUUUACAUAGCCAUGUAUGUCUACACUGCCAAUAUUUACGCUCAGACUGUCAUACAGCCAAUCCUUGGUUCUUAGUGAGUUCCCCGUUUGAAUUAGCUAUUUUUGGAUGUGUUUUUGAAAAAUUUUACUGUAGCAAAGUUUUUAGAGUAUAUUUUGGGAUAUUUUUAGAAAAUAUUUUAGAAUAUUUAAGAGUAGUAGAGUUUUUAAAAUAUAUUUUGAGAUAUUUUUUUAAUAUUAAAAAAAAUUUAGACUACUUUUUAAAGUACCUUUUAAAAAUUUUUAUUUAAAAAACUAAUUUUUGAAAAAUUAGUGGAUCCAAACAGAGCUGUCACAAAAGCAUGGAAUAGUAACUAGGCUUGAUAGCUUUGACAAAGGGAUGAUUUUCCAGUUAGGCGUGAAAGCCUUAACAAAAGGAUGGAAGUAAUCUGUGCUACAUAUAUAGUGUGGUCAAAAAGUUAUAUCCAGGUAAGAAUCCAACCAUAUCUGCCAGUUCUGGUCCAUGAAUAUAUAUAAGUUUAGCCCAAAAAUACAUUAUUUUGUCACCUUAAUAUAUCGGAGACCUCCUUUUCUUCAAUCUGUCAUCCGUUGGACAUUAAAUGACUAAGUUAAGUUUGUAGAAAUUUUGUUUUUUUUUGUCUAUAUUAUGAAAAUACAAUCCAGGAAGUGAUGACUACAAAUGGAGCUGCAAAUAAUUUUGUCGCACCCAAGGUAGAUGUUAGAAUCUUUACUCAUGCAGAACGAGUUAGGGUAAUCAUUACUGGAUUAAAUAGAUUGAGUAUUGAGCAAACUUACCCUACUGCAUAUGAUUGAAUUGAUAGCUUUUCCCAUGGUCUAUGCCCAUCAUAACUUACUAAUGAUAUAUCAUUUUAUGGAUACGGGGCAGGAGCGGUCCUCAGAAGGACCGCUCCUGAACUGUCCCCUCACAGAAAGAAAGGUAAGGCCAGAAAUAAACCACGUCAAAAGGCUUCAGUUUGGCCCAAAACGACGUCGUUUUAUUAAGUGAGACAAUAAAAAAAAUGGUUAUGCUCUGCUGACCGUAACGGCAAGAAACGGAACGUUAUGACCACUAGUAAGCAAAGUCCCGCCCAAACCAAAAUGAAAAGCGGCACUUAGACUCCCACCCAAACCAGACGAAGCAGUUGCAUGCGAAAAGCCACGAAGGGAGAAAUAAGAGGGAAAAAUACGAGAUUGGCAACACUCUCCGGCGUGACAUUGCGAAAAGCUGUGGAAGUGCAACAUUGGAUACUGAAAAAAUAGCAAGGAGAAGCAAGAAGCGGUGGAGUGGUGGACAAAUUUCUGGUGAUUCGGAUUUGUUAUAAGAAGAAGAAAGGUGAACCCAAGGUUGAAGAGCGGAAGAUCGUAGGCGCGGGAGUAGUGAAUGACCGAAAACCAGUCAGGUAUUCAAAUUUUUUUGAGGCCUACGAUGAUGCAGUAACAUGUGUGAUUUGACAUGCUUGUUGAAGGACCUUACUUGUGGAUGUUGUUGGCGUACAGUAGGAUGAUCGCUUAGAGGGAUAUCACGUGAGCACAAUUUUGUGUAUAGUAAUGAGUAAGUGCAGCAUGAUAGGAGUAUUAUAAGUUAGUUUUUGAGCAUGACAAGUGAGAGUGGGAAAGAAGGGGGAAAUCGUGCGGCACAACUGCUUGAGAAAAUGUGUGCAUGGGUUCGAUAGUUAGUAUUGAAAAAAUGGAUGCAGAUUAUAAUUGAAAAAAUGUUAUCAUGAAAUUGGGAUGGCGUUUUUGGGUCUUGAAUGGUGUAAGUUUAUUGUAUUAGUUCGUGUGCACGAACACAGUGUUGGAUAAUUGUUACAUGUUGUGGUUGAACAGGUACAUAGAAAUAAUAGAGUUCAAAUGUUUUGUACUGAGUUGUGCGUCUCAUAGUUGCUAAUGAAAAUGUUAUUUUGAAAUUGGGAUGGCGUUUUUGGGUCUUGAAUAGUGUAAGUUUAUUGUAUUAGUUCGUGUGCACGAACACAGUGUUGGAUAAUUGUUACAUGUUGUGGUUGAACAGGUACAUAGAAAUAAUAGAGUUCAAAUGUUUUGUACUGAGUUGUGCGUCUCAUACUUGCUAAUGAAAAUGUUAUUUUGAAAUUGAGAUGUCGUUUUUGGGUCUUGAAUGGUGUAAGUUUAUUGUAUUAGUUCGUGUGCAGGAACACAGUGUUGGAUAAUUGUUACAUGUUGUGGUUGGAUAGGUACAUAGAAAUAAUAGAGUUCAAAUGUUUUGUACUGAGUUGUGCGUCUCAUACUUGCUAAUGAAAAUGUUAUUUUGAAAUUGAGAUGUCGUAUUUGUGUCUUGAUUGGUGUAAGUUUAUUGUAUUAGGGCGUGUGCAUUAACACAGUGUUGGAUAAUUGUUACAUGUUGUGGUUUAACAGGUACAGAGAAAUAACAGAGUUUUAAUGUUUUGUACUCAGUUGUGCUUCUCAUAUUUUCUUUUACAUUGAUGUUACAGGUUAUUGGUUUACUUGCAUAAAGAGAGACAAGUUUCUAGGUUGGAAGUGAAUGAGUACGAGAGUAGGUUAUAAGUUGGCAAUGUGAGACAGACGGAAUAACAAAUCAUGAGGUUUAGCAUAGUUAGUGUGGAAUAACGGUUAAGAAUCUUACUAGUUAUUGUAGGUGCACAUCAUGUUGGAUAGUCAUUACACGCAGUCAUUUAAUAGUGACACUAGGAGAAGUGCACUGUAAAAUUGGAUGAACAAUGACGUAAAAUUGUUUAACGGGUUUGUUGCUUCAUUCAUAUUGUUGAAGAGGGUGAUAAAUAAAGGAGAAUGUGAUUGAAUUGAACUUGAUAGGCAGGGGAAUAGAUUAUGAAAUGACUAAAUGAGGGAUAAUUAACCAGAAAAUUUGGUAUUGAGACAAACAAAUUGUGAAAAGGAAGAUUACUUGUACAAUAAUUGUUGUGGUUGGACAUCAUCUUUGAUAGUUGUUACACGUAAUAGAUCAGAAGUUACAAUAAUAGAACUGGUCUAUAGAAUUUCAUGAAGAUACUAUAAAUUUGGAUGGCCCUUAUUCUACUGCAUUGGUAUUGUACAGUAGCAUAAUAAAUAGAAGAAGAAAUUGAUGGAUGAAGUACAAUCUGAUAGGUAGAACAACAGAUUAUGUAGAUUAGUGGCAGUUGGAAUAAAUAACAAACUGUGAAGAAUGAGUUACUGAGUGUGAGAAAAAAUGUUACAGGUUGUACUAUAACUAGCGUGACUAAUAUUUGAUGCUCAUAUAUUAUGUUUAGCAGUACUUCAUGAUAUGUUCUGACUGUGGUUGGAAAAAAAAUUUUGGAACUGAAGUGCAAUAUGUUUGUUAAAAACAUUAGUUUACAAUGGCAAGAACGCGAGCAGGAAGCACACUUCAGGAAGCAGACAGAGAAGAACUCGCCGAAACAAGUGGUGGUACAGAACACGGUGCAGCACCCACUUCAUCGAAUAGGUAAGUGGCCAGUGCUUGCGUAAGGUCUUGGCCGGUUAGACUUGGCAUCAUUAUUCAGCAUUACAAUGUUGACUGUUCAGGGGAAGGAUGAGAAGGAAAAGAAGUAGUAAAAGGAAUGAUCGUUUAGGUGGGGAGGAAGAACUGAUUACAGCGGGAACAAGCGAGGUCGCAGAACCAGUCCCACCAUUGAAUCCAUGGAUGAAGUUCAGGUAAGAUUAUUGAAUAUGAGGGAAAAAUAAUGGUACUAAAUAGCACAUAUAACUUUGGAGUUUUGAAUGUGGACAGGAAAGAGUAUCAACACACGGUUUCGGCGAAGGGUGUUAAGCUGACUGAGGUAUGCUGUCCUAGCAAAAUAAACUGAAGAAUCAUUGAACCGAUGGGGUGCCUAAGGGAAAAAUAGUGAAACGAGCAAUUAUUUUGUGUUUAGUCUAACGUAUUUUUUGAUUUUAUUUAUUCAAUGCAGUACAAUGACAUUGUCCGGGCAGCAUAUAAUAAGUUGAGUGAGGAAGAAAUGAGGAAGCGAAAGGAGGAAUAUUUGAAAGAGAAAGAAGAGUAUGAGAAAGAAAUGGAACGUCUAGGAAAGCCGAUAUUGCGAAAAACACGGGUUCAAAUCAAGGUAAAUACACGGCAUGAUUCAUCAAACAUUUAAUGAAACUUAUAUUAGUCUAAUGCAUAUAUCUAAAAAAUGGUGUAGAAUCAGAAGUACACUAUCCGAUGCUCGCCAAAGCAGAUGUCAAGUUUAGUUUCACGAAUCGAUGAAACUAAGAAGCAGCAGAUUAGAGACAUAGGAUUUGGAGGGCUGCUAGACAUACAGUGUCACUGGAUUCCUAGUGGCAUAGCUACCUGGCUUGUUGACAACUUUAAUCCGACAUUGAGCAGUUUAAAUGUUGGUGGAGAUGGUGUGCUACCUUUAACGUCAAAGGAUAUCAAUUUAAUCCUGGGGAUCCCGAACGAAGGUCCCAUUCCAGUUGAAGACACCGAUACAACCGAGGUUGGGGGAAGUGGACCAAGUCGUAGGACAUACAAAUGGAAUGAGCUCCCAAAUGAGUUGGUAGCCAUGAAUGCAGGGGAAGAAUUCUUAAGACUAUUCGUGGCAUUUUGUUGUGGAUGUCUACUGGCUCCAACCACUAGAGCCGAGCACAAAAUAAAGGUUUGGAACUGUACGCAAUUGGUUGAUAGGGUAGCCAGAUUGAACUGGGCUGAGUAUGUGAGGAUCGUACUAUGCAAUAAGGUGCUAGAGGUGCAAAAGAAAAGUGAAAAGCAGCACCAAUACGUUGGCGGUUGUAUCUUCGUUCUGCUGGUAAGAUUAGAUAGUUGUAGUCAUGACGAAAAUAUGCUCUAAUUGUUACACAGUGCACCAGAGAGUCAAUUAGUUUUGCGAGCCUUCAUAACUACUGUCUGUAUUUCCACAUUUUAUCAAAUUCAGUGCGAUGGAUUGAUUAGAUUAUGCUCAAAUGAAUGCGUCUACGAUGAUGUUUUAACAGUGUGGUCAAGUUUAUCUACAGUUGAAUUAAUUACUGUAUUGUAUUGCAGAUUCAUUAUCUUGAUCGGGUACAAAUACUGAAGCAUAAAGUGUCGAGGACUACUCCGCGAGCUAAGGCAUGGACAGAUGCUCUGAUCUCUGAAAGGGAUGCACUUGAGAUUAAAAAUCUUGGAGCUUAUGGAAAAGGAAAACUGGUAAAAUGUUAUAUAUUAUUGAUCUCAUUUCAUAUAAAAGGUAGUGGUCUAUGUAUUGCGUGGCUUUUCUAUUGAAAUGGUUGGUUUAAUUUGUUGUUAAAGAUUGGACAACAUGAUCCGGAAGAUAAUGAAUAUGAUGGGCAGAGUACUGAACUACCCCCUGAUUUGGUAGGAAUGCUGAUGAACAGCGGGCACGCCGAUAUCGGUGUAAGUGGGUCUGUUCCAUGAUUUAAUGAAAUUUGUUGUUUGAUUAGACGUAAUUACUGCAUAUUGUAAGCAACGUUAUUGGUUAUUGAUAGGCCUAUCAACUUCAUUCAUGUUGUAGUAUUGGGAAGAUAUGUGAUACCAAUCCCAAUAUUACAUCCCUCUCGAGAGAGUUAUUAAAAAUUAAGUCACAUGAAUGGAAAUACAGAAAUAUAGUGAUCUCUUGGCCAAUCAUGUUAUAAAUGUAUGAAGUUUCAAUGAUCCCGGGUGAUCAUUUUAUUUUUUAGUAUAUAAAUUACAGUUAUAGAACCUAUGGCCGCAAUUCAAAUGUUAAAUUAAGAACCUUUGCGUAAAUGUACUAUUGUAUAUGCCUGUAUUGUAUGAAAUUGUUGAGAGCAUGUGGCUCAUUUAUGGAUUGAUAAUUUCAUCAUCUAACUGCAGGCUGAGCUAAAUGAGCUAUAUAACAUUGCUGUUAGUAGCCAACGAAGGAUAUUGAAGAUUGCAGAAAUCCUCUCCUCUCAGCCGAGAGCAAAAGCUUCCACUUCUGGGACUGAAGCAUUGGACAAAGGAAAAAAACCUGUACAGGAGGACUAUACAAUGCACAAGAGUCCUGAUACCGAAGAAGAGCCGGAAUUUCAAUCUGCCGAAGAAGGGGCAGACGACGAGGAUGAUGAUGCUGAAGAAAUUGAUGCGGAAGGGUCUGAUGAAGACGAGCAUAAUGCAGCGCAGGCCGAGAAAGACGAUGCCAAUACGAGGACAAAUAUUGAAGGUAUCCAAGAUCCAGAGCUGAAUGAAGAUGUAAUGGACAUGGAGAAUCCAAUUCCUACCUCUUCAGUCGUACCCGAUAACAGCAGUCGCGGAUUGGAACAAGGAACCACCAUGACAACAACUGCGCAAGGAAGCAUUAUACAGCUUCAAGAGCAAGAGCAGGAGCAAUACAGGUCAAACGUCAUAGAACCUGCCGAAGAGGGUCAAUGUACGGUGCAACCACCUUUGCACGCCAGUGCAUCGACGUCACAUCUGCUUGAGCAAGAAAUGCCACGAAAGUUGCGAUCAUAUGGUCGAAAGCGGAAAGGUUGGUAUACUGUUAUUAUUCAUAAGGUUGUAAUUCAUGUACUAUGACUGUAACAUCUAUUAUCAUAUACGGUAACUUUGUUUAUACCAUCAUGAUGCUACGUACACGGGUCUGAACUCUGGCUUGUCAUCAUCGAAAACUUGUUAAGCAUACUGUCAUACCCUGUCCGAUAUGAAACACAUAUGAAGUUGAUGUAACAAACGUAAUUAGGCAUAUUAUGAAAGUAUGACUUUAUUAAUGUUAAGAAGUUAGUGUGUUUCGAAAAAUGUUAGUUACAUUGCAGUGGAAAAAUGUUACAAAAUAGUUAUUGAAAAGUUACAGUGUGUUUAAAAAUUGUUACCAAAAAAUGUGGAAACUUAUAGAUUAAAAGUUAGUAUGUUUGAAGAAUGUUUACAGUGUGCUUGAAGUUUGUCACGAAAUAGUAACCUGAAAGUUACAGUUUGCUCUAUUGAAUACACAACUCCAUAUUCGCGGAUCGUUAGUCACGGAAUUUAUUUUACAUUAUUGUACAAUAGUUACCGGAAAGCUAUUUCAUAAUUAAUGCAGGUGAUGUAAUUGAAGAAUUUUAGUUACGAAGUGUUUGUAACUUGUUACAUGAGUGAUGAUUUAGAUGAAAGUUGAAUGUUAUUGGAGACUGUUAGUCAUUAUAAUUAAUAGAUAAGUUACAGUUUCCAAAAUUCAAACAUAACUCCAUAUUAAAUGAUUGCUGUUUAAAUGUGUGUUUGUAGGUUGAUACUCACUUAUUUAUUGGUCAAAGUGCAUUUGAAAACUCUUAGAAACGGUUAGUUUAGCAUACUGUUAUGGUGUGAUUGAAGUCUGUUAUUCAUUAGUUAUUGAGAAGUUAGUGUGUUUGAAAAUUUAUCACAACUGUUUGAAAAGUGUUAGUUACAGUGUGUUUGAAGAGUUGUACAAAUAGUUCUUAUGACAGUUACAUUGCAUUUAGUGAAUUAUCGAUUGGUGUUUGAUGACUGCUAAUUGCAUUGUGUCUGAAGAAUGAAGCAAAAUACCUUAUAAUUUGUUAGACGACAACAAAUGAAUGUCAUAUGAAAUGCAUGUUAUUUGUCUUUUGUAGGAGGCCUUGACGUUGAGGUGAAGCACAAGUCUACACGUGCAACAAAGAAGAGCACUGUUCUGCGGUCAGCAGAGUUCAUUCUACCAGCACCUGUGACAGUUAGCCUAUACGAAAAAAAUGUUGCUGCAUAUGCAUGGGAUCCGGACCAAAAUCCCAAGUAAGAUUCUUGACAAAACUAUUAAUUCGAUCUUGUGAUCCAUUCACUACAAUAAGUACGCGUGUGGUUCAUAAGAAGAUGGCAUAGAAAAAUAGAUUGAAUAUGGAUGAGAUUGGAGUUCAUAUACAUUAGUCAGAUUUUCGUGUUUUGGAGUAGGAGUAAUAAUUAUUAGUAAAUCGUUUAAUUGUGUCCUGGAUGUGAUAGGGACAUACUUGUUCAAAUGUAUCAAUUUUCGCUGACUCGGCUUGACUUGAAGACUAUGGAAAAUGGCAUGCAUGUGUCUAAUCGGGUCAGUAGUUCAUUACUUUUAGUCAAAAAGUUUGAUUAUGUAUCUAUUGAUUGGAAUAGUCAUACGUAAACUCACCCAAGCAACACUCAAUUAUAUGUUUUGAUCACCAUUUGCCAUUGAUUAGGUGAUUGAUAUGUUUGCCCGUCUCAUGAAUUGGGGUGGAAGAACUGCCAAAAUUAGGAAGCUUGAACGCUACAUCGUAGAACCUGUUGCAGUUGUGAGUUUGAAAUUUGGAUUGCAUCCUACAGUUGUGUUAAAGAUACUCAUCAUCAUAUCUGAAUUGGUAUUACGAUCCAACACACCAUUAUUAAUGUCUUCUAUGCACCUUUCACUCGGCUAUGUUAUUGGUUGCAGGAAGGAAUUUUAAAAAUGGGAAAAUUCGACAAGCUCUCUGAUGCCAGCUUAUCUGCUAAGCUUCUAAAGCUCUUCAAGGUUCGCAAUAACAAUACGGGGGUUGAUCCUGCAAAUUGUGAUUGGGUAUGCAAUUAUCAGUUUUAAUCCAAAACUUCUUAUGUGACUGUUAAACAUUCAAAACAUAGUCAUACUCGGUUAUGUAGAAUGACCUUUCUGACCUUUUUCAUACCUCAUUUGGCGCAGAUACUUGUGCCAGUAUGCAUAGAGGGGUCUUGGUUUGUCUACAGCUUCGGUGUCUCAGAGAAAGAAGUGCACGUGCUAGACCCUGAUAGCAGUCAAGCAAAGAGCAAAGACAUUAGUGUACUGAAUCGACUGGUAUGUUGGACAAAUUGCUAAAUGCAUUACACGACAUGACAGUGACACAUUAGUGGAUUGUAAUCAGUUUUACAUAAUCUUUGGUGAUAUAGAAACGUUCACUGGGUUUGGUUGUGGCGGCAAAGUUUGGCAAGGAAAUUGACUUCUCCAGUUUCGGAUUUUCUGUUGCCGAUGUCCCUCAUCACUCACCCAACAAAGUGUAAAUAGUUUGACUUCUCCUGUCAUUAUUGUUAGAGCGUGUACUAAGUUUUUUGUCCAACAUAUAUACCAUAACUGACUAAUGAGAAGACAACGUGACCAGGUGUGACAGUGGUGUUUUCGUUAUGACAUUCCUAGAGCAUUGGAGCGGAAGGUUGGCUGUUCGGCUUACAGAGGUAUUACAAUUGAUAUUCCUUUUCUCCCUACAAUCCAUCUGAAAUUGAUUUAAUGCUUGUUACCUCGGCACUCAACUAUGCUAAUUCCUACCUCUUGUGCUGAUAGGAAAAUGUUGGCAAGUAUCGAGUGCUGUACACAGAUCGAUUGUGUAACUCAGCGGCGAACUCAAAGUUUCCGGACAGCUUCGCAAACCUGCAAGUACCUAAACGGGCGCAGUUGAAUGUUGGUAAUGCCUGAUUUAUAAGUAUUCAUGACUGGGAGAGAAAGAAAUUCACAAAAUUGCAUUUGACGUGCUUUUGUAUAUUAUUACAUGUGUAUUACAGCUUUUGGAUUGCUGUAACUAAUUUUAUUAUGGAGUCUACUCAGAGGGACCUUUCUUUUGAGACAGUAGUUUUGUUUUUCUGGAGACAUUAGCAUCAAUACUGAUUAGCAAUUUUUAUCGUGGUGCUGUUUAUUUAUCAUUUGUGGCCAUAAAUUCUGAAUUUAAUUCAGAUUUUCUAUUGACACUAGAAUAAUGUCAGUAAUAACAUUAACGGAGCAUUAAUUGGUUCAAUUGUGUCGUGAAUCUAUGGUUCAAAGAUGCUCGUCGUGACUCUGUGCCAACUAUACUAGAACCUACAUUGAACAAUGUGUAACUAUAGAACAAGCGCCCAAUUAGUUUGUUGCAAAAUUAGUUAUUGAAAAGUUACAGUUUGAAAAUUAAUACAAAACUUUCAUAUAUAACUGUUGGUAGUUACAAAGUGUUUGUAGGUUGUUAGUCAAGAAUUAUUGGGAAGUUACAGUGUUUUGUAUGACUGCAACAAAAUAGUUAUUUGGGAAGUUACAGUUUGAAAAUUAAUACAAAACUUCAUAUUUGAAAACUGUUAGUUACGAUGUGUUUGUACGUUGUUACAAAAUAGUUUUGGGAAAGUUAUAGUGUGUUCGUAGAAUGUUACAGAAUAGUUAGUUGGGAAGUUGCAGUUUGAAAAUUAAUAUAAAACUCCAUAUUUGAAAACUGUUAAUUACAAAGUGUUUGUAGGUUGUUACAAAAUAGUUUUUUAAAAGUUACAGUGUGCUCGCUAAGUAUUACAAAAUAGUUAGUUGGAAAGUUGCAAUUUGAAAAUUAAUACAAAAGUCCAUAUUUGAAGUCUGUUGGUUACGAAGUGUUUGUAAAUUAUUACAAAAUAGUUAUUGGGAAGUUACAGUAUGUUCGAAAACCGUUACAAAACAGUUACUCGCAAGGGGAUAGUUUGAAAAUUUUUACAAAACUCCAUAUUUGAAAAUUGACAUUUUUUACGAAGUAUUUGUAAGUUGUUACAAAAUAGUUAUUGGGAAGUUGAAUGUUAAUAAAGACUAUUACAAAAUGCUUCAAUGGGAAGUUAGAGUGUGAAAAUUAAUACAAAACUCCAUGUUUGAUGAUUGCAUGCUAUAGUGUGCUUAUAGGUUGUUACAAAAUAGUUAUUGUGACAAAUGACGAAUGACAUUCAAAUAAAAUAGUUUAUUUGAACACACUCGAAAAUGGCAUGCAUGUGUCGAAUCGGGUCAGUAGUUUAUUACAUUUAUUCAAAAAAUUUGAUUAUCAAUUUAUUUAUUGGAUUAGUGAUACGUAAACCCAAUUGUAACAGUCAAUUACAUGUUUUGAGUUUUGUGUAUGUCUUAAAAAAACAUGUUACUUAUUCUAUACUUACUAAUUGUCCAGAAUUUAGUUACUAGCUUAUAUCGUUUCUUGCCACAUAUUAACUCCCACCUAUGUGUACGACCGUGUUAGCUCAUGAUCGACACACAACCAUUAAUUCAACAGAAGGUUAAAACACUAAAGCUUAUGUGACCCAAAAGGAGUUUUAGAUCGUUCAAAUGUCUUCAUCGAGCAAUUUUGGUAGCGGAUCUACUGAGUUAAGGUACCAAUAUCGGUACUGCCACUGCGGAAAAAGGGCUGGGCUGAAGAUCGUGGAGUCACAGAAACCAACGAAGGGGUUGCUGUACUUCUAUUGUGAAGGAAAAACUUGUGCUUUUUUCGCUUGGUGUCAUCCAAUAGGGAGGAAUCAUGAGCAACUUCAGGCUAACUACUGCCCUCCCUCACCGAAUCGACAAGCAAUAAGUAGAGAAAGCUCCUUCGACAGUCCCGGAACAGUGCAAAAUGAACCAAACUCUUUCCCGUAUCAUGUGCAUCGAAUCGAACAAGAUAUUCGACAAAUGAAAACCUUCAUGAUGAUAUCGGUAGCGGUCACCUUUCUGUUGAUCCUAAUAGCAAUUUUUCGCUGACAGCACUUUCAAUUUUUCGCCCCAUGGGAGGGUAUAAACUUCGCCUGUAGUUUGUCGGAGAUGUAUCCUUCAUAGGCAAAGUUACACUGACAUCCUUGUACUGUUGACUUUCCAUUUUGGCAGGUGAUCUAGAAGAUAGAGUAAACAGUAGAUCCAGUCGUAUAGUUGUAUGAAACUGGUGAAGUCACACUAUUAGUUUUUUGUGGAGUUAUAUGAUUGCUCUUUUAUCUGAAAUCACCUGUGUUGUUCAAUUAUUUUGUGUUAAUGACUCCAACUAAUUGAAACUAUUAAUUGUAUAAUGAUGCACAAAUGGUUACCUUAAUUGUAAAUUGUUACAAUUCGUACGUUCUUACUUACAGUUUUGUUCGUCCUAAGUUACAACAUUCAGUGAAUUAGUUGUAAAAUUGAAAAUCUUUAAUAAAGCAUCAGGAGCAGAAGGAGGUGCUUAUUCAGGUACUAUCACAUUGUGGGUCAUUGAAUGACCAACGCCAUUCAGUUUUACACAUCUGACUCUGGGCCAAAAAACUGACAUUCAUUGUGAGAUUUUGUGCACAAUAUUUUGCGUAUUACUGUGUAUGCACAAUGUCGAAAUUAAGGUCACUAAUGUGUAACUCAGUAUUCACAUCGGUACCCUUAAUGUUGCAAUACAGGUCUUACCAUGAUAAAAAUUGCCCAAUUGGUAUUUUAUUUUCUGAUGCUGAUUAGUGACACGACGUAACACUUAUUAUUUUAUGUAUCGAUACUAAAAAUAUAGUUCAACAAAUUUUGUCCAUACGAUUGACAAACUGUUCAUAUAUUGUUACAAUUCGUAAGUUAUUAUUUACCUCUUUGUUCGUUCUGAGUUACAACAUACAUAAAAUUUCUGGUCGAAUUUGAAAUCUCCUAUAGAGCAUUGGAGCAGAAGGAGGUACGAACCGGUCAUAGAGGUAGUAAAUUUGGGUCAUACACCGACCAAGGUCAUAGAGUGUUACACAUCUGACUCUUGGCCAAGAAACUGUUGCAUAAUUUGGGCUGUCAUACCUCCCUGUGACAGUGUAACUGUGCAUGCACACAGUGAAAUGUACAUGAAUCUAAGGUGUAACUCUGUAUCCACGUGACUCUUAAAAGUUGGUGGACAGGACCAAAAUAUGAUAAAAGCUGCAAACAUGUGUUGAAAUCUGUAAACGAUUGGCAACAGCACGUAACACGUAUAUUCACUGUCGGUACAACAAAUCUGGCCUGGAAACGUAACAAAACUUAUCCGACAUGGUUCAGGCACUGCAUGUGGGUCUACAGUCUCUUCUCCCGUGAUGUACUAGUUGCCCUCAUAUGCGUUCGUGAAGAUCUCAUUAUUUUAAUGAGAUGUUCGAGAAAGUCUCGCUACGCAAUGUUUUGGGGUUCGAAACGAUCAUCGUAACUAUUCUCAAUAGAUACUUAAUAAAGUGUCUAAGAAAUUUAAUGUGUCAGUGGGAGGAAUUAUCGUUUCUACCAAGGGCAAUAGCACAAACAAGAGAAGAGAAAAGAUUCAUCGAAUAUUAACUAGUUGUAUUAUUACUAGUUGUAAUAUCGGGGAAUAUUUAGUUGGAAUAUUAUUCAGUUUUAAAUAGAGCAAACGAAAAGCUGCUGAUUGCAAAUUCAUUAGUUAUAAUAAAUUGUAACAUACAGCUAACUGGUUGUAACCCAAUCCGUACAUAGUGAAACGUACAGGUCACUGAUGUGUAACUGUUUAUCCACAUGACCCUUAAUAUUGGUGUACAGGUCAUUUCAUGACAAAAGCUGCAAAAUAUGUUUUAUUGUGUGAACAGAUUUGACACAAUUCAAUGGCAUGCAUCGAACUCUACAGCUUCCACUGCCACGACAAAAUUGUUUGGUCUGGAAUGCGUUGUCCAGUGAUAUUUUACUACAUUGUGAGGGUCCUGCGGACUAUAAAAGGGCGCGGUUGCAGUAGUAUAUCCCUCAACAACAAAGAUUUUUCCGUCAACCUUUCACUACUACACAAACAUUUUUCAUUUUCAAUAACUUCACACUUCCUAUUUCAUUCUACCGUCUGGGUGGCAAUGAACCCGUGCAUGAAAUUUAUUAUUAGUAUUCUUCAACCCUCCUCUAACCUCAAUUGCAGUGUCAUCAAUAGAGGGUUCACACUGAAAUCAAGCUCUUGGGUGCCAAAUAGCAGCCAGUAGGUUGCAUGAUGUUCGAGAAGAUCUCGCUAAUUUAAUGAGAUGUUCGAGAAGGCCUCGCUACAUCAAUUAUUUUGGGGUUCGAAUCGACCAUCUCUAUGUUCUCAAUAGACACUUAAUAAAGUGUCUAAGAAAUUGUAUGUGUUAGAGGGCCGGACUUAUUGUUUGUGCCAAGCGCAAUUGCGCAAACGAGAGAAGAGGAAAGGUUCAUCGGAUAUUAACUAGUUGUAGUAUCACUAGUUGUAAUAUCAGGGAAUUUCUAGUUGUAAUAUCAGUAGAUUUAACUAGAUAAGACGAAAAACUGCCGUUUGCAUAUUCAUUAGUUGUAAUCAAUUGUAACAUAUACAUAACUGGUUGUAACUCAACAUGUACAUGGCGUAAUCAAAAUUUGUUGCAUUUUAAAUAUUAGUUACCCUACUUUCAAAUUACUUGUCCCAACGAAGUAUCAUGUUCUUCUGCGAAACUGUUACUUAUUAUGUGGUCAUGUGGAACCAAGCCAAGCCGCCAAUAUCAAGUUCAUUUCUGUACUGAAUGAGUAAUACAUAUUGAAGUGCCUGUAAUACUAUCUGUAAUACUUAUCGUUAAUACAAUUGUAAACAAAUUGUCUAAAUUUUAACAUAUAGGCAAAUGACAAGGUGCCUGUACAAGAACAUCAAUAAGAGGUAACAUCUUAUUAACGUCCUGUAAUUUACGUAAAUACUGGUGGUAACUUCUUGUUACACAGGAAAAGUAAGGUGACUGAUGAAUAAUUGGGUAUUCACCUGACCCAAUUGUUCUUGGAGUACAGGUCAUGGUCGAAUCAAAUUCAACAAUUAUUUCAUCCACACACUAUACAUUUGACUACACGUUGAGUCUAUUGUCUCGUUAAUAGGUGGUGUCAUGCCUUCAUCUACUCACCCAAGAGUACCAUCCCGUGGAGAACAACAUGAAAUGACAUAGCAAGCAGUUGGUCAAGUUGUCGGAAGAAACCAUUUACUAUGCAUGGUCUUAAAUAGGUGCUCUGUUUAAAAUUUCUACCUCUUUUUUUCUAUCACCUAAUUCUUUAUCAGUAGAUCCUUCCUUUCAUCCAACCAAAAAACAGUAGGUAUUAGCAUAGUCAUGCAAUCCACAAACGAAGGGUCUCAUACAAGCUCACCAUCAAAUGUUCGGCAAAAAAGACGCAAAGUAUCAUUGGAUCCAACAAAUGCCAUAAGCAAGUAUGAAACACCAGAUGGGAGGAUUUUAUAUGGUACCAAACGCGAGUUCAGGAACGCUCCACUUAACACCAACAAUUCUCUGGGACUAGCUGGUCACAUUUUUAAAAAUACCGUCAACGAUCAUCUACCGCAUGGCUAUUUCGUUAUGGACCAUGAACCCAUAUGGGAGCCUGUUCGUGAGCGAAGAAUGGAAUUAGAGGUAUUUUGUCGCUGGCAUUGCAUCCGCAUCCCGAGAACAAGGUCAGCGGAUCUUGUUAUAGGACCACAAGCCAAUGAUGCAAGCGUAUUACACAGACUACAGCGAGAAGUUAUGCAGACGGAGCGUAGGCUUCACAGGUUCCACGAGAUCCAGGCCGCAAAAAAACAUGGUAUUGGAAAACAAUUUAAUGUUCAGCACAUUUUAGCAGAUCCCAUGCUUAUAUCCGAUCCGGACCUAUCUGACUUUACUGAAUCAAGCGACGAUGACUUUCAAAGGUACAUACCCCAUUGUCUAAUGCAUGACGGCGUUCCCAGGUGUUGUAUGGGAUACAACUGAUAACAAGAGAUGUAGUUCAAUGUUUGUUAGGGUAGCGGUAAAACUAUACUCAUUAUAAUCUCUACUCAAACAAAUUGCUUACCAUAUUUGGAUAUUAAUCAUGAUUGUUAAACAGUCGUAAUUAGUUGUAACGUAACAGUAACAGAUCCCUAACUGGUUGUAACCCAUUGUGUACUGUUCGUUCUUCCUUUUUGUUGCAUUGUAAUCCACUUGUCUAAAUUUGAAAAGAGUGAAACAUCAAUGGUGCCUGUAUAACCUCGUCAAUAAGUUGUAACAGCUUACUAACUGCUUGUAACGUACAUAUGCAGCAUUCUCAAGUUGGGAUAACCACUUAAUGUCUCGUUCAAAAUGUACAGUUACACAUCAUUCAUCAACCUCAUUUUGGGGGGAGGCGACGUCAACGCGUAGUUGCAAUCCCUGUGUGUUAUUUCUUCCCUGAAAUGCGUAACGAUGGCAAAUCAGCAAAUAUUAUUAAUAAAACAUAUGAUUAAUGAUAUACGAUGUCCAAGUCUCCAAUUAAUAACAUUACAUAAAUAUGUGCUGUAACGAUAAAAAUUUGUCACCUGAGGUGAUGGUGCAAAUGCAUGAUAUGCAUCAACAUCACAGUGUGUUGAAAUUGCCCCACGCUCCUCCUACAUUAUAUAAUAUAAGUAAUCGACUGUCAACAAAUCAUUACCAGUGCCUAUAUUGCUCACUUAUAAAGUUAAAUUGGACUAGACAUUAUAACAAAAAUGAUAUAUCAGACCAUUAAGACAUCUCUGACGGAGUUAUGCUUGGAAAAAAUAGAAAAUCUGGGAUGCAUCCAUUCUGUAGGGACACUUGCAGGAGGCCCCUGAUUAGCGAAACGGUGGACCUUGAAAUAAUAAAAAAUAAUACGUUAUUAAAGCGAGCAUACAUUAAUUACAUAAUUUGCAUGAUUUGACAGCCUUCGGGAGCUCACCGUUACAAUUAAAGAAAAAAAGGUAGCUCUAUUACAUGAACAAGAAGGUUUUAUUUUAACUACUAAAUGUAUGCAUACCGUUUGAUUUUCAUCGAUAUCGGGAGCAACAGCAUUUGGAGGGCCAUUCACUGUCUGACUCAUUGAAUGCGUCUACAAGUUUCGUAUGGGCAAAAUCAUUGUAUAACACAAAUAAAAUACGUAUAUCAGGAGGGAUGACGGCCGUAAUAACAUUAUCACAUAAUGUAACAUCAAUGUAACUAUUUAGGCUGUUAGAAACAUCCAGAUAAAAGCAAGAGUCAUGUCCAUUUUAUACUAACCGAAACAGAGUCAGUAGAUGAACGGCAUCCCAUAAACAUGUAUUCCUCAAAUGAAACCGAUGUCGGCUCCGAUUCUGAGACCUACAGUAUUGACACGGUAAUAAUAUUAUUUCAUAAUGAAUGUUACCUAAACUUUAGUUAAUAGUAUAACAAUAACUUAAUUUUAGCAUAAAUGUUUCCCAAGUACCAAAUUUUGAUCCAUACCGUAGUCUGUGUAGUCCUUGAUAAUCUAGAUUUUCUUUUUACUCUGUCAAAUUUAUCGACCCAACUUCGCAUCACUCUACUUUUCUUCCCACAGCCUCGUUUUUUAAUGCCUCUUGCGACUACUGCCUCCCCCAUUUCAUUUACAAUUUCAAUUUUAUCUCGUUCCUCCAUAUUCAGAUUUUUUUGAUUUUGCAAAGGUUGCUCUUCACUUUCUGAGAGGAGGAGCUCAACUCUCUUUGACAAAUCGGAUAUGACAGUGAUUGCUACUUUGCUGGUGUCCUCCGACAUUGCUGCUCGAGUUGCGACCUUAAUCAUGGCUGGAGCGAGCUCCCGAUAACGAGUUGAAAUCAUGACUUUAGGAUCAGUCACAACUUCCUGUCCUCGCCGAUCAAAACAGUCUCCAGCCCGAGCUCUUUUUGUCCAUCGCCUCUUAAUGUAUUCAAGAGGAAUUAUUUUUAUGCCCACGGUAUCAAACACCUUCAACGCGUGCCCACAUAAAAUGCCUUCAUUCUCGUAUUUUUUGCAACUGCAACGUACACUUAGAUCAUUCCGAUUGAAUACUACUGUUCUUUCAGGUCCUCCAUCAUACCUCAUGACCGUAAACUCCACAAACAUCGCUGCAUCUUGUUGUCUCAAUAUAACCAUAGCUGUUGACUCACCAUAUUCAUUUUGGAAUGCAACAAAUACGGUUGGUGAAUACGUCUCUGAUGCAUGCACAAGCAUAGGUGUUUGUCUUAACCCUACCAUGGGGAGCUUUUGCCUCAUUUCAUAUUCUGCGAUCAGUUCAUUAUAUCUCUUUUCAUCAACCACCCGAUUGAAAUGUCUAAAGAACUGCACAAGGUCAUGAUCCAGUUUCAAAUGAUUUUUAAUUGCUGCAUUUAGGCUUUCGCUGAGUUGGGUGCUUCGCAUUCCCGCGGUCCAUCUUUCUUUCAUCAUGCACCUUGCCCAUUUAUCACGAAUUUUGUACAACCCUGAGAGCCAUUCAUUAUUUUCAAGAUUGUGUUUCUUCACCAUCGCCUCCCACACCCUAUUGAAUUGUUCCACUUCUUCAAACUCAUACAUGCAGGCACCAAACAUGUAUGGAAGAUCACUAUUUUCCUUGUAGUGAUUGCCAAGAUGUUUCAUAAAAUUACGCCUUAUGUGAAACGUACAUAGACCGUGAAAUGUUUCAGGCAUGACAAUUGAAAGAGCGGCUGCCAUGGCGUGAUCUUGGUCGGUUAGUAUGGUACUUGGAUGUUUUCCGCACAUUGCUUCUAAAAAUGUACCAAACACCCAUUUGAAAGAAUCUAUCGUCUCAUCAUACAUAAGGGCAGCACCGAAUAUCACAAUUUGCCUAUGCUGGUUAAAACCCACAAAUACUCCAAGUGGCCGGUAUUCUUUAUUUGUUUUGUAGGUUGUGUCGAAUGUGACUACGUCUCCAAAAAAGUUGUAGUCAAUUAACAUUCCUGCAUCAGCCCAAAAGAUAUUCGUUAUCUGCUCUUCACAGUCCAGCUGUACGGCAUGAAAAAAGGAUGGAUUCUCGAGUGUUUGCUCUUGAAAAUAAUUCAGCAUGCUACCUGCUUCUCCAUAUUUCAAGCUCCUUUCCCGUCUCGUUCGAAGAUAUCGUUUAAGAUCAUCCCGAGUAUAUCCCACAUUACCCAUUCCACCUGCUUCCGUUCCCAUAAGCUCAUGGCUCUGUUUCAAUGAAAGCCCAGCAUCCUCGCUUAUUUCAGCUUGGAAUCCUUGAGCCACACUCACUUUUCUUUGUGAUGGCAUCAUGUGAGCACAUUGAGCAAUGUGCAACUCAUGAUUAUGCUCUAAGACAAGGUCAUGCACACGGUACUUCAUUGUCCCUCUAAACAACACGAUAACCAUCUUAGCUCCACACCCUGUUUUCAUCGGCGCUCGUGUCCUCUUUGGCAUCACAUCACCUUCGUACUUGCGUUUCACACCUUCCUUGCAGCAACUAUAUCUCCUAGACGUGGUCACGCCGUCUUUAUCUUUAUUCAGAUAGUCUUUACGUACACUGAAACCCAUUUUAAAGGCAUACUUGUUGUAAAACUUGUACGCAUCCUCUUCACUGUUGAACUCCAUUCCUAAUUCAGGGGUCCCAUUUUCUGCCAAUUUGCUGUAAUCCAUUACUUCUACUCCUGCCAAUUAUGCAUCAAACACCCUAAUUUGCAACAUUUCAUGAAUAGUAUGUACAUAAACGACAAUAUAAAUGUAUAUUACCAUUUAUAAUGUGUUAUGAAUCACACAUUACUCGUAUACCAAAUCCUAUUAUUACGCUUAUCAAUAUGAUUAAUGAUUCACAUCACCUUACUUUUACUCUAAGACAACGACAUUAUCUAUGUACAAAUACAACUCCAUGUACACUAACUUAUACGGACUGUAAUGUAUUGGUCACACGAUGUAAGUCUAUUUUAACUGUAUGUACAUCCACGCUGGUGAUUAUAUUUUGAUUCUAGAUUCUUUAACUUACUGGACCUUAUGUCAUUCGUUAAUGACAACCGCAUAAACCAACUCCACAUUUUCUACAUUUUUUACAUUUUGAGGGCCAAACAAGUACUUUCUACUCAUUGUAAUAUAUUUCUUACAUCAUGUAAUUGACUUACAACACAAGGUUCACCCAUUUAUUAUUCACAUAUGUGUCUUUUCCUCUGUUUCACCUCAUUCAACUCUGCGCCUCUAUUUUAUACACACUGUAUGGUUAGGAGAGGGGCAAACUAAUAUUGCUCCAUGAGCAUGGACCAAUUACUAGAUGCACAAUAAUUCAUAUCAAUUGUAAUACGGUGGCUAUAACAUGUAACUAAUUUACAACAAGAUGUAUAUUCAUUCACUUGUUAAAUGUGACUUUGUUUCUCUCAUCUUUCCCUAAUUCUAGUCGAUGGUUUACUUGAAUACAUAACCCUACUUUCUACUCAUUGUAAUAUAUUUCUUACAUCAUGUAAUUGACUUACAACACAAGGUUCACCCAUUUAUUAUUCACAUAUGUGUCUUUUCCUCUGCUUCACCUCAUUCAACUCUACGCCUCCAUUUUAUACACACUAUAUGGUCAGGAGAGGGGCAAACUAAUAUUGCUCCAUGAGCAUGGACCAAUUACUAGAUGCACAAUGAUUCAUAUCAAUUGUAAUACGGUGGCUAUAACAUGUAACUAAUUUACAACAGGAUGUAUAUUCAUUCACUUGUUAAAUGUGACUUUAUUUCUCUCAUCUUUCCCUAAUUCCAGUCGACGGUUUACUUGAAUACAUAACCCUAGGUCUUCCAAAAACUACUAUCCCAUUAUAGUCCAUCACUGAAAAGCUGAAUGCUCACACACACACAGAUACGGUACACACAUACAAAUACAGUACAACUUCACUAUUCUUCUAUCAUUUUCAUAUUAUGUCUUCAGUGACUCUAAUUUCAGCCUUCCUUUAACAGAUGUGCAUUUGGGUGACAAAUUAUUGGUCACAAUUACUGACAUGGUUCAGUCAUGUUACCUUGGUCUGCUAAUACGCUUCACGUUUCACCGAAGUCGGAGACGUAGCUGCUUCUGCUAUUAAGUUGAAGGACAAAAUCUGGUUUCGUGAGAUGCUGAAUUUCCUCUAUUUGCUUCUACCUUACCGCCGCUCUUGCACGCAUUCAGAAUACAUACAACACUCUUAUACCCAAUUGGAGACCACAACUGCUUCUGCUAUUCAGUUUUACGGAUAAACUUUGGCUUCAUCUCUGUUUGCUUCUUCCAUGCCGCCUGCCUCUCCACCCACUUUUCUGUCAAUUGCUACCUUCAUCAGAGUAGACUACACCCACUUCACCUAGAAACACCUAGUAGGUUGAAUCCCACCUGAACUUCAGCUUUCUGCUUUCAGUGAGUGGUUGGUCAGAGUAGAUUACCUUCACAAGCACAUGAAAACGCUUCCCUCAGUUUUGUUUUCUGCGGCUAAUUCAAAAUUUCAACUUGAAUUUCAAAAACCAAUUCUCUUCCGUUUGCUCCGUCUGCUCCCGUUUAGAAGUCAACAUUUUUUUAUUUGGAACGGCAUCGUUUUUGUGCCCUGCUUCAGCCUUGCUGACUUGGCUCAUUUGUCUCCUCACGUUUUUUAUUGUGAGGAGACCGUUCAGGAGCGGUCGUCUGAGGACCGCUCCUGCCCCGUAUCCAUCAUUUUAUCGAUUAAUUAUUUAAGUAUUUUAGACAAUAAAACUAUGAAAACAUAUUAUACAUGAAUCGACAUGACGUAACUCUAUUUUCAAUAUAGUUAGCAUUGAAGUUCUGCAACAAACUCACAGAAAGAGAAAGCAAAGAAUUUACUGAAGGAACUGGAAGAAGAGUCUAAAAGCCCCAAUUGUCACUCAAAGUGGUGGUCGAUCGGAGGGUUUCGUUUCGUCAGUGAAAUCAAACAAUAGUCUUUUAUACUUUUUCCUUUCUUGGUUUGACUAUUGUGUGUGUGUGUGUGUGCAUAUUUCUCAACUAUUUUUCAUUUGUUUCUUAGUCUAUCAUUUUUUUUAUUAUAUCAUAUGUUUAACAGAGUGCACACGUAUCGAGUGUGUCCCGAUCACUAGUAAGUAUAAAGUAGAUAAGGAAAUAAGUGCCUAUUAAAACAUUGGUGGUGUAUUUUAUGAAAUUGUGAGGGAAAGCAUUAUUGUUGUCUUUUUUUUUUCUUUUUUUCCGACACAGGGGUGUUCAGGUCAAUUCUUACGGGGCCCGAUUAAUCCCUGCGGCCCGGAAGAGGAGGCCACAUUAUUGUUGUCUUCCAAAAGGGAAAUUUUGACAUCCAAGGAUUUUGAUGAGCAUAAAUUGGUCAUCUUAUUGAUGAUACUAACGGGAAGACCUUUUUGCUAAGUUAGUUCUAGUCAAGAUGUAGCAUGUAACAAUGAGUGUGUUUGGAUGGUAAAUUAUUUGAGAUAAUUUUGUGAAGAUUUUUAAAAAAAUACUGUAGCACUUUUUAAAUGUGAUGUAUAUGAGAUAAAAAGAUGAUUGAAAAAUGUGUUGACGAUACAAGCAAGUCAGUAUAGCCAGUGUAUAUAAAUAAGGUAUAAAUAAUGUGCAAUCCAAACAAAUUUGCAUGCGUGAGCACAAGCACACUUAAUAUUGACUUAUGUAACUAUAACUGUCUAGACACCUUUUGAUAAAAUAACUAUCUAUAAGUAUUGUAACCAUAAAAAUAAUCAUCAUUUGAUGGAAAAAAAAAGGUUAAAAUACCACAAUAUAUUUAAGUAAUGAAAAUUUUAUGUAAAAUUAAUUCAGAAAAAAAAUUUUCUUGAAUUACACACAACGUGCCCGGGCCUUUAGCACUAUUUUGAUGUUUGCAACUACUACUAUUAGCAGCUACCAUAUCUCAUGUUGAUAUAGCAUUUGAGGAUCAUGUGGCCAUCAAAUGCGACUUCUAUGUCCUGUUGGGCAAACUAUAUACUUGAAAGAAUGCAUUCAGCAAGUUUUGAAGAUCAAGUGGCUUCCAAAUGCUGCUUAAACAUCCUGUUGGGAGAACUACUACAUCUUUAAGAAUGCAUCCAGCAAAUUUUUAUGCCGCACAUCUUUAAUUAAAGGAAAAAUAAAUAUAGUUUUCUAAAUGGUUUUUUGAGUUUUGUGAUUCUUUCAUUUAAAUAAAGGAGGAGAAAACGAAGAAAGGAGAAAGAAGAAACGGCCUAAAUGGGGCCUGGAAUAUGCUAAGGUUUGGCAAAUUACAUCCACCCUGUAAUUAAAUCAUCCGUUCUAAUUUUUACCAGACGAGGCUCUGGUUCCUAGAGUUCAAUUAUUCAUUUAUUUAUUGAAAUAUGCAUCUCACAUUUUACUCGUCGGACUUGGCUCCAGGCAACUCCCUUAUCACAUCCCAUAUUUUCACUCUAUGACCCUUUAAUUUCAUCAAAGAUAGUCGUGUCAAAACAUAACAAAUUCCAUGUAUAAAUUCGCCUUGAAGAAAAUACAAAAGACCGACUUGGAACAUCACAUCUACUUUUGUCAACUGGGAACAUGAAACAACUUACAACGUGUCAAGGAAAGGAAAGUGGGAGAAAUGAGAAGUGAAGAAUACUAUCUCCCCAAAGAGGAGGGACAGGAACGGUUAACGUUUCUAAGUGUUUAUGAUCAAGAUUUGGCCAAAAAAAAUGUAAGAUUUAAAUUGCAUCUUAUACAUCGUUUUCCACACCAUGUGUGAAACCCACAAAAUUUUAUUCUAUAAUUACACAUUAAAAGUGAGUUACACCGUGCGCAUACAAAAUUACACGCCGUGCAUUUUGCACAAAACCUUUGCAACCGUACCUGUCCCUGCCCCUGUCCAUCUCCCAAAAAGUACUUAUUACUUGAGUACAUUACUAACAGAAGUAAUAAAUCUCUACGCGGACAAUGCCAAAAAGGGAGGUAACUCAUGUCAUCAUCCACUUGAUCAGGCCAAAAAGGAAGGCAAAUCAUGUCAUCAUCCACUUCAUCAGUAAGUCUACAGAACAACUAAUCUUUUAGGAUCUGCAGUAAGUUAGUAUAAACAUGCUACAGAGUACAAAGACAUGGCUAUGAGAAAACAGCGAUUAAACGAAAAUAAGCAACCGAUUGGCACAAAAAUUCUAGCAAUUACUGUUUGAUUUUGAUAUACAAGAAUGCAAUGGCCAAGGAACAGGCGACCUUCAUGUGUUUUGGCCCGAAGAUCCCUGCUCUUUGCCUUGAUUAACAUUUU